rnacentral:lncRNA from 1 species
GAGCGCCGUACCUGGGCACCAAAGUCACCACCACACUCUCAUCAUCUUCAGCACCCAAAUCCUCCAACAGGUCCGUUAACCCCAACCUUAAACAACUCUUGCUCUUUUCCUUCUGCUUAUGUGGCACACUCACAAAACUCCCAGCAAACUCGCUCUUGUCGGGUCCACUCGGUGCCGCAUCCUCAUCGUCCACGUCAUUCACAUACACAUCAAACUUCACAGCCACAUCUUUGUCAAGCUCAAUCCCCUGAAUCACCAAUAUCUCCUCCUCAUCCUCUUUCUCCUUCUUGCUCCUCUUCUUCGGCUUCGGCCUUGACACCACCGUACUUAUCUUCGUCUCCAAAUUUAUUGGAAAAUCUUUACCCGCCACCACCUUCCCUGAUGACGUCGUCUCAGCGGCCUUCGCCACUCCAGCCGCCUUUGCCUUUCUCGCAAGCUUUGUCCGACGUGGCGUCGGUCUAGACUUGAGCCAUGGAAUCUCAACAUCUUCAUACGUAUACCCUAGCUUUUUAUUAUCAAGAGUGUCCCUCACCGUGACCCUAACAAGCUCAGCAUUCUCGUCAUAAAACAAAAACCCCGUAUCCAACCAAUCCUUAUCGUUAAUAUCUUUAUUUUUAGUCCCUAUACUUUUCCAAAUAUUCCACAUUCGAUCUAUAUUCGAAUGGUGCGAAAAAAAUAUUGGAUCCCUUCCAGCGGAGUAAAAAUUCCCCAUGUCUUCAAAUUAGGUUGCGUGUUAUCUCCGGUCCAUAAAUGAACCGGACCAUGUGGGGUCGUUUCGAUUGAACCGCCCCCUGGAUCUGGUUCAGUGCCAGCCCUGUAGGGCGAACCAAAGAACAACAGCGGUUUCUUGGAGUUGGAAACCAUCUGCCUAUACAUAAUUUUGAGGUUGGCUUCGAUUUGAGCAUCGUUGGACAUUGUUUCAUCCGUGCCGUUGAAGUCAAGAUCGAUGAGAGUCGGCGGCUGAUGGCUGGCAGCGCGAAGCUCGUCGUAAAGCGGAGAGUCCGGGUUAGCGAACAAGGCAGGGAGUUGCAUGCCAGCUGGCGCGUCCCAGUUCCAAAACGGCAACGCGAACGUCGGAUCGUCUAUGAGUUUGGCCAAGAUUCUUUCGUGGAAGUAUAGGUAGUAACGAUGGAAGGGGAAGAAAAGCCAGCAUUGAUGGAUUUGGAGCUCGAGGUUGGGGAAGCCGACUUGGUCGUACGCGCCGUCGCAAUAGGCACAGUGGAGAUCGGCUUGCUGGGUGAAGCUACGCGGAUCGUCGUCCGGGAGGGCUUUCAUGAGCUCGAUGGCUUUUGAAUAUUUUUCGAUGUAGGCUUUAUCCACGGUGUGAGCUGCCGGCCUGACGCGGAGUUUGGUAGGGGAGGGGAAUUUGAAGUCUACGAUUUUUUGGGACGUUGGCGGGCAACAGUUGGUCGGGACUGCUCCACUUGGAAAGUCCGCAGCUCCGCAUUUGGCUAGGUCAGGCGGCGACACUGGCUUUGCAACAGCGAAGGGGUCGCUGCCAAGACCAGCCACUCCACCGUAUAGGCUUCCGAGACCUAUAAGUACAUUUCUUCUGUCUAGGUUUACUGGAGAAGGGUUUUCAUGGUCGUGAUCGUUGGAGCUAGUGGAAGGGUUUUUGUUUUGGUCACUACUAUUAUUUGUGGCUUUGCAUGAGACAGCUUGUAAAUUGGAAUGCCUAGGGUUUCCAAAUGAGGAUAUUCGGUGAUACUUUUGGGAGAAAGGGGAGAGGAAAGUUGUGGGGAUGAUACUUGUGGCGGAGGUGACGAGUGGAGCUGACAUAGAAGCCAUGGUUACUUUUGACUCUGAAUAAUACGUUGUAUUGGCUUUGCUUUUAUAAUGUGUUCUAGGUUGUACUUUUCUUUGCACAGGUGGCAGGCCGUACACACGUGGUCGGUCCUUAAGGGUUUGACGAGGAAUACUACGUAGUCAUUUAGUACAGGACAACCAUACACUAUAGCAAGUGGCAUGUAUUUAGAGAUCGAGAGAGAAUUGGGUAAGGUUCACGAGGGAUUUGUAGUUUCAGAAGGUGAAUUGGUUUUGGUCUUCUUGUGUACCAAUAAUAUUUACUUAGUCAUUUAGUGCAGGACAACCAUGCACUAUAGCAAGUGGCAUGUAUUUAGAGAUCGAGAGAGAAUUGGGUAAGGUUCACGAGGGAUUGUAGUUUCAGAAGGUGAAUUGGUUUUGGUCUUCUUGUGUACCAAUAAUAUUUACUUAGUCAUUUAGUGCAGGACAACCAUGCACUAUAGCAAGUGGCAUGUAUUUAGAGAUCGAGAGAGAAUUGGGUAAGGUUCACGAGGGAUUGUAGUUUCAGAAGGUGAAUUGGUUUUGGUCUUCUUGUGUACGGCUGUGGGUCUGCUGUCCCGGACUCUCUGUCUCAUUUGUGUCUUAUUUUUUAUUUUUUCACACGUGUCUUUUACUUAACGUCAAAUCAUGAUAGCAAUGUUAUGCAAUUGGGAGCUAAACGACCGAUGCUUUUAUUUUUUAGUUUGCUUUUUUUCCAGAUCUGAUCAAAUCAUGAUAGCAAUGUUAUGCAAUUUUCAAGAGGGAAAGAUGCACCUGGGAGAGAAACGGUACGGUGACUUCUAAAUCACCGUCCAACAGAACAAUUCUCAGUAGAGACUACUAGAGAGAGAUGCACCUCACCAAUGAAAAAUUUAACUGCAAAAAUUCUGGGUAUUGGGUAAGGAAAUUCGGUGAUACUUUUGGGAGAAAGGGAAGAGAGAAGUUGUGGGGAUGAUACUUCUCGUGGAGGUGACGAGUGGAGCUGACAUAGAAGCCAUGGUUACUUGACUCUGAAUACUACGUUGUAUUGGGUUUGCAUAUAUAUAUAAUUAGGAUUGAAGGAUGUAGAGCUUAUUUUGUUAUGUAUUUUAACGAUUUAAGUGCUUAUCUUUUAGGUUUUCUCUUAAACAUCAUGUCUAUAAAAAAUCACCAAAAUUCAAACCAUAUGACCAUUAGAUCCAUAGUCAUUUUAGUGUUUAUUUGUAAAAUGUAUUCAUUCAUUUUCUUCACUACAAAUGAGUGAAUUAAUGAUUUUAGAAUUUGUCUAAUUUUUUACAUUGAUUAUUUAUGAAUGUUGAAUUGAAAUUUAGACGAUUCAAAAAUAGUUGAUAUGCAUUACAAAAUGAACUCCACAAAAUAAGUGUCAAAAUAUGUAUAAAAAAUGGACAGCGUGAAUGGCUUGGAAAUUGGAAUAGGUUUGAAAAUUGUGCUUUUUGUAGCAAAUUUUAGCAAAGUUUGCUUGGACUUUCACAACCGUAUAAAUUAAAGGGAAACUUGAUAUAACUCCAAUUUUUUGAGCCAAUAGUAGGAAUAGUCCAGUUUAUUAAAAUAAGUUCAAUUCUUUAAAUUUAAUUAUUUAGUUAUCAAUAAUUAUCUCUUAAAAGAAAAAACUUAUUGUAAAAAUCAAAUUUCUUCCUAAUUAUCUCUUUGAUUAUUUCUUUUUAUUUAUUUAUUUGUUAUUUCUUGUUCUUCCUCCUGCUUUAACCCAUUUAUAGAUUUUUUUUUUAAUUUUAUAAUCAACCUAUGUCACAGGUUAAUUGUAUUUAUCUACCUAUAUGACAUAUUCUUUUUCAUAGUCAACAUUUCACAGAUUAAUGUGUCUUGCUUGUAGAUAUAUUAUGUUUUUUUCUACCUUUUAGUUAGGUUUCAUAUCUCACUUAUAGGUAUAAUAUACAUUCAUAUAUUUGCUACUUGAGUUAGGGUAGAAUGUUUUGCAGAUAGAUUUAUGUUAGUAUAUUAAUUUUUUUUUGUUUAUAAGAUAUUAAUUAGAUAUUUUGGAGUUGAAAAAUGCAUAAUAUUAAAAGCUUUUAAUUGAUUUUUAAUAUUUUUAGAAAAUAUAAAAGGAGUAUAAAAGAAAUCAAAACAUAUAAUUAGAUAACGGGAGUCACUCCUAAAAACACUCUAUGUUUUUUGACCUGGAUCUUAAAGCCCCUAAAUUAAACUGUUCGCUUUGUUGGGAAAAAGAAGUGGCCCUAGUUUCCCUUUGAUUUUUCAAGCACGGUGGGAGACUGGUCAUAGUUUCUAGAUUGAUGCUCUAAUUCUAAUGUUAUACAACGCGUACGCUAUAAUAUUUUUAUCAAAAUAUUAGUUUUAGUGUUAUCAAAACAAUAUGUUAUUCUUACCAUGUUUUUGUAUCACAAUUAUAUACCACCUUAGAUGGUAUCUGAUGUGGACAGCCACAUCAUUUAAAUUAAUAAGCAUUUAAUUUCAAAAUGUUAAUCAAUAAUUAAUAAAAAGAUUGUUAAUUAAAUGAUGAUUGUGGUAUACAAGGAGUCUCCUUCUUCCUUCCUCUUUCCAUUCUGCUUUUUCUUCUUACCUCUUUUUUUUUUUUAAUGCCAGUUUUGUAUUGAUUUCUGUUGAUUUCCAUGAUUAUGGUCAAUCUUUAUAGAAUUUACUAGUAUGCCACAAUCACCAUUGAUUUCUAUCUCCAGACUCAUGCCCCGUAGCCCUAAUCCUCAUUCCCCUUCAAGUAUUUCUGUCUCCAAUCUUCUUUGGUACUCCAUGAUUGUUCAUCUCGUGAUAUUUUUUUUUUUGAUUAUUUCAUUAAGUAACGCUUAUUAGCUUUCAUGCGAAUUAGGAGUCAAAAUCAAAUUUGUCUAUCGGAUUAGGGUUCAUACCCAAUUAAGUUACUAACGCCAGAGGGAUUUUGAAGUAUGCAAUUUUCCUUAUUUAAGUGUUUUAAUUAAUAAGAAAAUUGAAAUUAAACAAUUUAGCUUGUCCAACUCAUCUGCCACCUAAGAUGGUAAAUAAAUGUGGUAUAAAAUUGUGGUAAGAAUAUCAUUACUCUUAUCGAAAUUACAAAAAAAAAAAAAAAAGCUGAUUCAAUAUUUAGUUAUUAAAAAAAAAAUGAUCAAGUAACUAUCCAAUACCCAUGUAUUGGGUGCUUUGUUUGAAAAUUUUCAAAAUGAUAUUGGGCUCGUUUGGAUAUGUUUUUAAAAUGACUGAAAGCAUUUUUAGAGAAAAUAUUUUUUUGAUUCCAAAAGCACUUAAAGUGCUUUCUGCAAGAAGCACCCGUUAUGUGCUUCUUCCUGGAAGCACUUUAAGUGUUUUUCCAGCAUUUACUUGCUUUUUUACUAAGGACUGGUUCCAAAAACAUUUUCACAAAAAGUGUUUUCAGUCAUUUUAAAAGCACAUUCAAACGAGCUCAUUGUUUUUCCUAUUUUAAUCGAGUGCGUCGUCCUCUGUUGAGAAUGAAUCUCAUAUUAUGGGAGGAGGGAUCUUGCAUGAAUGGGAGGAGGGACCUUGCAUGAGCUUAUAAGUAAGUUGGGUUACUCUCCAUAUUGCCAAAAGAAAUUUUAUUUGGACCCAGUUUUCCUCUCUCUAAACCCAACUUUAAUAUUUUGUUACCUAUAAACUCUCUAGUUUACCCUCAUAAAUUAUAAACAUAAAUAAACUAGAAAAAGAAAAACUCAUCAAACCCAUUUCCCAACUGUUCUGGCGUCUCUUCCCUGUAUUUGUUGGGUCUGUCUCCCUCCCGACUGUUUUUUUUUUUCUGAUAUCUCUGUGUGUUCCCCCACCUCUCCCACACCCACCAAUUCUUUGUGGUGGCUAUUCCACCAAACGUCCAGUGAAUCUUUCCAUUUUUCUUCUAUUGCGCGUGAUAGGGCCUUGCUAUUAAUAGGCAAAACUAAGCGGCAUCGUCGACUCCGUAAGCGACUUGUUGCAUAAGUCCAAAAUGGAGUCAAAUGGAUUUUGUAUUGGGUCGGGUUGUUGAAGGCGAUGGCUGAUUUAGCAAUCCCGCCUAACUAUUUCUAUAUGUAGGAGAAGGAAGAGGGAGGGAGGUCUGAAGUGGUGGUUGAGUGGUGGCGAUGUAUGUGGGUUCUCUCUCGGUUGAAUGGGUGUAGAAAGAUAUUUAAUUUUCAAUAUCUUAUUUUAUUUUGUAUAAGGGAUAAUAUAGGAAUUACAUAAAAAGUUUUUUUUAUAGCUAGGUGUAGAAAUAGUAUUGUUGGGUCUAAAUAAAAUUACCCUAUUGCCAAUUAGUUUUAUGGUGAAAUCUUAACUUUGUUCAUGCUUUCAUAGUAGGUUGUUCCACGUGUGAAGUCAAACAUCCACACGCGCUGCACGUCACCCCGUUGUGUUGUUCACGUGUUAAGCUUGAAAAUUCAUCACACAUGAGGGAGCGUGUUGAGAAUAAAUUCCACAGUUUAUAAGUAAGUUGUACUACUCCGUAUAUUACCAAUUAAUUUUGUGGAAUUCCGUCAAAGCUGAAUUUGACGGAAAAAAAUAACUUCAUGUUUGUUCUUAACUAUAAAGUCAGUGAUACACUAAUUCUGGUUUGUUUGUUUUUUCCUUCCUUCUUAAGGAAAUUCCCAAUCCAACCAAAAAAAUGAAAUUCCCAAGAGAAUAGUAGCACGAACAAUCGUAGCUUUCUUCUUCGAUAAGCCUUGGGGAAACAGAAAAGGGAAAACCGGACUUUAACCCUAAUUUCUCCCAAUGCCGCAGCACUCUCUAUUUUCUCUCUCGCUCUAUAUCGCGGUCCCUCUCUCUCGCCGUCCUCUAUUGCUCAAACUCAAUGUCUCCAACUUCCUCUGUAUGGUUCCCGAGGAAGAUGGUAAAACAGUAAGGGCAAGAAAUUGUGACAAGGUUAGAUUUGGGUAUUAAUCUGGUGGGGCUACAAUUCUCCAAUCCACACCCCUUUCAUCUGUGCUAGUGUUUGAACCCAAUAUUAGAUAACCGGUCCAUGCAAUCGAUGCCGUUGAAUGAGAAAAAUUCUAGGCCGUGGGAUCAAAUAUAAUGAUGUGGAUUAAAUAAGGAAAAUUUAAAGAGUAAUGAUAUUCAUACCAUGUUUUUGUACCACAUUUUCAUACCACCUUAGGUGGCAUUUGAUGUGGAUAGCCACAUCAUUUGAAUUAAUCAGAUUUUAAAAUUUAGUUGAUUAUUUAAUAAACUAAUAAUUAAGAAAAACUAAUUAAUUAAAUGAUGAUUGUGAUAUACGAGGAGUCUUUCUCGUUCAUUUCUUUGGGUUUUGCAAAUUUUUCAAAUGAUGUGGCUGUCUACAUCGGAUGCCACCUAAGGUGGUAUAGAAAUAUGGUAUAAAAAUAUGGUAUGAAUAUCAUUACUCAAAUUUAAAUGUUUAUCUUGGUUAAAUUACCAUGAUAAUAUUGUGGAAUUAUCUUUUGCAUAACGGAAGAGCGAGAAAAGUCCAAGGGUGUAGGGAAGUUGUGUGGUUGACUACCGCUAUUUUGAUGGUAUAAUCUGUAGAGUAAUAUUACAUUUAACAUCUAUUUGUAUCAUAUUUCUAAUAAAGAUAAGGACCAUCAAUGCAUAAAUAAUUAAACAAAUAUAUAAUAAGAGUAUCAUUUUUGUAACUAGAAUAGGAGAAGAAAGACUUCAAGAUGGGAUCAGCCAAAUAAUUAGCGUUAAGAUAAAAAUAUUGAAAGGAAAACUAAUGAAAAUGGCUUGAAAACUUUGAGUUUUAACGAUAAGGACAAGAUAAAGGGUAAAGUGAAUAGUACCAGGAUUGACUUUUUAAUGUAAAAAUAUAGUUUUUCGUUAAAGUGAACAUUACCGGGAACUUUUCGUUAAAGUUUCCAAUGAGAUAAUAUUGCAACAGCUGGCAUGAGACAAUGAUGGUAUAAAGAUGGCUACUACGGCCAAACUACUACAUAGGAUUCCAUACAUGCGGUCAUUAUUUCGACAAAUCAAUGGCUGCCGCAAUCAUGUGCUCAUUAUUCCGACAAAUCAGUAGCUACUUGCAUUGGAUUAGGAUUGCAUGCGUGUGGUCAUUGAAUGAGGAUUGCGUGCACGUGAUCUUUAUUCAAACAAAUCACUAUUGACCAUAUAUUGCAAUUGGUUAAUGGUAGGCAAAUUGAAUUUUUACAUCAAAUAAUGUGAUUGCUGAUAAUUGAAUUAUUAUUUAAAUGUUGAUUAAUAUGCUUAUUUUUUAUUUGUGAUAUAUCAUUUAAUUUGUACAUUUAGUUUACCUAACAUUACCAACUGUAAUUUGUAUAAAUGGACUGGUACCUAACAUAACCAGUUGUAAUUUGUAUAAAUGGGACUGUAAUUUGUAUAAAUGGACUGGUGCCUAACAUUACCAGUUGUAAUUUGUAUAAAUUUACUGGUCCCAAGAGCACAUGCUACUGCUCAAGAAGCAAAGUUCUUAUUUGCCCAAAAAAAAUCAUGGUUUUUUAAUUGAUGCUCUCAUUUUAAUUUACUAGCCCCUUACUUGGCCUUUUUUAUUUAUCAUUUUAUACAUAUUAAUAUUUUUUUGUAAAAUAUAUUAGUUUGAGUUUUAUUAAAAUUAAAAAUAAAUAAAAAAACUUAGUUUUAGUUUUAUCAAAUUAAAAAAAAAUGACUUAAUAUUUAGUUAUUGAAAUUGUAAAAAAGUGAUCAAGUAUUGGGUGCUUUGUUUGAAAUUUUUCAAAAUGAUAUUGUUUUUACCAUUGAAACCCUGUUAUAUACAGUGAUGGCUAAUUUGUCAAGUUCUACGAAGUUGGGAUACCCAGCGUUUUAGCAUAUAACAUAGCUUAGUAUUACAAGCAUAAUUAAUUAAAAUAAAGGCAAAAUAAGAGGAUAGCUUAGUAUUACAAGCAUAAUUAAUUAAAAUAAAGGCAAAUUGUAACAGCCCGUCCCUAAAAAUGACGAUUUUAUAAUCUUAACACGUGAGUUUAUGAAGAUGCCCUUCGAGGCAAAGUGUUGACUACCGCGUCGUGUCAUGUGAGACUCAUCUUCUUGGCGUAUUCUCGUUUUACUCGUCGCUACGGAUGCGUGGGCGCAAACGACACGUGAUUUGGAGCUAUAACAAAAGAGUUAUUAACAUUUAAAGUUAAGGACAUUUUAGUAAAUUAAUUAAUUUCAGAUUUUGUUGAGGGGAAAAUCUGGAGUGCCAUGUGGGUGGCCCAGAUUAAAGGAAAUGAGGAAUGGAUGGUGGAGGUGUAAAGGAAAGAAGAUAAAAGAAAAAUGAGAGGAAAUGUGUGACUAAUAGGGAGAUGAGAGAGUUAGGAUGGCCCAAUUAGAAACAAACGAAAGGAGGAAAAAGGAGAGAAGAGGGGAGCAGGGGAUCCCUUCAACCCGGUUCCACUUUCCGACCCGACCCGAUCCUUUUCAUCUUUUCCGGUGGUUUUUCGUCAGUUUUUCCGGCGAACCACGUUAUCUAACCCCGUUGAAAAUGUUCCACGACCUUCCCUCUACCAUUACAACCCAAAAUUGUAGAAAUUUAGCCAUGAAAGUAUGAAAACCGCACCGGUGGGUGCGGGAAACCUUUGUCGUCGAUUCUCCCAUUAUUGAAACGAUUUUCACCAAUUAUCACCACCUACAGCAUCCUCUUGAGGUCUGGAAUAAAGCCCAAACAAGUUUUGGGGCGUUGGAGUUCGUUUAAGGUCGAAUUGAGCACACCCAAAUUCAAGGGUUCCGUACCGUUCAUGGUGAUUUGAGGUGUUUCUCGGCCAAAUUGGCCUUAGUCACAAGUAUGAAAGUUGCUCCACUCGUUGAGAUCUUCAUUUAUGUGAAAUUUGAGAAUUUUUUGAAAUAUUUGGAUUUUCCAGCGAGUCGGGGUGGCGGACCGCCACCGGCAGCAGCGCAUGGCCAGUGGUCCACCAAUGUCAUUUUACGUUAAAUUGAUAUCUUGAUUUUAGAUUUGAUGUCUAUAUGUUAUGACUUGAUUAUGUGAACCUAGUUUGAUUAAGGUGCGUUAAUUGGUAAAAAUAUGAAACGACGAUCCGACCGUGGGAUCGUCACCAAACUUUAAUAUGUUAUAGUACAUAAUAUUUGAGAAUCAUAGGGACUGACAGAUAGGAAAUCCGAGAUACAGAUCUUCCCGAAAUGGAAUUGUAAGUUUGAAGAAUAAACGUUAACCGCCACUUUGUUUUGACUAUUGGUGGAGAUCCAACCGUUGGAUCAUAAUGAAAUUUUAGGAUGAUGUUUUAGAAGCAUAAUGUGGAUCUUUGGAAGUUACUGAUCGGAAAUCCGAGGAGUGAAUCUUCCGAAUUGAAUUACGUAGGGUUGUGGACCUUACCGUCGAUCGUUGACCGAUGAUCGACUUUUGGUCAAUGGGGCUUAAAUCAAUCUAAAACGUUUUUAGGGAUGUGUUUUACGUAAAUUACAUGAUCUAUUGAUAAGAAUUAUGAGAUGUGGUUUGAUAAUUGUCCUAGGUGCCGAUCGUUAGGAACGCUUCGAUGGUUAUGCUAGGAAAUUGUAGCACAGACUCCUUGUGAGUGAAUCUUUUCCUUCUUAUCAUAUAUAUAUAUAUAUAUAUAUAUAUAUAUAUAUGAUUGACAAUUCCACAAACGUUUAUAAAUUGAUUAUUGCAUAUAACUACUGUGAAUACUUUGAAGUACUUAUGCGAACUACGAAUGGCUUGAUCCGUGUUUAGGGUACGUAGGCAGUCUAACAAGACGUUAGAUGUAGUCAUACAAUAAUUGAGAUUAAACAAUUGAGAUAAAGCCUUGUUUGGGGAACUGGGCAAGGUGAAGGAAUUUGGUAAAAAGGUGAGAUUUAACCUUAUGAAUUGGUGAUUAAAUGUUGGUCAUAAAUCAAUGUGUAAAGAAUCAAGAAUUUGAAGUAAGGAAACGUAAGUAAUGAUAAUUAAUUAAACUAGUGUCUAGUUGGGCUUGUCACCUAUAAUUAUCCCCGAAAAUGAAUAAUUCGGGAGUAGGGCGUUACAGCUUCUGCAUUUUUAUGCCACAUUAUAUAUAUAUAUAUAAUUGGAAAUGCUAUAACAUGGUUGAGUAUCAGAUUUCAUCAUGGUUUAUCUAUAUGUAUAUUACCUGCACACAAUUAUUAUGAACGCGUUGAAGUGCAAAGGUGAAUGCACGACACCCAGGUAAGUUCAGGUGAGUUUAUGGUAUUAGUUGAAAUGAUGGGGUUAUGGUAUGACUACAUGUAUGUUUAGGUUGCAAUGAUAGGCAACUCCAACACUGUCGUACAGGUUGCCCAUGAAUUGUACAUGUUACAAUAGAUACAGUUAGAGCUCAUAAACCUACACCCCGGUGUUAGUACUCCCGCUCGUGGCCAGGGCACAGUCCUUCACGUGAUGUUCACCUCCCGCACCUUACGCUCACCUUGGAUCCAAGGUAGGUGCACAAUCAUGUCGUACCACUAUAGGUGGUUCCGACUCGUAGAUGACCCGCGAUUAUUUGCACAGUCUUCACGUGAUUGUAGCACUUGAGCGUAUUUAUUUACACCCAGUUCUAUUGUACAGACCACUUUAGGUGGUUCCGACUCGUAUGCAGGUAUACUUAUUAAGCUAUGGAUAAGUCGUACAGGUCACUAGAAGUGACUCCGACUUAUGAGCUAGCAUAUGUGAUGAGCUAGCAUAUGUGAUGAGAUAAGUGAUGAGUUAGUAUAUGUAAUGAGAUAUGUGAUGAGCUAGCAUAUGUGAUGAGAUAUGUGAUGAGCUAGCAUAUGUGAUGAGAUAUGUGAUGAGCUAGCAUAUGUGAUGAGUUAGCAUAUGUGAUGAGCUAGCAUAUGUGAUGAGAUAUGGGUAAGUCGUACAUGUCACUAUAGGUGACUUCGACUUGCGUGCUAGUAUGGGUUAUUAAUCACAUGAUUAUUGAUAUUACUGAUGAGAUGCUGUGUUGUGGUAUAUUUAUGAUCUUUCUGGAAACUAUGCAAGUGUUGUAACGAGGGGUUAUAAUGAGGUGUUGUAACGAGGGGUUAUAAUGUUUUAUAUGGUUUCUGUUAAAAUUUUAUUUCUAGGGUCACUCACCCUUAUUUUGUUUUCACCCUCUAGGUUUUAUUAGCUGAGCUUUCUUAUCGUCGAAGAUUCGUGGCGAUUCUUAGUAUUGGAGAUUAUUUCGAGAGUACGAUUCUUAAUUCACUUUACUGUACUUGCUUAAGCUGUAACGUCACGUGUGAAGUGGGUUCAUUUCCGCUUACCAGCGCAUUCUGGUAUUUAGGCACUCUUAGGUUUAAAUUUAUUCACAUUUUUCCACAUCAUCAAACUUUAUGGCUUUGUCACUCUUUAGGUGUCGGCCAGCACAGCUCGAUUUGGAGUCCUAGUGGACAUUCCGGGUCGGGGUGUGUCACAAAUGAAGAGGAUGGUUGAACUUGUUAAGUUUCUUAAGUGUGUCUACUUGAAGUGUGUUGCUAAUAAAUAUUUUGUUGUAGGCAUAAUUUACUGAACAAUUAUGGAGGCAGAGAGAGAGAGAGGGAAUAUGCGGCAUAGAGAGAGAAGAGAGAGAUGUGUAAUUGUGAGGUGUGUUCUAUUCCACCCCAUUGUACCUUUAUUAUAUUAGUAGGGAAAGUUAAUUCCUUACCCUUUUAGGAUUACAACUCUAAUAGGAAAAUAUCUAGUCUAAGAGAUAUGAUAGAAUCUCAUAAGGAUAUCCUAGAUAUGUUAGGAUUUACACAAUCAUAUUCCUAUUCCAAUAAGACUGCAACACAUUUGUAUUUUUUUAGAAUUUUUUUGAUAAUUUGUUGGUAUUCUCAAUUUUUGUUAACAUUGAAAAUAUAACGGUUCAGAUGAAAAACCUUUGGAAAUCCAACAGCUUGCAAGACGUUGGGCUGUGCUGAAGGAAGCUGGGCUGUCACGUGGAUGGGGCCCUCCCUCUCCCUCUUGUUGAUUCAAAGGGCGCAGGCCCGUGCAACAAUUGGCGAGGCAGCCCAUAGAGAUCCUGCGAUUCACCCAUUCGCCAUUUUUUCCACCGCUGGAGCACCAAAAUUCGGUCAAAAGGCAGGGGUAUCAAUGGCAAGGGCAAUUUGGCUUCCGCUGGAGGUGCUCUUUGUCGACUUUGUUUUUUCUCUCAUUUUAGCUUUUGCAGUAAUAUUGAAGUAAUCACUCCAAUUUUAUCCAAACUUUUGUUGUCCGUCAAUUUUUAUCAAAACUAUUGGUUAAUUUACAUAUUCAGACUAACCUUCUCAUUAUUUUUAGUAUUUUUAUCAUAAAUAAUAUCUGAAAUAGUCACAUUUUAUUCAACAACCACUCAAUUAAAAAUUAAUUAGUGUUGUUUCUAAACCAUUACAUCAAGCUUUUGUAGAUACACAUCAAUAUUGCAGCGAUCCGAGGCAUUGUUUUAGUGACGGUAGUACUUUCUACUCCUUGGAUUUGGUGAAUCGGAAAAGAGAAGAGUUACGAGUAAAAGUCCCUCGCAUUGUUUUGGGGAGAUGAAGAUGAUGAUCUUUUGUUUUUGUUUUUUAAUGAUUAAUCCACGCAGCAACAUAUAAUUAAAUUGUUGGGAUCUACUCAAGUUCCAUAUCACACACUAACAUAAAAUUUGACAAACGAAACGAAAUAUGUGUGUAGACAUCGAAAUUUCGUAAAUAAAUGUUGACCGAUAAAUCAAAGUGUCAACGCUCAUGUAUUACAUAAAUUUUACACGUAGCGUGUGACUCAACGAAAAUUGAAAUGAGUUGGAAAAGUCAUCAAAUAGGACACGUGUCAACACCUGGCAGAAACGACUUAUUUCAUCUGGGAUAUUAUAUUCAAAAUUAGCCAUUGGAAAAUUCUAUAAAUACAAGCCCAUUUCAUUCAUUUAAGGAGAGGAAUUCAUAUUACACCUUGAAGCUCUGAAGCUCUGAAACUCCGAAGCUCUCAAGCAUCCAGGUUCCCGAAGAAUCAAGAAAGUGUUCUUCGUUCUUCGUUCAUCGUUCUUCCAAGAUCAAGCCUCGACGGCCCUUGGAUCAACAAUCAUCCACCUUCAAGAUCAAGCCCCGACGGCCCUUGAAGAAAGCGUUCUUCGUUCUUCGUUCAUCGUUCUUCCAAGAUCAAGCCCCGACGGCCCUCGGAUCAACAAUCAUCCACCUUCAAGAUCAAGCCCCAAAGGCCCUUGAAGAACUUCCACCAAUUCAAGAUCAAGCCCCGACGGCCCUUGAAGAAAGCACCAUCGUUCAUCAUCCGUUCAUCCAAGAUCAAGCCCCAACGGCCCUUUAGAUCAACAACGUCGACAAAUCCACACAUCCAACCGUUCUUCAAGAUCAAGCCCAAAAGCCCUUGAAGAUCCGUUCAUCACUGUUCUUCAAGAUCAAGCCCAAAAGCCCUUGGAGAUCCGUUCAUCACUAUUCUUCAAAGAUCAAGCCCAAAAGCCCCUUUGAAGAUCCGCUCAAAUCCACCUUCAAGAUCAAGUCCACGGCCCUUGAAGAACGUUCAUCCUUAGAUCAAGCCCAACGCCCCUUUGGAUCAAUCGCACAUCCACAAAUCAACACCUUACGGAGAUCGAAUCAGAGGAUCAAAAUAGAGAGAGAUUGUAACCCAAAAUCAUCAAAUACAAAUAUUUGUUUGUGCGCGUUGUUCUUGUCUCUUUCGUUUCAGGAAUUUUCCGUGUUCACAAUGUGCUCUUGAAAUCAAAAUGAGGGCACUGCUCCAAGAACAAGAAGGGCACCUUGUCGAGGUCGCCAUCCGCCGUGAGGGAAAACCGGAAGAAGUUGGACAACAAUGAUAACAUCAAUUUGCGGCACCCAUAUCGGGACAUCACACUGUGAAAUAAAUAUUGAAAUAAAUACUCAAAACUCCUGGAAAGUCCUCGAGACAACAAACUUUCAUCUCCUUCAAACAUUUCAUUUUACUAAGUUUUAUCUUUGAAGGGAGGGAAAAAAAGAGAAGAGAGAAUCCUACUCCUUAUUCCUGAAUAUAUUCAAGAAUAGCUAUUGAAUAAAGAGAGAAUGGAGGGUGAUCGAAAGAGGAGGGAAGAGAAUUCUAGUUCCAAACAUAAAAAGGACCACAACUUUUAAAUUAUCAGCACAAUCAUCACCUAAUUGAAGAGACCAUUCACUGUGAAACAUAUUGUCAAUCAGUCUAUCUAUAUCUAUUUAUAUACCAUAUUUUUAGAGUAAGAUUCUCUCACCUCCUAUUACCAUCCCCUUCCAUCCUUUCAUCUCAUACUCUUUUUUUGUUGUCUUAUUCUCUAUAUAAAAAAAUUCAAAACAAGAUGUAUACGUGACGUAAUCGUAACCGUUUAAAUAAGAGGGGAUAGAAGAGAAGAGAGAUUAGGAGAAGGGAGAAUCCUACUCCCACAUUUUUCUUCUUCAUAAACAAAAGAGAGGUUCUAGAUUACUUGACUCUAUGCCUCAUUUUUUUCAUCAAGUAUUUGUGAUAAGUGGGUUCAUUUUCAAGUAUUUUAGUUUUUUUGUCAAAAUUGAGAAAACUGAAAAUCAAACAUUAAUAUGAAAAAUUAAAAAAUCAACAUAUAAUUAUUUAGAAAUCGCAAUAGAAAAGAAAAAAAAUGGAGGUUUGUGAUGAAAAAUCUUUUAUACUAAGUAAUUUAGUAUCCUUAUGCAUGAAGAUAAAUCAAUUUGUUCGUUACGGUCAUACUCUUUUUUGAAUUUUUGAACACAUUCUCCAUAGGGCCUUCUUAUAUGUUCCUUCUCCAAGCUCGGGUUAUGGAAGAAGUAAAAGAAGGAAUCGAAAAGAAAGUAUUGGUAACAACCGAUUUCAUUACGAGACAACUCUUGAUAUUCAUAUCAAUCUAUUAUGUACCUUUGCAUCUAGCAUUAGACAAUAAUUGUCAUAGCUUUACCAUAUUUUUUUGUUUCAUUUCUUCUGAAACAAUCUCACACACUUUUUUAUUAUGUGUCUACUACUAGGAAUUCAAUACGUAAUCUUAGCAUUCAAUAGUUAUUCCUAAAUAAUUUCAAUUUUCAAAUGAUCAACCAUUUCAUUUUACCAAGUUCAAUCAAUGUUAGUCAGAUUAGUCAACAUUUAUAUAUUUUGAUGCAACAACAAGAUGUUAUUUGUAACAAGUGAUUUUGUUAGUUGGUUAAUUGGUCACAAGUUAAUGUUCGGUUCAGUUUAGUUUUUCUCUCGAUUUUUUGUGAUUCGGUUUUUUCAAUUCUCUUUAGGGUCGGUUCGGUUUUGUUUUUUUAUUUAUACUUGAAUUUUAUUUUAAUUUAUUUUAAUUUAUUUUAUUUUAAAUCUGGAAACACCAAGAACAACACAAGCACAUAGUCAAUCAAACAACUAUCCUUCUCCACAAAUCAUAGUAAUAAUUACAUUCAUUGAGCUGAAAUGCAAAUAACUAACAAACUCACAAAAAUCAAAUAAAAACUACAAAUUGCUUACUCUUUUUCUUUGGGUUUCACUCGAAAAGUGUCGGUAAAAUUUAGGGUUUGCAAGAACGCAACUGAAAUCUAAAACGGAGGCCUUGUGGCCUAUGGGUUGCUAUUGAGUUCCAGUACAGAGAACCUUGCUUAAUCUCGAUCACGGUACAAAGUAUCGAGUACCUUUAGCACUGUAUUUUGGUAUGAUUGGUAGAACCAAAUUAAAAGCUAACAUCAACAACAACUACCAGAGACAAAAGCUCUUAUCAAUGCUUUGGAAACAUUUAUGUAUCUCCAAGUGUAAUGAUAUAAUUGGUUGGAAACUUGUGAUUUCGUAUCAAAUCAAUAAAAAGUUACAAUAUUGACAAUAUAUUAGCAAUUUUUAUGUUAAUUAUGAACAAGUCAAUCAUGUAGAACCAAAUUAAAAGCUAACAUCAACAACAACUACCAUAGACAAAAGCUCUAAUCAAUGCUUAGGAAACACAGUCCUGUAUCUCUAGGUGUAUUGAUAUAAUUGGUUGGAAAUUUAAAAGAAAAAUGGUGAUUUUGUAUAAAAUUGAUAAAAAGUUACAAUAUUGACAAUAUAUUUGACACACCCCGACCAAGAUCAAGGCAUGCUGGCCGUCACAUGAGAGUGACGUAACCAUGUGCACAGUGCGGAAGCAAUAAUGAUAAGAAAUAUAUGAAUAAUUAAAAACCGAAUCUACUAGAGUGCACUACUAAACAGGAAGUAUUAGGAGUAAGAUACAAAAGUAAAUACUCCUAAUCAGAGCAUAGAAAGUCUAGGUGCAAUCCAGUAGGACAAGUACUAAUUAUACAGUAUAAAAUGUCUUACAAUUAUUUAGAUAGGUCAGAACCGCCGAAGUCCUCACACCCAACAACUGCAAACUUACUUAAAACCUGAAGGGGCGCAAAAUAGAAAACGUGAGUGGGAAAAAACAAAUGUUUUACAAAACCAUUUCAUUUAUCAAUAUAUCUAACCCCUCGCUGUAAACAUGUAUAAUUUUUCCCAGAAUCAAGAUAUAAGCAUAUACAUAAAUAUAUAUAUAAAUAUAUCAAUUCAAAUCAUGCUUCACAUAAUCAUAUUCAUAUGUAUGUCAUGCCAAGAUAUAACAGAGUAAGCAACUCAGGUAAGAGUAAUUUCAUAGAAAUAUAACAUGUUAGCCGGAACCCCUGUAGUAGUCUGUACGGCUGAAUUCAUAGCUCAAAAGUCAAUCUAGCCGAAGUCACUACAAUGACCUAUACGGCAAUAUACUGCACAAGAGUCGGAACCAAAUGAAAAGAUCUGUACGACAAUAAUGGGUGUUGUUGAUGCACAAAAUCAGUGAGGACUUUGGUACAACAGAAAGUGUUAAGUUUGUGACAUUCUCUAGAUUACUCCGAUCACUAGUGUGGAUAAGUAUGUAAAUGGAUAAAGACAGGGAAGCAAACACAAGAUGUACGUGGUUCACCCAGAUUGGCUACGUCCAUGGAGUAAAUGAGUUCUUAUUAAUUGUGAAGGGUUUACACAAGUAUAUAGGUUCAAGCUCUCCUUUAGUGAGUACUAGUGAAUGAUUUAGUACAAAUGACAUUAGGAAAUAUUGUGAGAGAAUGAUCUCUAUUUAUAGAAGAGAGUUUCUAGUUUCAUUCUGACAUUGACACGUGUCAUGUUGUGAUUGGCUUCUGAUGUUGACAUGUGUUGCACUAUGAUUGGCUUUAGAUGUCAACAUGUGUCGCGUUGUGAUUGGCCUCCUGGUUUGAGGGAAACUCUUCUGGCUCCUUGACGGUAUAACGUUGAUCGAUGCUCAGUAGUUUCGGGAUUGGUCAAGUAUGGUACAAACAGGUGUAAUAUAAUCAUACUCAAUACUACUCUCACAUAAUAGCUGGGUGAUAAAUCGCUAGUCACCUAUGAGUCAGAACGAUAAUAAAGGUCUGUACGAAGACUGUGCACCUAAAUUGGAUCCAAUAUGACCAUAUGGUGCGGGAUGUGACAUUAUAUACAGGCUUGUGCCAUCACUGGCGGAGCUACACCCACGGCUACAGUAGGCUGUAGCCUAGGGAGGAUUUUAACAAACUGCUGGUAUAAUAGUUUAUAUAUGAGUUUGUUGUUGCUUAUUGUAUGUAUAAUAGCCCACAUAAAUCCUGCCAAAAUUAUUAGUUAAUGUGUUUCUUAAUUUAUAAAUAAUACUUUUAUUACCUUUUAUUAUUUUAUUAUUUUUAGGCUAAAAGUAAAAAUGGUAAAUUAAUACAUAAUUAGGUUUCUCCUAUUCCCCAUGCUUUUUACCUAUUCGUUCAAAACAAAAAAAUUAAACCCUCUACCCUAAGAAAAGAAAAACUAUGAAUCACCAUCAAAUUAUUUUCUAAUGAAAUUCAACACUAGAUAUGCUCUUCAUGUCUUCAUUUAACCUAUUUCUUGAUUCAAUUGUUCAUUCCAUAUAUCUACAGCACGACUUGAAUUGGUAUCCCCUAACCUUUUUUCUUUUGGGUACUUGUUAUCAACAAAAGUGAUAAUAUUUGUUCUCUUUCUAUUGCUUUUUUGUAUGCAUGUUUUAUUUGUGUAAAAAUUAGUUGGAAAGUAAUUAAUAAACUUGUUUGGAUUAUUAGUACUUCAUGUUCCUACUUUUAUGUAGAUUACUAUAUAAUUUUAUGUAGGCAAAAAAAAAAUUCAUAAGAUUAUAUGCUAAUGAUUUUAGUUAGCCCACCCAAGAAAAAUUUUCUGGCUCCGCUAUUAUGUGCCAUAACUCUGGCAAAAUCACAAUCACCCUAAGUGCAGUUUUAUGAGUUCAACGUUAUUCUAUCACAUAUCACAUCAUCGAUAAUUCACAUAACCAAACAUAACUCACAUGAGCUUACCUGAGCGUCCACAGUACCAUAAUUAUAUAUAAUGCAUCAUAUACGAAAUAUAAAUUCAUAUGCAUGGCAUUUAAGGUAUACUUUCAUUUAAACACAUAUUUCUGGGAAAAUAUCAAGUAUAUAAAUAUAUACUGAAAACCAAAAGCCCACUCAUUGGUAUGUCGAAGGGUCGUAGCCCCCGAGUCGCCUUUGAAUACUCUCGUCCUCGUGAUAAGUCUCACCUAUAUGCGAAUUAACUAUAAAAACGUUAUUUUAGAGCACAUACAAAAAAUUAGCUAAUAACUCUCAUACAAUGCUCAAUUUUUGUAUUUGAAUAUAUCACAGUGACCUACACAACCUCAAGAUCAUCCCUAAAUUUUUACAAUAUUUUUCUGACCCCUCACGCGCUGCCACGCACCGGCAAGGGCAACGCCUUACUCGCCCCCACGCGCGGCCACGUGACAAGCAUACUGAUGGCGUCAAUCAACAUCAUCAGGAAUAUUCUAGGGAAUAUUCUGUUAAAACCCAAUGGUAACUGUUAAAGAUGACUGACGGCAUGAGCAUAUUCUGUCAACCUUGACGGAAUAUACUCCUUUCUUCUCCGAUGAGUCGUCGGUCGCCGGCGACUUCGCCGAUUUCUUGGUAAAACUUUAAAUCGCUUAUUCUUCUUCGUUUCUUCGCCAUUUUUCAUGAAAUUGGUACCAAAAUGAAGCUAAUAACAUGUAGAAUCACUUUGUAUAAGUUUCAAGGCUUAAAAUCUACUAGUUUUUCCCUGAGAAAGCUCGAUAGUUCGGCUUACCUAGAUAUGCGUCGAUCUCAGCCCUCCGACGUCCAAUUCCUUCCAACGAAGUACCCCAAGACUCGUGAGGACCUCCUUAAGCUUCCUAUAAGCUUCAAAUUCCCUGAAACACAAGAUUUUACGUAUGCAUGAACAAUGCACAAAGUCGGAGCUAGGGUUUCCACGUGAAAUCGAAGGUUUCCUUACCUGAAAAUGGUUCCUUUGAAUUCGUAUGGUUCUCACGAACACAAUGGUGAUCUUAAAACCUUCGAUCUACAAGGUUUAAGAGGGUUUCUGGGUUGGUCCGUACGAAGAAGGGAGAGAGAGAAUGAGAAUCUGCGAGAGAGAGGGCACGGGAAGGAAAGAGAAAUAAGAUAGGUGUGUGUAUGGUCCAAAAGCCACCAAUCAAAACUAAGAAAAGUCUUAGUUGUAAUUGGGUCACCAAUCUAAAACAAUUUAACCCAAUAAUAACUUACACACAUCAUUUAACAUCCGAGGGUAAUUCCGUCAUUCUACGUCAUCGAGAAUAAUCUUCCGGGACGGGCUGUGACAAUAUCAGCAAUAUUUAUGUUAAUUAUGAAUAGGUCAAUCAUGUAUUUAAUACUUAAAUGUAUUUAAAAUAAACACCUUAUCAAUGUUUUCUGAACUGUGCUCGAUUUUUCUCCUUCGCUUUGGUUCUGUCCCAUUGGAUUUUUCAAGCAAGAUUUUAUCAAGGCAACUAUCAUUAACUGUGAACAUAAUUUAUCAUUGAGACACGAACAUCCAAGGGGGAGUGUCGUGGAAAAAAAUGUAGAUAUCUUUAUACGUUGUAUGGUAGUAAACCAUCAUAAACACCAUAAAUAUGUAGAAACGCCCUUGCGGUACCUUUGAAUGAUAACUCAUGUAUUUGUUGCCCUAUGUAAAGAUGGCUAAUGAUAAUGGAAGACUAAUUUUCUCAUCCCAAUCUCUCCUGUCUCUCUUAUUCUCUUUUCUCUAUAUUUUAUUUCCAACAAGUUGUGUUUUUUUUUUAGUAUUGUUAAGCAACCCAAUAGAUUUUAAUCGUAGUCUUUGUUUUUUUUCUUUUAUAUUUUUAAUCAAUUUCAGUUGCUUAUCAGUUCUAGCUAAUUGAGCUCUUUUACAGCAAUUUUUUUCUUUAAAUAAAAUUAUUAUUAUUAAAAAGAGUGAGAAAAUUCGAAAUUGUUACAAUAAUUUAAAAAAAAUAGGAGUUUCAAAUCAUGAAGGUAGAGGGAGUUAACAACAUUUUAGGGGGGGGUGUAGUCAAACUAGGAUUUUGAAGGAUUUUAAAAGUGAUAGAUUUGAUAGGAUUUAAGAUGAUUAAAGACUCUUACAAAAUUCAUAUGGAUUUUAAAGAAUAUGAAUGGAUUGCGGUGGAUUGUGGGGGAAGGAUUUGAAAUCCUAGGGGGUGAGGUUUGAUUCUUUUUAGUUUUGGUUAUAUAUGGUAUGCUUUCAAAUCCCAGAAAAUCCACAACUUUUUAAAAUCCUUUAAAAUCUUAAUUUUUUUAAUACACUUAGAUUUGGAUGGAUUCUAAAAUCCUUUAAAAUCUUUUAAUUGACUACACCUAGAUUUGAAUGGAUUCUAAAAUCUUUUAAUUGACUACACCUAGAUUUUAAUGGAUUCUAAAAUCCUUUAAAAUCUUUUAAUUGACUACACUAUGAUUUUAAAGUCUUUAAAAUCCUCUCAAAUCCAAGUUUGACUACACCCCCUAAAGAUUUUAAGGAAAACUAAUGAAAAUGGCUUGAAAACUUUGAGUUUUAACUAGGGGUGGGCAAACGGGUACAGGAACCGCGGGUAGGGGUGGGUAAUUCAAGUUCGGGGCAGGUAUGGGACAUGUCCAAUAUUUCUAAACACAAAACGGGGCGAGGCUGUUCGGGUAUAUGAAAUUAUCGGGGCGGGGCGGGUCUUAAAAUAGAAGGGAACGGGCCCCCAGCCUGACCCGUUUCUUUUCCUCAUCCCUAGUCUUCUCUAUCUCUCUUCCCCGACACUUUUCAUUUCACUCAAACCCGGCCCAUUUCUUUUCCUCAUCAGUCAUCCCUAGUCUUUUCAAUCUCUCUUCCCUAACUCCUUUCAUUUCACUCGUACCUCGAGACCUCCUCUUAACUCGCUCCCAGCCUCCCACCGUCCUAGCUCCGUACCUCGCCAUCAUCAUCGUCAGACCUCCAUCUCUCCUGAUUUACUCAUGUCUUCCUCGCUGCGUCCGCCGCCAUGUCUCUCUUUCUGUGACGAACUUAAAGGGACGGACGAAGUUGAACAACUCGAAACGACGCCUCUUCUGUCUGAAUUAGACCCAUAUUUGCAGCGCACGACUCUGCUCAUAGUCCUCUUCGGUUUUAAGGUAUUACGUUUUAGAGAUUUAGGAUUGAAAAUUAAAUUAGGGUUUUCUAGAUUUAGGGAUUUUGUUGGGUUCUUGAACCUUGACCUCUGUUAUGUUCCAAUUUCAAAUAUAUAUUGAAUUGAAUUUGAAUCGACUGUGUUUGAAACUUCUGUUGAAUUAAAUUGAAUUUGAGCAGGAGAAGAGGCAGAUGUGGGUUGGGCAAUGUCGAAUCUCAUUGUGGGUGGUGAGGUGGGCAUGGCGGGCGACAAUAUUGACUGGCAAUGGUACGGGCGGUGCUAUUAAGUUGCAGAAGAAUACGAAGGAGGGGGUGUGGGCAUGGGUGGAUAUCGCAAGCUCAAUUGAAUUUUUUCUGGUUUUGUUUGUGAUUAAUUGCUUGUAUAUGAUAGUUAUUGAUGGAUCUUGACAUGCCCAUUUAAUUGUUAUUGGCAAUGCUAGUUUGAUUGUAACAAAUUCAAACCGAUUGAAUUGUAUCCCAGAAAAAAAAAUCAAUAAAGGAACUGAGGACCCGGCCCGAACCAGCCCAUUUCAACCGGGCCAGGUUAGGUUCGGUUCUUAUAUUAGAAAAUGUUGUUCCCGGCCCGUUUCUCUUAAGCCCGGAUCCAGUCCGAUCACUUCGAAAUUGGCCCCAACCCGGCCCGGGCCCACCUCUAGUUUUAACGAUAAGGACAAAAUAAAGGGUAAAGUGAAUAGUACCAAGUUUGACUUUUUAGUGUAAAAAUGUAAUUUUUCGUUAAAAUAAGAUUUUAAUGGAUUCUAAAAUCCUUAAUUAAGAAAUUAGGCUUCAACCCAACUCAUCUUUGCAACGCCGGUUCCACUUCACAUCAACAGGCAAUGUUUUCUCCUCAACAAAUAGUAUUCUUUUAUGAGACAAAGACUAAUGAGGGUGAUAUAUAUAAUUAAUAAUAAUACUUGUGUUCCCUUUGUGAGUGAAUGCACUUAUUUUACCAUUCUCUAAUAAUGUAUCUUUAUUAUAUAAAUUUAUAUCAUGUGGAUAUCUUCCUAUAAAAAAGUUAUUCAAAUUGGAAAUCCUUACGUCAUCAAAAUAUAUAAAAAAAUGGACGAUCUCAUCGUAAAUAUGUUAGUUACUCACACUAUAACUUUGUAUAUUCCCUCACGUAGGAAACGCAAUAAUUAUCCUCUAAUUAAUUCUUCUUGAGAGUAGAAUUUUUAUUGUUGGUUUUUCGCAACCUUCAGACCUAAAGCUGAUAUGGACCUCUCAUUGUUUUUUGGGUUGCCGUUCUUAUUUUGCUUGGUCCUUUUACCUUUUCUAUAGUUGUUUAUCUAGUUCUUUUGAGCCUCGUACUAAUUUUUAAUGUAAUGAAAAUUAUCUUCGUGAUAAAAAAAAAAAUCAUUAGUCCUCGUAUGAACAUGCGAUGUAACACACUUUCAUGGAACAACAGAUGAUAAAGACGAUAUCCAAAUUUUCUCUGUGUUAUGUGGACUUUCCCAACCAAAUAAAUAAUAACCAAUAAACAAAUAAAUAAGAGUUUAACUUCAAACAUUGAGAAGCGAAAUUCCAACACUACGAGCCUAACUUUUGUCUUCAUCAUCAUCAUAGACUAGUCUCCUAUCCAUCAACUCCUACAUCAAUUUUUUUUUUUACUAGAUUGUAGCUCACUUUCAAAAGAGUUACGUAAAGUAUUUAAGCACCAUAAAAGAAAAUUAAACGACAACGAUUGACAUAAUAUUAGUAGUAUCAUGGUCUAAAAUAUUCAUAAUAUCUUGAUAUUUUUAUUGAAAUUUUCGUGUUUUUAGACUACCUAUAUUUUCAAUAUCAUCGAUAUUUUAAACCUUGCUAAGUCACUCAUGUAUCUUACCAUGCAAUGUAUAAAGUGUAAAAUAUUGUACUAAUUCAUUAUAUAUAAAUGAUUAUAGUGUGUUUAAACUUCUUUCAUUAAUUACUACAUAUUUUCUACACUCACAAUGUUUGCCAGCUCGCUAUAUAAUCAACUUAAAUCAAUUAUAUCUAUCAUGUAAUGCAUUUCCUUCCAAUUUUUUGUGAUAAACUAAUAGAUAAUUGACUAAAUAAACAUCCUGCAAAGUUUCAAUAAAAAUUUCCAAGUUUUUCUUACAAUUUCCGUAGUUUUUAUUCAAUUUUUAUCGAUAUCGAUAAUAUCCCGAUAUUUCCAUCGAAAUUUCCGUAUUUUUAGACUACUGAUAUUUCCGAUAUCAUCGAUAUUUUAUACCUUGGUAGUUAUACAUUUUAUCGGCCUCAUUUUUAUGCAACUUAUACAUUAAAUUAUUGUCAAAAUGUACAUAUAAAGUAGCUGAUCAACGAUGAGAUUUUAGGCAACCAUUUUCUUCUACGACGUCAAAGGUUGUAGAGGUGGCCAUGUGCACUACAUGCGUAAAUCAACUAGGGACUUGGAUCCUCUCUUAAGCCCAAGGAGAGGAUCCUCCUAACCAAAUGACUUGGAUUGUUGGAUGAAAAUCUAACGAUUACAAACAGAUGAUCUCUUUAAAGUUAUAAUAUUUAUUACCGUUGAAUUUUCAUCAAACGGUCAAAUAUCAUUGGUCAAAAGGGUCCUCUCAUUGGGCUCAGAGAGGACCCAAGUGCAUCAACCAGAACUAUUGCUAUUAUAACAAUUCAUGAAAUCAAUUAAACAAUAAUUUUCCUUCUGGCAGGCAUGUUAGUUAUUUCUUAUUUGGCCAAUUGCCUAGUGGAUUUGGUAGAUUUAACCUCUCCACCACAAACACAUUUAAAAAUUUCCAGAAAUCCGUAACGUAAAAUUUAAAAAUAAAUAUUAAUAACAGCAAGUUCUUUUCACCGACCGUGACCGAGAUCUGUCACAUAUCCAAAAUGUCACCUCCUUAUCGCAAAAACCAAAUUUGACUUGGGAUAAAUACCGUGUACAAAUUAAACGCGUUUCUCUAGCUUUUGCGUAAAGAGGCAACCCAACACUAAACUAGGAAAACGUUGGGUUGACAAAGAUACCAUGAAGAAUAAAGGGGUUAUGCAAUCCACUUUGCAAGAUAAUCAAAGUUUCCCGUUGUAGACUUGUCUUAACCCAACACUAAACUAAGAAAACGUUGCUUUCCCGUUGUAACAUGAAACAACAUUAAACAACAUUAAACAAUAUUAAAUAACAUUAAAUAACAUAAAAAUUAUACAACAUAAAAAAAACCAUUUAACAACAUAAAACUUAAAAUGCGUACUUCUUGCUUCUUGUGGCCUAAAGAUGUGCAACAAGAUCUUGAUGUAGGUACUUGUUUGUGGCACGAAAACGUAUCAUCCUAGCCGUUGGAUUUGAAUUUUUUUUGUUUUCGGCCAAAAAAUUUUAAAUUUAAAAGUUGAAGAUGGUGAGAAAUAUGAUCCUACACUGUUCAUUAAAAUAUUAAUUUCUUGAAUGACCAAAAGGCUAAAACAAGCCAUCCUUCGGUUGGAGAUGCCUAAGGAGAGACUAGAGAUAGAGAGUUUCCUAUAUAUGAUUUUCAUUAACAAGAUUGAAAUGAUUUCAGAGAGAAGAUCAAGUAUGGUUAUUUUUAUUUUGUAGAGUGUAGACAUUAUAACUAUACAUUCAUAAUAACAUGAGUAAUGUUAUAUUUAUCACAUUUGUACUCUUUCUCUGAUAAAGGUAGGGUUCAUCAACACAUGUGGGUUCUAUUUGCCCAUCAACACAUGCGGAUCUCAUUUUUAUUAGAAAAAUAGUACAAAUAUGGUACGGAAAAUAUGAUAAGAUCGCAAUUUUGUAAUAACAUAUAUACUCAACUAUUUAUAUACCGACCCAUCUCCUUUUAGUGUAGAUAAUAUCGUUUGUUAAAAAAAAUGUUGAACUUGUCAUAAUCAUUGAAUCCAUUUACCAUGAACAAACGGCAGUUUACUAAACUUGCCCUCAGAGUAUAUAUAAAAGGUGAAUCACAAUCUAUUGCAUUAAUAUAAGGAAACAAUUUAUAGGGUUUGACGGGUGACUUAAUAUGCUAUAUGGCACAAUGAAAAUUAAGUUCACACUUUAUCCCAAAUAAGGUGUUGCACCUUUAAUUUAUGGAUGCUGGUUUGACGUGUGACCGAAAUAAUCAAAUUGUAGCCAUUAAUCAUUUUACAAGUAAUAAUAUGUAGUUUUUACUGUUUACGAUUCACACAACAAUCUGCUAGGAAGUAGAAAAUGCAGUACUUGUCCCUCUCACAGAAGUCAUGAAUAAUUAUCAAAUUCAAAGAUAAAGAAAAACCACACAAUUUACAAGAGGAAAGAAAAUGAAGGGAUAAAGAAAGUAAGAAAGGAAUACCUCUAUGGGAGGACUCUUAUUUGCUUCAGAUGCCUACAAUAUUCAUCAUAUAAACACUGAUUAAGUAGUCAUCGAAAACCAAAACAAAUGUCGAACAUAGGGUGAAAAACAGAAAGAAUAACCGCAGCUCAUCAUACCAAUAGAGAUAGAACUGCCCGAUGCCCAAGUAUGACUGAAAAAUGGCAAUCCAAACAUGGCGCCUUCUAGCUCAUCAAACUGUCAAAACCUAGGUUCCACCAAAAAGAUACAAGUCACCUAGUUACUUGUAAAAUAAAAAUCUGUUUCAAAAUAGUGGAAAAUAUUAUUAACAUUGUUCAAAGUCCACAUUGUUGUACCUACCAAGAAACAAGAAGGAUUGUAUCUUAUCAUGAAAAAGAACAUAGGUACCUUUUCAAUUGUAAUUGUACAAAAAUGAGAGACCACUUCCGAACUUCUCUUGGAACUUCAAUCAAUUUCUGCCCACUUUUAAAUGCCUUGACAUACUUAAGCCUAUUUCUUUGAGCUUCAGUUUUGGCUUCUGAUGCCUUUAAAUUUCUUAAAGAUUCUUACCAAGUUUUACAAACUCACUUCUAUACAACCAUUUGUCAGUAUACAUACCAUUUUCUUUGAGCUUCAGUCUUUGCAACACCAAAACCCCCCAAAUAGACCCGGAAUUUUGCAAUGUGCAGGGAAUAUACAAAAAAAACCCUCCUAUCCAUCUAAAACGAAAUCAGAACCCAAACCACAAUCAAAAUCCGUAAAAUUAAUUUAGCCAACCCUAAAUCUAAUAAUUCUAACAAAUAUUAUAGUAUCAAUUGAGAGAGAAUUUGAGAAGAUACCUAGAGAUGAAAGGAAGAGCGUUUCCUCUGAUAGGGGUUCCGUGAAAGCAUCUGUUGACCAGAAAAGAAAAGGCAAAAAACCCCAAAUUACAUAUCAAGCAAUUAUAGAUAGAUCGAACCUUGAAAAUUGAAAUUUCAAACAAGAGAAAGGUUAUAAACUUACAACGAUCUGGGUGUUGGUUACUGGGUUUGGAUUUGGGUUUCUGAUAAGAGAGAGAAUCGUAUGAGGAACCGAUAGAGGAACUGCACCGGCAACAGAGAGCAACUGAUAUGGUGGAGAAUAGAGAUGGGCAAAAUAUCCCGGUUAUCCGCCCAUUUAAAGUUCACAGUUACGGUUAUGGUAAUUGAACGGUUAUGGGUACUACCCGUGGUUAUAACGGGUAUCUAUUGGUUAUGGGUAUUAUCCGCGGUUAUAACAGGUAUUCAUUUACCCAUUUAAUUUCAUAUAUGUAAAAUUUAUAAUAUUUUUAACAGUUAUAACGCGUUUUUGUAUUUGUUGCCAAACUUUUCGUAUACAAAAAAUUUGAAGCACAAGAAGCCAACAAGGAGAAAGAUCAAAGAGCUUACUUGAAGCUUAUGAUCUAUCCUGCGGUUAAUAGAAAGUACUGGUAUUAGUGUAGAAAAAUGUUUGUUUUUAGAAGCUUUAUUUUGUAAUCAUAUGAAUUAUAAUUAAAGACUUGCUUGGGUGUAGUAAAAAAAUAUCGUUUGUAAACUAUUAUUUCAAUUAUUAGAAUUGUAUGAUGACCUAAAUGAUUAAAAUAGAGAAAUGCAUGCUAAAAUGUAUUUAUAACAGUGUUUAAUUGUCAGAUUUUUUUUUUUUUUGUAAUUUUCAAGUUGUUAAAAAAAACAUGCAGAGAGGUGAAAAAAGGGAUUAAAAAAUGAUAAACGGGUUCAAAACGGGUAAACGGGUAAAUGAUUAUGGUUAAAUAGGUAAACGGUUAUGGGUAAAUGGGUACACGGUUAUGGGUAUGAGUAUAACCGUUUAUGCAAUUACCCAACGGGUAAACGGCUAUGUGGGUAUGAACAUAAAUGGUUAUGAGUAAAUAACCGCGGUUACCCGCCCGCUAUAACCAUUGCACAUCCCUAAUAGAGAACAUACGAGAAUAGCCGCUUGGAUGGUCAAUCCAAGAAGAGAAAAUCUUGCCACAAUCACGGUACUUGAAAAAAAAAACAAUUUUAAAGGAGGGAAACAAUCGCGCCUUUUUUUUAAUAGACUCUGUCGACGAUAUUCUUGACAAAUAGUCGGGUGAGCUUAUUUUUCACAACAUUUUAUUUAGGACUAGGUUCGGUUGGCAAAUCGUGUCAAAUUUCUUGUGCCAUUUGCCAGCCACAUAUACAUAAUUACCAAAAAUCAGUUACCGUUCGCCAACCAUCUUCUUGCGGUUGCCAAAAAUCGGUUCAACCAAAAUGAUUGGCUGGUUCGGUUGGUAAAUGGCACAACCGGUGGUUUCCACUUCUUCCUCGCUAUCUUCUAGUUGCAAGGGCUCAAUUUGAUUUUCAGAUUGGGAUGCUUGUUCGGUUGCAUUGUGUGGUUCAUUUUGGGUUAAUCCAUGUUGUGCACUAGCAAUUAAUUGGCUAGACUCCAUCAUCCUAAACAUAAGCAACACAUAUACAUUCAAAAUCAUAUAUAUGUACGUGUAUAUAUAGUAUCAGUAAUCAUCAUGUUAUCAAUUUUGUUAACAAUAUUUUCUAUAUUGAUUAUGGCAUGAAUCAUAUACAUAUACAUAUAUUUUUUAAACCCUAAAACUAAGGAGUUAUUUAUUUUCUAAGCCCUAAAAUUGAGGAGUCAAGCAUGUAAAAAAAUACUUAAAAUAUCUAAAUAGAAAAAGAAAAAAAAAAAAAAAAAUAUAUAUAUAUAUAUAUAUAUAUAUCGGUAGGUAUGGCAUACCGCCGACAUACAAAAUCAAUUACCAAAGCCAUGCCAUUAAUUGUCGGUUCGGUAAAAUGCCAACCGAUUAUGAAAAAAUGCCAAAACUAUACCAUACCAUUUUGAGCCAACCGGUAUGGUUCGGUCGGUAAAUCGGCUUAUGGCAAAAUUUCUCACCCCUAAUUUUAUUUGUCGCCUUAAACCUAUUGGUUUCUAGCCUACAAUUUGGAUAUUUUGUUGGGGAAAGAUUUUUGUACCAAUAAAAUUUUGCUUUGUCAGCUUAGGAUUUGUCGGCAAAAUGACAUUUUCUAGUCGUUAUAAUAUUAGGUAGAUCAAAUUUGUAAACUAUGUGAUGUGUCACCAAUAGGAAAAAAAUUCAGUGUGCUGAAAAUACAGUCUAGAACACCAAGUGUCAUAAUAUAUACUUGGUUGGAAAUUUUUUAUUUUCAAGUUUCCAACUAAUUGUAUUGUAACAGUUGGUGUUCCAAGCUAUUUUCUCGAUGCGUUGGAAAAUCUCUUCACCAAUUAAAAAUAAACAUAUUAAUUAACACUUAAGUAAUAAUCAAAGUAUCAACAACUACGUCAUAAAAUUUACGAAAUAUGAUCUUAAUUAAUGAUCUCCAUGGCAUUACCCUUUAUCUUAGCGUAUACGUACGCCUUCACAUGUUUAUUUGCUGAUAUGCAGCUUGAGUAAAAAUUUCUUUUUAAGAACAUAUAUGUGAAUAUAAACAUAUAUAUCUAGUGAUCCAUGUUGCGUUAUUUAAAAAUAAACAAAUUAAUUAAUUAAUAAAUGAACUGUGUGCAUGUCUGUGUAGAGUAAUCCAUAUGCAUGCUUGAAUCCUGAUCACCACGAAACCAUAAUAUAAGCUACUCAAGGCCCGGAAGCUAGGAUUGAAGAGAAAAACACCCAGUCAGAUUAAGCCAAUAUAUCAAAGUUAAUACUUCGAAAUGUAAGCUUUAAGAUAGAAAAAUCACUUACUACCUUGAGCAGUCGAGCUUCUUCAAUGGCAUGAAGCUUUUAGCAUGAGAUUGACUGCAUCACAACUAAAAUUUUCUCUUGGAAACUACAUAAGGAAUAGCAUGUAUACCUAUAACGUUGAGAAAGUACGCCAAUUUUUUCCUUCUGCACAUUCAUGUUUAAAAGUAAUCCUCAAAUGAACUUGCCCACAAUGAAAUGCAAUUUGAGGUAGUCGAGUGUGUUCCAUUUCCAUUCCAUGGGAAUUACUACUAAACUUUGAGAUGGUAAAGGAUUCAUGAAAUUUUUUACUUUUGAGAUAGCCUCUUUAACAUUUCUCGACUAUAACAAUGAGGGAAUACUUCACCUUGUAUCAAACAAGGGAGAGCGAAAAUCAACUACUAAUAGCAUCACAGAGCCAGCAGAAGAUUGAGGAGGCCAUGAAGAGGAGAGAGAAAAUACACUCUUUUUUUUUGUAAGGACAGAGAUAAUACAUUCAGUAAGGGGUACUGAUGUUUAUAUGCAAUGCUGAUUAGGUUUAAAUAGUCCUAUUUAUUCUGUACAGUGCCAAUAUUACCACCCGUUAGUACACUUUCAAGACACUGUACUCCAGUGUGUGCGCUAUGCAGUACGUAGUACUCCUCAUUUUUUGGGGAAAUUCAUUAUUGGUCUUCAUAUCUUCUUUAUUUUCCUUUUCCUCAUUGUGCCACGUGUUUAAAUCACUAAUUGUAGGUAAUCUUUCAAUUUAAUUAAAUCUUAUGUAAAAAAAGAUAUUUAAAUAUCAUUUAGUAUUACAAGAUAGUGAUAUUCCUCUUUAGUAUAAAAUUUUUAUAAUUAAAAGCGUUCAGUUUUUUAAUCUUCAUUUGAAUACUAUCUAUAAAGAAAAAUUAUUCGAAUAAGAGAUCGUUUAUGCAUUCAAAUGUACAAAAUGCAUCGACAGUGUGAGAACGAAUUAAUAUAUUUUUGAUGAAGUACAAUUAUUGAAUACAUUUGAAUGAUCAAAUGAUAUAUGAUUCAAAAUACAUAUUAAGAUAAUAAAUAUAAGUGAAUUGUUAUUAGCACUCCAAGAAUCUUAUUAUACACUCUAAAUUUUCUAUAUUUUGAAUGAAAAAUAAAUUUAUGAAGAGUGUAGAAUGAGAUUUUUUAAUGCUAAUAACACUUCUCUAAAUAUAAUUAUGAAAUUAAUAAAGUAAAGAUACAUGACCUCGUGAAUGAUGUAUGUAUUAUUCAAAAAAUUAUUAAAAACAAAUUGAAAAAGGACGCUGUUGUUGCCACCACUUAUGCAAUGAUCGUCGCUGCCAUCACCAACCCCCAACACCCCAUUACAGCUCAUAAAAGCACAUCAUAAGCAAUUUAUGAAAUAAAUUUACUGGAAUACUAAUUUCCCCCUUAGUUUAGGUCACCAAUGUUUAAAUUUAGGGGUGUGAUAUGCACAUACCUUUUUUUGCUUCUCUCACACUUUUUUUGUUGUUGUCGAAUCAGAUGAAUUGAAGAAGAUCAAUUGACAGAAAUUAACAAGGGGUGUAUGAAAAGUAAAAAUGGAUGUGUAGAUAACACAUCCCUAAAUUUAUCACAACUUUCAUUCCAAAUUUAAUUUUUAUGCGUAGUUUUGUUUGUUCAAAUUUACUUUGACAUUUCAAUUAGUAUUAAAAUCUAAUUUAAAUUUUAGCGUUCAAGCUAGAAAAAGUGUUCCAUUUAAUAUUUAAUCUCAGUUUUUCUCUUUAUUCUUUUAUUCCGAUUUGGUUGCAUCGUAUCUCCAUUUUUCUCGGUGUUGUAUGUUCAUAAGGCCUGGGAAACGUUGGCACGGAGUGAAGGGUACUCACUUUUUGGCCCAAAAUGCAUAAGGCAUGUAGAUAUGUUAAUCAAAUUUUGUAAACUAAAGGAUAUAGAAGUUGAUACUUAGAUUAUAAUUUAAGAUAAUACUAAAGAGACUAAAUUUGCAAACUAAAUGAUGUGUCACCAAUAAAAAUAAGCACGUUUAUCAACGCUUAAGUAAUAAAUCAAUCAUCAACUUUCAUGUCCUUUAGUUUCCAAAAUUUAAUAUACAAAUUUAGUCUCCCAAGCAUUACUCUAUUACUUAAGUAUUGAUUAACAGACUUAUUUCUUAUGGUGACAUAUUAUUUAAUUUACAAAUUUAGUCAACCCAACAUUACUCUUUUGAAAUUGUCUUGUCCACUGAUAUAAUUCUAUUUUUCUUGUGAUCAAAACUUCAAAUGUUAGCAAGUCGCACGUAAAGUCACUUCUGAGAGAAUGUGCUCACAUUGUAGUUGAAAGAUUAUGUGGCUAGCAACAUUACAAAUUUAAUUUGGUAUAAUUUAAAAUAUAGAUUGAGGAAAAAAUGAUCACAUUAACUAGAAACUGAAAAGGUUUCAGCACAGUUUGUUCAAGCAAGAAACUCAAUUUUGAUGCUACCGAUCUUAACAGCCUGAGCGCCGUACCUGGGCACUAAAGUCACCACCACACUCUCAUCAUCUUCAGCACCCAAAUCCUCCAACAGGUCCGUUAACCCCAACCUUAAACAACUCUUGCUCUUUUCCUUCUGCUUAUGUGGAACACUCACAAAACUCCCAGCAAACUCGCUCUUGUCGGGUCCACUCGGUGCCGCAUCCUCAUCGUCCACGUCAUUCACAUACACAUCAAACUUCACAGCCACAUCUUUGUCAAGCUCAAUCCCCUGAAUCACCAGUAUCUCCUCCUCAUCCUCUUUCUCCUUCUUGCUCCUCUUCUUCGGCUUCGGCCUUGACACCACCGUACUUAUCUUUGUCUCCAAAUUUAUUGGAAAAUCUUUACCCGCCACCACCUUCCCCGAUGACGUCGUCUCAGCGGCCUUCGCCACUCCAGCCGCCUUUGCCUUUCUCGCAAGCUUUGUCCGACGUGGCGUCGGUCUAGACUUGAGCCAUGGAAUCUCAACAUCUUCAUACGUAUACCCUAGCUUUUUAUUAUCAAGAGUGUCCCUCACCGUGACCCUAACAAGCUCAGCAUUCUCGUCAUAAAACAAAAACCCCGUAUCCAACCAAUCCUUAUCGUUAAUAUCUUUAUUUUUAGUCCCUAUACUUUUCCAAAUAUUCCACAUUCGAUCUAUAUUCGAAUGGUGCGAAAAAAAUAUUGGAUCCCUUGCAGCGGAGUAAAAAUUCCCCAUGUCUUCAAAAUUAGGUUGCGUGUUAUCUCCGGUCCAUGUAUGAACCGGACCAUGUGGGGUCGUUUCGAUUGAACCGGCCCCUGGAUCUGGUUCGGUGCCAGCCCUGUAGGGCGAACCAAAGAACAACAGCGGUUUCUUGGAGUUGGAAACCAUCUGCCUAUACAUGAUUUUGAGGUUGGCGUCGAUUUGAGCAUCCUUGGACAUUGUUUCAUCCGUGCCGUUAAAGUCAAGAUCGAUGAGAGUCGGCGGCUGAUGGCUGGCAGCGCGGAGCUCGUCGUAAAGCGGAGAGUCCGGGUUAGCGAACAAGGCAGGGAGUUGCAUGCCAGCUGGCGCGUCCCAGUUCCAAAACGGCAACGCGAACGUCGGAUCGUCUAUGAGUUUGGCCAAGAUUCUUUCGUGGAAGUAUAGGUAGUAACGAUGGAAGGGGAAGAAAAGCCAGGAUUGAUGGAUUUGGAGCUCGAGGUUGGGGAAGCCGACUUGAUCGUACGCGCCGUCGCAAUAGGCACAGUGGAUAUCGGCUUGCUGGGUGAAGCUACGCGGAUCGUCGUCCGGGAGGGCUUUCAUGAGCUCGAUGGCUUUUGAAUAUUUUUCGAUGUAGGCUUUAUCCACGGUGUGAGCUGCCGGCCUGACGCGGAGUUUGGUAGGGGAGGGGAAUUUGAAGUCUACGAUUUUUUGGGACGUUGGCGGGCAACAGUUGGUCGGGACUGCUCCACUUGGAAAGUCCGCACCUCCGCAUUUGGCUAGGUCAGGCGGCGACACUGGCUUUGCAACAGCGAAGGGGUCGCUGCCAAGACCAGCCACUCCACCGUACAGGCUUCCGAGACCUAUAAGUACAUGUCUUCUGUCUAGGUUUACUGGAGAAAGGUUUUCAUGGUCGUGAUCGUUGGAGCUAGUGGAAGGGUUUUUGUUUUGGUCACUACUAUUAUUCGUGGCUUUGCAUGAGACGGCUUGUAAAUUGGAAUGCCUAGGGUUUUCAAAUAAGGAAAUUCGGUGAUACUUUUGGGAGAAAGGGAAGAGAGAAGUUGUGGGGAUGAUACUUGUGGUGGAGGUGACGAGUGGAGCUGACAUAGAAGCCAUGGUUACUUGACUCUGAAUACUACGUUGUAUAGGCUUUGCUUUUAUAAUGUGUUCUAGGUUUUACUUUUCUUUGCACAGGUGGCAGGCCGUACACAUUGGCGGUCCUUAAGGGUUUGACGAGGAAUACUACGUAGUCAUUUAGUACAGGGCAACCAUGCACUAUAGCACGUGGCAUGUAAUAUUUACGUAGUCUCAGAAGGUGAAGCGGUUUUGGGCUUCUUGUGUACCAAUAAUAUUUACGUACUCAUUAUUCCACUGGAUGGAUUGCGUGCACGUGAUCUUUAUUCAAACAAAUCACUAUUGACCAUAUAUUGCAAUUGGUUAAUGUUAGGCAAAUUAAAUUUUUACAUCAAAUAAUGUGGUUGCUGAUUAUUGAAUUAUUAUUUAAGUUUGAUUAAUGUGCUUAUUUUUUAUCGGUAAUACAUCAUUUGAUUUGCAAAUUUGAUUUACCUAAUAUUACCAGUUAUAAUUUGUAUAAAUGGACUGGUACCUAACAUUACCAAUUGUAAUUUGUAUAAAUGGACUCGUACCUAACAUUACCGGUUGUCCCAAGAGCACACGCUACUGCUCAAGAAGCAAAGUUCUUAUUUGCCCAAAAAAAAUCAUGGUUUUUUAAUUGAUGCUCUCAUUUUAAUUUACUAGCCCCUUACUUGGCCCUUUUUAUUUAUCAUUUUAUACAUAUUAAUAUUUUGUUUGUAAAAUAUAUUAGUGUUAGUUUUAUCAAAAUUAAAAAUAAAUAAAAAACUUAGCUUUAGUAUUUAGUUAUUGAAAUUGUAAAAAAAGUGAUAAAGUAUUGGGUGCUUUGUUUGAAAAUUUUCAAAAUGAUAUUGUUUUUACCACUGAACCCCUGUUAUAUACAGUGAUGGCUAAUUUGUCAAGUUCUACGAAGUUGGGAUACCCAGCGUUUUAGCAUAUAACAUAGCUUAGUAUUUCAAGCAUAAUUAAUUAACGAAAAAUUAGUAUCCGGUCCCUAGUUUUUACUGUUCAUUGACUAAGACCUUAUUAGUUCUCAAAUUUUGAUUCAAGUCCCUAGCAUUAAUGUGAUAAUGAAUUUACAUGUUUAUUAUAUAAUUUUUUAAUAUAAAAAUUAGUAAUUAAUUUAGGGUUUAAUACUCACACCUCUAUUAAACUUCUAAUUAAUUUUCAAUUCAGACAUUUCCAAAAUAAUAAAAAAUUAAAUUAAAUUAAGUUUGUACCUAUUAGUUUUUUUUUAUAUAUAAAAAGAUUCUCAAUUUUUAAUCUUAAAUGUACAUCUUAAAUGUACCCAUUCUCAAAUAUAUCAAUUUGUUAUAUGUAAAAUGUACCCUUUUUUAAUAUAAAAUCCAUUCAAAAUUUUUAAUCCAUGUUUAAACUUAUAUGGGUACAUUCUUUUUCGUUGAUUUGAGAAUGUAUCCAUGUUUUGGUACAAUAAAUUUUUUGUUAAUUUUGGUUAAUGUACCCAUACAUAUAUGUACACACACACACACACACACACACACAAUAUAAUAGAGAGUAUAAUUUAUAUUUUAUUAUUUUUAAUCCCAUAAAUGAUGGGUUUUAUUUAAAAUCUCAUUAAUAUAAACAAUUAUAAAUUUCAAUUUUUAAUUUUUAAUUUAAAAAAUAUAGUAACUUACAUUAUUACAUUAAUGUCAGGGACCUCAAUAAAAAACUAAAAACUAACAAGGUUUCAAUCAAAGAAUAUUGAUAGCUAGGGACCACAUCCAAAGUGUCCCUUAAUUAAAGGGUAAAUUACAUAGUAACCCCUCAGGUUUGAUGUCUAUUACAACCCCAUACAACAUCUUUAAAACAUUUCACUUUCAUACCUCAAGUACUAUUUUAUUUCAAUAUAAUACAUCUGUUAGAUUUUCCAUCCAUUAAUCCGUUAAAUGCUGACAUGGAUACCACAUUUGUGCCACGUGGCUGCCAAAUGCGUGUCAUGUGGCAAAAAUAAUAAUUUUUAAAUUUAAAAAAAAAUGAAUCUUCAACCCAAAAAAAAAAAAAAAAAAAAAACCCCAAACCCAGAUCCCAUCAACCCCCCCCAAACGAUUAUCCCUUCCCCAUAUCCCCCAUCCCACCCCCCAACCCCCCCUCUGCGACCAACCUUACCAUAGCGCCCCCCAACCUCGCGACCCACCUCACUCAAGGCCCUAAUCCACACUACCUACAACCCAGAAACGAAAAAAAAAAACAAAAAACAAAAAACUCAUCUCCCUUUCCCUGCAACCCAAAUCCCAUCUUCCCUAAUGGGUAUGGAUUUAAGAAGUGGGGUGUGUAGAGGAGGGAAGAGGGUGGGUGCGGAGGAUGGGUAUGGUGGGUUGCAAGGAAGGGGGGUCGGGUAAGAUGAAGAUGGGUUUUUUUUUUCUCUCUCUCUUCUUCUUCUUCUGGGUUGCAAGUUGUAGGUUGGGGUUUUUUUUUGGGGGGGGGGGGGAGGGAGGGAGGGAAGACGACGUGGGGUUUGGUUUUUUUUUUUUAAUUUAUUUAGAAGAUUUAGGUUUUUUGAAAAAAAAAAAAAAAUUCCACGUGGCACAAAUGUGGCAGCCACGUCAGCAUUUAACAGAUUAAUAGAUGGAAAAUCUAACGGAUGUAUUAUAUUGAAAUAAAAUAGUACUUGAGGUUAGAAAGUGAAAUGUGUUGAUGCACAAAACCGAAGGUCUUUGAACAACGUAAAUCCGAUCGUGAAUAUGCAAGUAAUGUAAAUAACACAAGAUGUAUCGUGGUUCACUCCAAUGUUUGGGCUACGUCCACACUGAUUAUUGUAUUUCUCUGAGAGGUGAGGGGGAGAGCUUUGAGAAAGCUUAGAGCUUAGGGGAUGUGAGAAGGCUUAAGAAUUGGCCUCCCUUAUUUGUGAGGGUGAUGAGUCCUUUUAUAGAAUAAGGGAUCCUCACUUAUUACAUAUUUGCCCAUUCCUUUAUUACAUAAUUACAUUUAAGUCCCCUGAGUACUUGUACAAGGUCUAAAUACGGAGGCCCUAAGUAUGGUACAAACAGUAGUCCCCCAAGUCUUCAGUCAAGAGAGUCUUUUGGCUAGAGACUUGAAAUUCUGUCCAUGUGUGAGCCGAAAUAACUAGAUGUCGUCUAGAACUGAUAUUUGAUAUGCGGCAGUGCCCAUUUUGAAAUAAUGCUCAACUAGAAGUAGCACAUGCUGCGAGGCUGCUCUGCUUGUGUUGCCUUGGUUGGCUCGACUUGUGGCGUUGAAGGUGAGAGAGUCCCUUUUAUAGAAUAAGGGCUCGCUCCUCAUUACAAAGAUGAUGGGUUAGUUGGUGCUUGCGGUGAGGCGGAUGCUCAGCUGGCGGCGAUGCUCUCUAAUGAUAGUGAGGGAGUCCAUUUUAUAGAAUAAGGGAUCGCUCCUCAAUACAUAAAUAAUAGGUGCUCUCUAAUGAAAGUAAGGGAGUCCCUUUUAUAGAAUAAGGGCUCACUCUUCAAUACAUAAAUAAUGGGCUAAGUCCCCUAAGUAUUUUUUAUGAGGCCUAAUUGAGGCCCAAUAUAUGGUACAUAAUGUAGUCCCCCAAGUCUUCGGUCAAUAGAGUCUGUUGGCUGGAGACUUCAAAUUGAAUCCAUGUAUGGGCCGAAGUGGCGGUUGUUCGGAAGCGGUAUUUGUAUACCCUGCACUGAAGCUUUAUAGGUGAAGCUUUGCAAGUGAAGCUUUGAAGCUGGAGCUCAGUAAAUGAAGCUUUUGAAGCUAGAGCUUUUGUAAAUGAAACUUUUGAAGCUGGAGCUCUAUAAAGGAAGCUUUUGUAAAUGAAGCUUUUGAAGCUGAUUCACAUGAGUGAUGCUCAUGAAUGUUUAUGUUGAUUGAUAUGAGUGAUGCUUAUGGAUGUUGACAUGAGUGAUGCUCAUGGAUGUUGACGUGAUGCUCAUGAAUGUUAACAUGAGUGAUGCUCAUGAAUGUUUAUGUAUGAUUGAUAUGAGUAAUGUUCAUGAAUGUUUAUGUAUGAUUGACAUGAGUAAUGCUCAUGUAUAAUUUGAAGUACUGGGCAUACUUUUGAUUACCUGGUUGGCGAUAAUAGCGGCAGGGUGCCGAAUAAUUUUUUGUAGUACUGGGCGUACUUUUGGUCACCUGGUUGGUGAUAAUAGCAGCAGGGUGCCGAAUAAUUUUUUGUAAUACUGGUCGUCCUUUUGGUCACCUGGUUGGUGCUAUUUUGAGCUUAUGGGCCUUCGCCCUCUACACAACAUUCCAGCCUAUUUAUUUUGGGCUUUACCGUUUUUUUUAAUUACCCUAUGAUGGGGUUUAUACAGAUGUCUCCGAAAGAUAUGAAAAAUAAAUUACAUCAUUCAAAAAUAAAUCCGACCCUCUGCUCAAUGGGUCACGCCAAUAAUUCUUUUUUUUUAUGCAUGCCAUCACCACCGCAAUUAUGUCUGCUUCUUUUUAUCUUCUUUUGCUUUCUGCUUUUGCUUUUACUUUAUCUUUCUCUUUUGGCAUAUGGCAGACAACGCCAAAACGGAAUAAUGAAUUAUUAUGAGAACAUGAAUCUUAUCUUUUGCCUGGUUUUCCACUAGUGCUCGUGGUAUUCUCAGGAGAUUGGAUCUGGGGGUAGGCGACUACCCCAGCACCUUGCCCUGAUACGUAAUAGCCUGAUGUCCCACUGCCAUCUCCAUACUGGAAGGUGUACGAACAAUGGUUAUUCUGUGUGGAACAAAUAGAAUCCGAUUGAGAUUCAAGACUGCACCUUCGAUCUGAGCAAGAAAUGAAUUGUGACGUUGAUGAACUUCUAGGAGGAGAAGCAGAGGAUCUUUGACUAUGAUGAUCUUUGAAUUCCAGAUGAAACUGAAUAAAAUGCAGGUUGUGGAGCUUGAUGUGGGCCCAGAUCUGCUUGACAGCUUUGGGGCGGGAGGAUUCCUUGACACUGAGGAAGAUUCCCAGAGCUGGAGGGAUGAGAAUCGACUUCAUAAUCCCGAUGGUGGGUUUGUGCUUGGUCGAAAGAUCAUUUCUGGCAGGGGAAAACAUGUACCAUACCUAUUGCAAAUCUUGCAAAUUCUCUGCUUCUCCAUGGAAGAUGAAGAGCAUCGAAUCUCUGUUUUCUCUCUCUCUCUCUAAAACGUUUUCGUUAUAGAGUGCCCCAAUAGAAGUGGACGGGCAGUGAGCAUGCCAUUUAGUGCCUCCUCCAAGACAGUAACUGAUACGGUGGUCUUUAUUGGCACUCCAAGUUUACUAAAAAGGGCAGCAAAAAUAGUAUUUACAGCACCCAAACUUGAAAGAUCUAGCUCCAACUAGUGGCUUUCUGUUUCAACAGCCUGAAAGCCGGCAGUGUCAUACCGACGCCGUUUGUCUGGAUCAAAUAAUAUAUUAUAAGAAAACAUGACCUUCUUGAAGAUAUCAGCUGUUUUAGAGUCAUUAGCAUUUUUGUCAGGAUGGUACUUGAGAGCCAUUUUCCGGUAAGCACUUUUGAUUUCCUGGUUGGUGGAAUUCCUAUUGAGGCCGAGGACCGCAUAAGGGUUUUGUCGGAGCUGCUUCUUAGCUUCUUGCUUCUCCGAUUUUGAUCGGCUGCCCUGCAUUUUUGAAAUUGACGGUCAAUUUCUUCACAAAACCCUAGAAAUUGCCUCUCGAUUACCUCCGAAACACAUAAUUCACGACUCUUGGUUGAAAUUUUUUUUUUUCAUUUCAAAGAAGUGGCGGAGGUAAAUCAGUUGUCACAUAGCACCGGAGCAUGAGGAAAACCUAGAAAACCAAGAGGCAGAGAGACUCCAUGCACAUCUAACCUGGAACCUUGCAGGAGAGAGCAGAGAGAAAGAGACAAGAAAGAUUGAGGGAGAAGCGAUCUUGGUGCAUCGUCUGUGAUUCCUUGGUGAUUUGCUCGAUCGGGACUCUGAAUUCGUGCAAGUCAUUGCUGUUAAGCAAGAAUCGCGAGGAGUCGGAGAGCUUGGAAAUCGAGAAGGAGAGAGGGCCUUUAGUCAGGGCUUGGAGGGUGUCGGACUCCGUCGGCCAAGAUUGGUGCACGGUCACGGCGUCUGGGCCCAUGGCGGUUGUGUAAAUGGGGGAGGUUCUAGGAGUCCAAGAAAGAAGAAGAAGCAGCGACCAUAGAUCUGGGAGUCCAUGGCGCUUGAAAGAUACGGCGAACAAGUCGGACUUGCUGCUGGGCAGCUGGCGGUGAUAAUGUUGGUGCAUGGGUUUUGGAGUGGGAGUGUUUGGAAUGGGUUUUUUGUUUAGUUUCUAUGUGUUUUUUCACAGAGAGAGAGAGAGAGAAGUGAUGGUGUUUAAGGGAUGAGUUUUGGAGCUUAGUGAAUGCUUUUUCUGGAAAAGCCCAGUGAGGUUUGUGGGUUUUUGCAGAUUUUGCAGAUUCGCGGUGGAGGUGAAAGAAUGAAAGAGAACCGACACAACUUUUCGUAUUGAUUCCCACAUACGGCGCCAAAUGUUGAUGCACAAAACCGGAGGUCUUGGAACAACGCAAAUCCGACCGUGAAUCUGCAAGUAAUGUAAAUAACACAAGAUGUAUCGUGGUUCACCCCAAUGUUUAGGCUAUGUCCACACUGAUUAUUGUAUUUCUCUGAGAGGUGAGGGAGAGCUUUGAGAGAGCUUAGAGCUUAGGGGAUGUGAGAAGGCUUAGGAAUUGGCCUCCCUUAUUUGUGAGGGUGAGAAGUCCUUUUAUAGAAUAAGGGUUCCUCACUUAUUACAUAUUUGCCCAUUCCUUUAUUACAUAAUUACAUUUAAGUCCCCCGAGUAUUUGUACGAGGUCUAAAUACGGAGGCCCUAAGUAUGGUACAAACAAAAUGUUUUAAAGAUGUUGUAUGGGGUUGUAAUAGACCUCAAACUUGAGGGGUUACUAUGUAAUUUACCCUUAAUUAAAAUAAGGGCAAAUGAAGAGGAUGGUUGAACUUGUUAAGUUUCUUAAGUGUGUCUAAUUUAAGUGUGUUGUUAAUAAACAUUUAUUAUGGAGGCAAAGAGAGGGAAGGUGCGGCAUAGAAAGAGAAGAGAGAGAUAUGUAAUUGUGAGUUGUGUUUUAUUCCAUCCCAUUGUGCAUUUAUUUAUAUUAGUUGGGAAAGUUAAUUCUUUAACCUUUUAGGAUUACAACUCUAAUAGGAAAAUAUAUAAUCUAAAAGAUAUGGUAGAAUCCCAUAAGAAUAUCCUAGAUAUGUUAGGAUUUACACAAUCAUAUUCCUAUUCCAAUAGGACUGCAAAACAUUUGUAUUUUUUUAUAAUUUUUUUGAUAAUUUGUUGGCAUUUUCAAUUUUUGUUAACAUUGAAAAUAUAACGGUUCAGAUGAAAAACCUUUGGAAAUCCAACAUUGAAAAUAUAACAGUUUGACGUUGGGCUGUGGUGAAGGAGGCUGGGCUGUCACGUGGGUGGGGCCCUCCCUCUCCCACUUGGUGAUUCAAAGGGCGCAGGCCCGUGCAACAAUUGAGGCAGCCCAUAGAGAUCCUGCGUUUCACCCAUUUGCCAUUUUUUCCACCGCUGGAGCACCAAAAUUCGGUCCAAAGGCAGGGGUUCCAAUUGCAUGGGCAAUUUGGUUUCCGCUGGAGGUGCUCUUUGUCGACUUUGUUUAUUCUUUCUUUUUAGCUUUGCAGUAAUAUUGAAGUAAUCACUCCAAUUGUAUCCGAACUUUUGUUGUCCAUCAAUUUGUAUCAAAACUAUUGGUUAAUUUACAUAUUCAGACUAACCUUCUCAUUAUUUUUAGUAUUUUUAUCAUAAAUAAUAUCUAAAAUAAUCACAUUUUAUUCAACAACCACUCAAUUAAAAAUUAAUUAAUGUUGUUUCUAAACCAUUACAUCGAGCUUUUGUAAAUACACAUCAAUAUUGCAGCGAUCCGAGGCAUUGUUUUCUACGCCUUGGAUUUGGCGAAUUGGAAAAGAGAAGAGUUACGAGUAAAAGUCCCUCACAUUAAGAGGGCUCCUCCUCGGGGAGAUGAAGAUGAUGAUCUUUUGUUUUUGUUUCUUAAUGAUUAAUCCACGCAGCAACAUAUAAUUAGAUUGUUGGGAUCUACUCAAGUUCCAUAUCACGCACUAAUAUAAAGUUUGACAAACGAAACGAAAUAUGUGCUCUCGAAAGCAAAAUGAGGGCACUGCUCCAAGAACAGGAAGGGCUCCUUGUCGAGGUUGCCAUCCGCCAUGAGGGAAAACCGGAAGAAGUUAGACAACAAUGAUGACAUCGAUUUGCAACACCCAUAUUGGGACAUCAAACUGUGAAAUAAAUACUCAAAACUCCUGGAAAGUCCUCGGGACAACAAACUUUUAUCUCCUUCAAAUAUUUCAUUUUACCAAGUUUUAUGUUUGAAGGGAGGGAAAAAAAGAGAUGAGAGAAUCCUACUCCUUAUUCUUGAAUAUAUUCAGGAAUAACUAUUGAAUAAAGAGAGAAUGGAAGGGGAUCGAAAGAGGAGGGAAGAUAAUUCUAGUCCCAAACAUAAAAAGGACCACAACUUUUAAAUUAUCAGCACGAUCAUCAUCUGAUUGAAGAGACCAUUCAUUGUGAAACAUAUCGUCAAUCAAUAUGUCUAUAUCUAUUUAUAUACCACAUUUUUGGAGUAGGAUUCUCCCCCCUCCUAUUACCAUCCCCUUCCAUCCCCUUCCAUCCCCUCCUUUCAUACUUUUUUUUUUCUUAUUCUCUAUAUAAAAAAUUCAAAACAAGAUGUAGAUGUGUCGUAAUCGCAAUAGUUUAAAUAAAAGGAGAUGGAAGGAGAGAUAAAUUACGAGGGGAGAGAAUCUUACUCCCACAUUUUUCUUCUUCAUAAACAAAAGAGAGGUUCUAGAUUACUUGACUCUAUGCCUCAUUUUUUUCAUCAAGUAUUUGUGCUAAACGGGUUCAGUUUCAAGUAUUUUAGUUUUUUGUCAAAAUUGAGAAAACUGAAAAUCAAACAUUAAUAUGCAAAAUUAAAAAAUCAACACAUAAUUAUUUAGAAAUCGCAAUAGAAAAGAAAAAAUGGAGGUUUGUGAUGAAAAAUCUUUUAUACUAAGUAAUUUAGUAUCCUUAUGCAUGAAGAUAAUCAAUUCGUUCGUUAUGGUCAGACUCUUUUUGAAUUUUUGAACACAUUCUCCAUAGGGCCUUCUUAUUUGUUCCUUCUCCGAGUUGGGGUUAUGGAAGAAGUAAAAGAAGGAACCAAGAAGAAAGUAUUGGCAACAACCGAUUUCGUUACGGGACAACUCUUGAUAUUCAUAUCGAUCUAUUAUGUACCUUUGCAUCUAGCAUUAGACAAUAACUGUCAUAGCUUUACCAUAUUUUUUUGUUUCAUUUCUUCUGAAACAAUAACACACACUUUUUUAUUAUGUGUCUAAUACUAGGAAUUCAAUACAUAAUCUUAGCAUUCAAUAGUUAUUCCUGAAUAAUUUCAUUUUUCAAUUGAUCAACCAUUUCAUUUUUCCAAGUUCAAUCAAUGUUAGUCACAUUAGUCAACAUUUAUAUAUUUUGAUGCAACAACAAUAUGUUAUUUGUAACAAGUGAUUUUGCUAGUUGGUUAAUUGGUCACAAGUUAAUGUUCGGUUCAGUUCAGCUUUUCUCUCGAUUUUUUGCGAUUCGGUUUUUUCGAUUCUCUUUAGAUUCGGUUCGAUUUUGUUUUUUUAUUUAUACUUAAUUUUUUUUAAUCUGAAAACACCAAGAACAACACAAGCAUACUCAAUCAAACAACUAUCCUUCUCCACAAAUCACAGUAAUAAUUACAUUCAUUUAGCUAAAAUGCAAAUAACUAACAAACUCACAAAAAUCGAAUAAAAACUACAAAUUGCUUACUCUUUUUCUUUGGGUUUCACUCGAAAAGUGUCGGUAAAAUUUAGGGUUUGCAAGAACGCAACCGAAAUCCAAAACGGAGGCUCUGUGGCUUGUGGGCUGCUAUUGAGUUCCAGUACGGAAAACCUUGCUUACUCUCUAUCACGGUACAAAGUAUCAGUACCUUUAGCACUGUAUUUGGUAGAACCAAAUUAAAAGCUAACAUCAAUAACAACUACCAGAGACAUAAGCUCUUAUCAAUGCUUUGGAAACAGUCAUGUAUCUCCAAGUGUAAUGAUAUAAUUAGUAAGAAAUUUAAAAGAAAAAUGGUGAUUUCAUAUAAAAUCAAUAAAAAGUUACAAUAUUGACAAUAUAUCAACAAUUUUUAUGGGGUAAAUUACAUAGGACCCCCUCAGGUUUGAGGUCUAUUACAACCCCAUACAACAUCUUUAAAAUAUUUCACUUUCAUACCUCACCUACUAUUUUAUUUCAAUAUAGUACCUCCAUUACAUUUUCCAUCAAUUGAUCCAUUAAGAGCUGAAUUGGUUGCCACAUUUGACACGCCCCGAUCCCGAUAUCCUCGGGAUAUCAGGAUGGUCACGUGCUGGCCGACACCCGAGGGUGACGAAAGCCAUUUAUUGAGUGCAAUUGCUGAAAAUAAAGGAUAGAUAAAACUUAUAAAUGUAAAAGAAUAAGGAAUAUGCAUUUAAGGAACGUGUUCAGAGCAUACAACUAACUAGAACACUAAAAGAAUGAUAUAAAAUGGAAUGAAUAAAAGAAUGAGUCUUACACCAAGAGGACUCGAAGAUGCCGAUGCGGAAGUACCUUGAUUGUCGGGAUUGUACGCCUCGAUCCUAAAUCCUGAAGGGGGCGCAAAACAAACAUGAGUGGACCAAGUUGAUAUAUAUAUAAUAAAACAGUUAUCAAUAUACUAACCCCCAGGUUUAUGAAAACAAAUAUAUAAUGAUGAACAUAGGUUUUCCGAAACCUAGCAUGAUGUGCAGUAUCUCAAAUCAUAACUCAUAUAUAAUAAUCACUAGUGAAUUGUCCGAUAACCUGCAGGCCCCAUGCCGGCUCCCCGUCUCUGAGCAGACAGUCAGAGGAAAAUACACUUCAGGCCCCAUGCCGGCUCCCCGUCCCUGUGCUAAAUAGCCAGAGGAAACACACUCCAGGCCCUAUGCCAACACCAAACCGUCGCCCGGGACGGACCGGAAUCUAUUCCUACGUCCCGUAGCGGAAAUGACCACUAGGUAAGUACAAAACCAUUGAACAUACAUAUAUUGAAAAACAACUUCAUAGUAUAAAGUCAUCCAUCAUCUAUACUAUAAAGAGGUGUUCGAAACAUGUUCUAAAUAUCAUAUCGUCAUCCAUCAGAUAUUCUAUAAGAACACGGGUUAUAGGAAAAAUAGUAAUAAUUCAAGGUAGCCUCAGUAAGCAUGUUAUCUCAAAACGUUUCAUAAAACGUAAUCAUUAAAUCAUGCAUUUCAUGUAUGCAUUUCUACUAUUAAAACAUGCUUUUGAAGGGGUCCACUCACAGUACUUAGCCGCCGAAGAGCCACGCAAACUAACGUCACCAAUAUUGCCCCUAAGCACAUAAAUGGUCCAAUUAAUAAAACUAUAUAAUAGCAAUUGGAUUUGGGAAAACGGACGUUGGAAACGGAUUCAGAACGUCGAAUUACCCUAAGAAGGGUCCCGGACGAAAACCCGAAAAGUCAACUCUAAAGUCAAUGUUGACCGGAGGUCAACGGUCAAAUUAGGUCUAACGGGUUUUAGGCUUGAAAUCCGGAUUAGGGUUUAGGUUAAAUAGGAUUAGGAUUUAUUGGGUUUUGGAAUUCUAAGGUUUUUGGGUUAAAAGGGUUUAGGGUGAAAAUGGGUGGUUUGGGCUUAAUCCCAAACUCACACACAACACACACACACACUACACAAACCCUAAAACACACACACACACACGGGCUGCACUAGGGCAGCCCUCACAACACUUCACAAAGGCCCUAAGGCCUUAUUAAAGGACAGGGCUUUAAGCCCUUUAAAGGAUACUGGCCCAAGGCCCGUCAAAAUAAGGCCCGAGGCCUUUGGGUUUUAAAAAGAACAAGAACAAAUUUAAAAGAAAAGGGGCUGGGGUCUACUGGGCUAAGAUAUAACGGGCUUAAGGCCCGUGGGGUUUUCUAAAGGGCCUGAGAGGCCUGGGUUUGUCGAAGGAGAAGGCCGGAAUUUCGGCCGGAAAACCACCCAACUUUAAAUGGCCAUAACUUUGUCAAUACUCAACGAAAUCAAGCAAGACAAAAAUGAAAGUUGUAGCCCUUGAAGCGACGAAGAGAAUGGUUCCUCACACGACGUCUAACUCGCCGUGGUUUGGCCGGAAAAUGCCUCGAAAUCCGUCGGACUCGCCGGAAACUGGGUAAGAUUCAAAUGAGUAUAACUUCUUCAAUACUCAACGAAAUUAAGUGAAACAAAAAGGAAAGUUGUAUUACUCGACGAGACGAAGAGAUUGAUACCUUACACGCCGGCCAACUCGCUGUGGUUUGGCCGGAAAUGGCCUCGAAAGGGGCGGUGCUCGCCGGAGCUUACUCCGUGCCGUCGAACUCGCAGGGUAGGGUCCGGGGUUCGUUGCAAGCCUCUCUUCGAUGGUGACUCGGUCCUAGUGAGUCCAGGGGAAGAGAGAGAUGCGAAAGGUUGAGGGAGAGAGAGACGGGAGAGCUGAGAAAGAGAGAGCUACGGGAGGGAGAAACGAAGAAGAAGAAGAGAGAGAUCAGAAAACAUAAAAAAAAUAAACAAGGUGGGCCCCACGGGCUCACCAAUUAAGGCUUUAAAACAAUUUUAAAAUAUAAAAGAGGGUUGGGGUGUUUCAACAUUUGUACCACGUGGCAAAAAAAAAACCUAAAUCUUCUAUACAAAAAAACUAAAAAAACCAAAAAAAGCAAAAUCGAACACUCCACCCCGCAAAAAUCCUAGCAUCUUCCUUUUAUUCCCCACAACCCCAAAUUCCCCCCCAAAACCCCUAAAACCCAAACCCUAAUUCCUCCCCCACAUGAAGAAAAUCCCAGUCCAAUUCAAUCCCAAUUACCUCAAAUCCCACCAUAGAAACCCUAAAUUUUGGUUCCUCAAUCCCUAGAUUUCCCACGCCUCUGUUGCCUACACCUUAUCAAUCUUUAGCUUUCUCCCUCAUCCCCUCCAUGAACGACACUUUCUCUCAUCCGCUGUUCCCCAGCAACGGCACCGAUACCUACGAGGCCUGGUACGGCAACAUCCAGUACCUUCUCAACAUCUCCGCCAUCGGCUCAUUCUUAUGUGUCUUCUUUUUCACCUUGGUCAAGCUUUGAAGCGAUCGCCGCCGCAUGCCCGGCUCGUCCUCCCUCGUUGCUAAGCUCUUCGCAGUGUGGUAUGCUACCUGUCGAGAGAUUAUGCUCCCAUGUGGCGCUGAGGCCAUAAUACUCACGCACCCAUCUACACACCCACACCACCACUACCGUGGACUCUCUCUCACUCUCCCUCGUCUUUGUAGAGCUAGGUGAAGCCUAGAAACCGAGAACUAGCUCCAGCAAACCCCGUGAGUUUCGAGCCAGAUCCCUGCCGACUCCGACCAUCCCAUGACCAAUCUAAGGUACAAAACAUUUCCCCUUGACUCUAUGCUCUUUUUCGUAUGUAGAUCGUAGGGAAAAGCCCACAGAAUGAGAGAGAAUAGUGACCUGAGAGAGUCCACGGUGAUGGUGGUGUGUAGAUGAGUGCGUGCGUGGGUGUACUGUCGGGGAUAGAGUCUGAGAGAGAUAGAGAGUGAAAGAGUCUGAGAGAAGAGUGACUUGCGAGAGUGAGAGAUUCGAGAGAGACUCGGGAAAAGAUUUAUGGGUUUGGGUUUUUCUGGUUUUUUAUUUUUAUAAUAAUAGGGUUAAUAUUAUAAUAUUUUUAAUGUAUAAAAAUUUCUUUUUUGCCACGUGGCAGCCACAUCAGCACAAAUGUGGUAGUUGUAGAUGCAAAUUUCUUCCUCUUGAUCUUGGACAAUUUUGCACCUACAAAACAAUUAACACCUUAGGUUAAGGCCAAAAGCCUCACACACCCACAAUGAAUGGGGGGCUUUGGCCGAAGAACCUCUGUUGCCAAAGUUAGAAUUUAGAGAGAAAGAGUCUUUACAGAAUUUUGGGAUUUUUGCCAAAGUGUUGGAAUGGCUUUCUGGUGAGAACGGGAUCACUUUUAUAAGGAUAGGAAGUGGUCGGCCUAGCUAGGGUUUUUGGGUUUAAUUUAGGUUUAAUUCUUCAAUUUAUUUGGCUAAUUAAACCCUAAAGAAUAAAUUGGUGGUUACAAAAUUGAUUAUUUGUAUAAAUGGGGUAAUAAAAUGGAGAAAAGUGAAAAAGGUUAGGAAAAGGGAGGUAGCUAGCUUCUUAGUAGUUUUAGGUGUGAGUGGGUGUUUUAAUUGAUAAUUAAGGGAUUGAUUAGGUAAUUAAUCCCUUAAUUAAACAAUUUUUAGGGAAUAUGAAAGGAAAUUAUUAUUUAGCUAAUUGAUUAGCUAAAUAAUGGAAUACAAAAUAUAUAGAAUAAAUUAGGCUUUAGGUAUUACCUUAUAGAAAUGAUUUGAUGAAAUAGGCUUUAAAUUGUUAACUAUUUUGGGCACUUUUGACUUGGUUGAGGAUGAUUGUCUGCCGCUCGCACGUAGGAAUCUCGAUAUGCCUUAAGGGUAUUUUUGUCCUCUUUUACCCAAAAAUCCACGUGUCGCCUUGUGAUUAUUUUUGGCUCCACAAAUGCCCCCACACCUGUUGGGCUGCUCGCAGAAAAUGGCAGCAGGUGUAGAGAUCAUCUUGCUUUAGGAAACGUAGGACUACUUCCUCUUUAGAUGUAGAUUCUCUCUUUAAUAGGAAAUUAGGUUCUUCUAGGAAAGGGAAAUAAAUUUCUGUUAAAGCCUAUUUAAGUCUACCUUAAGUGGGUUAUUAAAUCAACUUUGGAGAGCGAUUUCUUAUACCCUACAAGAGAGAGGGAGCUUAGAGAAUAUUUGUUCCCCCUCUUCUAGCAAUCUUCUACAUCUUUCCCGUGCAAAGGAUCGUCUUUCGUUGAUUUCUUCGUCUUCUCCGUGCCGCACCGAUGUAAGAAAAAUUUAAUUUUUUGCUUAUCUUCUUCUUGGAUAGUACUAUUACAGGGCAACCGUUAAGGUAGUGCGGCACGUCUACUGGCAGGGGCUAGGAGUUGGCUCGGCAUCGGUCGAUGAGGCAUUAUGGCAGGGGCCACUGCUUAGGCUGUUUGGCUUGGCUAGAGCCAAUGGCAGCUUGUGCGGCUGGGGUCGCGGAUUGUGGCGUUGGGGCGCAAUGCUAGGCGAGCCACAUGGUUAAUGUCCUUUAGGCUCUUAGACCUUACUCGGGCCAGGCUAGCGACUGAAAGAAAUGAGGAGGUCGUGGGCCUCAUGGGUUGUUGGAAUGUUGGGCAUGCAGGCCUCCUGUCUGCUAGAAUGCUAGGUUGAGCUCCUCUGCUGAGUACCGUGAAUGGCGUUGGCUGCUUAGUUCUUUUUACAGAGAGAAAGGUGGGCUGCUCCCGAAAGAGGAAGUAAAGAGGAUCAAGGUGGAUGCAUUGGCUCGUCUAAUCGCUGUCGUGGAACCUCCUAUGAAUGAAGAUGGAAAUAAGAGAUCUUCCCUGCCUACUCAAGAGAUGCCGAUCGAGAAAAAUUGAAGACUUUCUCCACUGCUGCUCAUGAUGAUUUGUCUGCUGUCGAUAGGCCUGUGAUUGGCAUGACUUCUUCCAAUGGGAAGAAAAAUGAGGCUGCUAGAUCUGAUCAUGUGGUGCCUUCCAUGUUGAGAAUUGCUAGUACAAUUGUUGAUAAGAUUGCUUAGCGCAAAGGUUUUAUCAUGCCCCCAGUACCGAAGUCUGUACCAGGACUUUCGUUUGGAGCAAAGUCUGGUUCACCUUUGGAGAUACUUGCUAUUAUGAAAAGUGGUAAGGUGGACUCUGCUGCUAAAGUGGCGUCAAGGCCCACUCCCUUUGUUGCUGAGACUGAUUCGCCUGCUAGGAAGGAAGAUACUACUUGUAUGGGCAGCUGUGAGAAAUCCACUAAACUUGCUUCUGGGGAGGCUGCUGAGAUCAUUGUGCUUUUGAAACUAUAUCUGCUUGAAGACAUGGACGCUUGUGCCAAGUUUGUUGAUGGCGGUAGAAAGGUUGUUUACCUAAGUUCCUUUGCGAAACAUACGACCCAAUAUAAAAUGACUGCUCUGCUUACUAGGAUGCAUAAAUAGCAAGGUUGUCAAGGAGGUGGCGAAGAUUAUGGCAGCUAAAGCUUAUUCCUCAGUCGAGGAGAUCAAAAGGUUGAAUUAUGAGCUUGUUGCUUUGAAAGAAAUGGAAGAACUGCAACACGUUCGUGUUAGUCUGUUUGAGAAGAAUGAGCAGCUAAACGGUAAGAAUGAUGGGCUUGAGGUUUCUCUAUUUUUCCGGAAGACUUGCUUACUUUUACUUUUGAGGCUUCCAUUGGUGAAGUAGUUGGAGACGUUAGUGCCCAGGCUUAGGCAACCGGGGGUGAAGCACCGGAUGAUGCCGCUGCUAAGAACGUUACGGCUGCUGAAGGUGUGGAGACCAAGUAGUCGUGGGAUGUCCAAGCUGCUGUAGUGUAGUAUUUUAGGUAGCUUUUAUGAUUUUCUUUGUUUUUCCUUGUAGCUCUUGUUUUGCUUGAACUUCUUCGGCCUUUGCUAGUUGUAUAAACAUGUUUUCCUUCGCUUUUCUUCAUCUUCGCUUCUUUUGUUCAUGCCCUAACCUUUAGACUUGAUAGACCAAUGGCAGGCAUGCUACUUUUUUAUAAGCAGACAAGCUCGCGUAGCCUAUGCAGCCGUAAAUGUUGGUGUAGAACUUUGCAAAGUUGUUAGCCAUUAGGUUGGUAACCAGAUACCUUACUUACAGAAGUAGACAAGUCCGCAUAACCACUAGGCUAUUAACCUUGACUUUCUCCAAUUCUGUAGGUUGCGUAGCAAGUAUCACAACACUUUAGGAAUUGGUAUAGGUUGCUCCGCACUUGGCAGAGGUGAAGCCUAUCGACUACGUAGCAUGUCGGCAGUGGAUAAAACUUCCAUAUAUGCGCGCUAGCUUGUUUAACCUUUCACAAGAAUGUGCGGUUGUAUAAGUCUAGCACGGUUUUACUGCUUGAAGGGCAAGCCGUAGGCAGUCUUCCGGAAUCCGUAGGCUACCUUAAUGUACUCGGUAGCAGCUUUAGGGUUCCAGGGCAGCCGUCUAUAGAGCGUACUGCGUAAUGUGCCCCAUCCGUCUCUAGCUCCCGGUUCCCCACAGAUUAGACCAAGAGACCCAAAAUCCUUCAGUUAGUUAAGCCUUGAAAAAGACCAUUGUGGCUACUUCUAGGAAUCCCGGCUCAAGCCAUCGUACAUCUAGUUAUACUAGGGUAGCCAGGCUCAUCAGCGUCUGGAUAUUCGGAGUGUAAAGUUUAUCCUCCCGUCUUAGAGAGCUGACCCAUAUGAGUGUCGGGGAAUUGGUUUACCCUCUCACACUAGAGAGUAAUUAAUUUACCCUCUCGCACUGGAGAGCAAUUAGUUUACCCUCUCGCACUGGAGAGCAUGGUUGGUCCAUCGGGGGGCGCAAUUCCUGCGAUGAGUCCCUAAGAAGGGCGCAGUCUUCUUUUGAAGUGCAGGAAUGAUUAGUUGUUAUAAGCAUGUGAUCGAGUCAAGUUGUGAUUACUUCUAAAUUCCUCAUUGAAAAACGAGUGAAACGAACGAGAACUUAGCCGUAAGGUAGGAACUGCAUAACAACUGGAUAGUCCUCAACUUGUGUGGUGGUACCCAUCGAGCUUCUUGAGUCUUCGGGCUUUGAUGUAGUGGGAGGUUACACAUGGCACCUUUUCAGAUUGUAGGCGCUCUACUGCUUUUCGAACUUUUUUUUUGUUGUGUAAUUGCUCUUGCUGCCUACUCGGCUAAUCUUAUACAGACUUUCUCGGAUGAGAUUCAUCUUUUUGGAGCUUCUCUGCUGGCAGUGAUGAAGGCUUUUCUUAGGACUAGAUCUCUGGGCUGGAACUGCCAGAUUUUGGCCUUUUUGUUGUGGCUGGAAAAGAACCACUGCUGGUAAGUUGUAAUGCAGAUGAUAGUCUGCUCGCACUUCUCCUCUGCCAAAUUUAAGCUUGUGGCCAUCUCCUUUCGGUUGCUCGUCUUUUGGUGUUGCGAUGUGCCCAUAGACAUCCAGGGAGUUUGUCUGGCCAUUUUCUUUUCUUAUUGGUAGGGGAUUUCUUGUGGCAGUCGAGGAUCAUCUUAGUGGAUGUUUUGGCCAGCCUAUUGCCUUGAGGAUAUCUUGGCGUAGACAUGUGCUGCUUGAUGCCAUAUUUUUAGAAGAAUUUCGCCAAAUCUUUGCCCACGAAUUACGGGCCGUUGUUGGUGACGAUGGAUUAAGGUAUGCCAAAUCGGCAAAUGAUGCUCUUUCAUAUGAAGCGCUCUAUGUCCGUUUGAAUUGUGAUCGUCAUGGGCUCUGCUUCUACCUAUUUGGUGAAAUAGUUGGUUGCCACGAUCAUCAUGCAUUUGCCCUUAGUAGUCUGGCUGGUGAUUAGCUGGGAAUCAGAAUGAAUUGAAAGCUUUUUCACCACCAAGUCUUUUGUCACUCGAAGGCCUGCUAGUGGGGCUUUGUACUCUGCUUCGUUGUUAGGUGCUUUGACGCUUAGAGUGAUCGCUUACUCGAGCAUUGAACCGUCUGGGGUGGCAAGAACCACGGUUACUUAUAAGCCUUUGUAGUUGGAUGCGCCGUCGACAUGCAAAUGCCAGAAAUUUCCAUUGAGGGAGUAGGUAUGGCUAAAGUGUGCUCGGCUACCUUCGAAGCGUCGUUGGGCCGCUUUGUUACAUUGUCAAGGCUAGGUUUGAAGGCGCGGUAGAGAGUCGUGGAGCUGGGGCCAUGUUACAUGUAGCAGGAGAUGCUCAACUUCCGGUAUUAGGCCACUCUAGAGCUGAAUAAUGGAGCAAAGGUCGGCUAGGGUCGUAUGACGCGCAGCAGAAGGUAGUGCUCGACUGCUAGUACAUGUUGCUCUUACGUAGAAUCUUCUGAGGCGACGAGGACAAAACUUGCUUUUAAGUGUUCCUUCUAGUGUUCGUCUGCCCUUGGCGUGUCUUUUGGGCUGAGUUGUUGCGUUCGUCAGAAAACUUUGCAUCUGCCAGGGUUUACGUCUUUAUCAUCACGGGUUUGGAUUAGGCGGAAUAGUGCGUCAUGAUGAUGACUGCGUACAUUUGAAGGUAAAACUUAAGCUUUUGGGUUACAACAACUAUCACCAAAGUUAGCUUUUGAAUUUUUAAUAGCAUCGAGGAGAGCUUUUGAACUAUAAAAUACAUGUAGUUGGGCCCCCAACUCUUCUCGCAUGACGGUACAGCUUAUUUCUACUUUAGAUACCGUCAAACAUGCGAAUAAGUCCUCUGCUGCUUCUAGGGAGGUGAUGUUGGGUACUUCUUCAAGCCCUUGAAUGUGCAUUGGCGAGCCUCAUCCCAAAGUGCAUGCUUCUCUGCCAAAGAAAAAGAGUCUACCAGAGUUAGAUAUUCUUUCAUGAUCAAUUUUCUAAAUAGCGGUGGUCUGCUGGAAGGCCUUUUUGGAAGGCUGCUCUAGCUAUUGAGUCGCUGCAUCCGACUAUCAUUGCCUUCUCUGUUUUGAAUCUCUUCACAUAGUCACGAAGUGACUCCUUUGGGUUCUUUUUUACGUCAAACAAAUGGUCGGACUUCUUUUUGAUCGAGCAAUAAGAUGAAUAUUCUUUGGUGAAAACCAAAGAAAGUUCGUAGAAAUUCUAGAUAGAUUGUGGCGGCAGGGUGUAGAACCAAUCUUGUGCCUCGCCUUCAUAGUGGUGGCGAAUAUCUUGCACAUGAGAUCAUCGUUGUUUCGAUAAAGGAUCAUUGUGCUUCGGUAGCGCUUUAAGUGUCUCUUCGGGUCUUCAUCCCCUUUGAAAGAUAUGAAAUGUUGCAUACUGAACUCGCAUGGAGGCUCUGCCAGCUCGAUCUCAUCCGUGAAGGGUGACCUGCUUAUGUUGGUCAUGUUCCGUCGUAGUGCCUCGUCGGUGACCUUGUUGCGUUAGAAAUCAUGCAAUCGCUUGAUUAAAAGUCUCUCUACUUCUUCCUGAAUUUUCAUUUGUUAGGGUAGCAGAGCUCUCGGCUGCCCCUAGCCAUAACUUACUGGUCUAGGAUGCUCUUCCAUGUGUUUGGCUCGUAUACCGUGGAUGCAGUGUAUGUGGUGCGGUCCUAGUAGGUGAGCGAGUUCUUCGCAGGCUGCUAGUUGAACUUGAGCUGGAUUGAGUGACUACUUCUCUCCGUCCGUCGUGCUGCCUACUCCAAUGUGAGGUGAAAGAUGCUCCUUGCAGGCUUAGCCACGAAUGAACACUUUACCUGGAAGGUUGCUCAUGUUGACUAUCAGAGUAUGACCCUAACCGUGAAUGUAUAUUCACCCGUGGGCUUAGUCGAGAGUGCACGCUCCUCCGCGCGCUAAGACGAGAGUAUACGUUAUCUCGGGAGCCCAAUUGGGAGUGUACACUGCCCGAACGCUCGGCUCGUGGCUGGUCGAGUGGCUGCUUGCCGAAACGCUGCGGGAAAGGUUCGUCUGCCCUUGUCCUACUUCGGGAUACCUUGUUUGGGGCACGUUGGAUUCUGGUGCAUUGCAAAAGUUGAUUCACCAAGGUUGUCUGUUGUGCAAGGGUGCUCGUAAACGCUACGACUUGUCGAGACAAGUGUUGUUCGUCAUUUGGAUUGGAAUAGCUUGGAAGGAAUGUGCCUUCUUGGGCAGUGGAAGGGUGGUAGACUCCGGGCUCGAGAUUUGAGUUGGGAAAUGUCAAAUCUACGAAAAAAUGUGGUGAGAAUGCCCCCGGCUCGAUGGUAGGUCCGGAUGGUUGAGAUAGUCUUGGGCCGACUUGGGCUGCUUGGAAAGCCACGGGAGCAGGCUGGGCCACGAGAGUGAGCUGCUCGGCAGGAGUAGGCUGGGCUACGAGAGUGGGCUGCUCGGCAGGAGCAAACUGCUUGGAGUGUGAUGCACAUGGGUGCGAGGCUUGGGCUCGGCUUGGUAACACAUUGAGUUCGGGUUUGGCUUGGAGUGACAUGACUUGGGCCGUGGCCUUGGUGUCGUGAGCCUUGGAUGGCACGGCUCGGGCAGUGGUAGCUGUGCCAUGGACCUCGCCGCGGGUAGUGGUGACCGUGAUGGCCACCGCGGUGGUUGCCAUGGUGGAGCCCCGUAGUGAUGGUGCCGCUCCUAUGAUCACAUUUAGCCUCGUGGAUCGUCGUGGUCCCAUUUCUUGAAUAUUAGAAUUUUCACUUAUGGAAUUUUCUAAAUUUCUAGCCAUUAUAUUUUUCUUAUACGUUUUAUCAAAGAACCUUUGCAAAUAAAAAAUUCUAAUAAUAAGAACGUAUGAAAAAAUAUUCAAAUGGACUAGAAAAUAGAGAAAAACCUUUUUAUGCGAGAGUCUUCUACGAGUAUAGAUCUCAACUCUCAAUGAAAGCACCAAUUUGUGGAUGCAAAUUUCUUCCUCCUUGAUCCUAGACAAUUUUGCACCUACAAAACAAUUAACACCUUAGGUUAAGGCCAAGAGCCUCACACGCCCACGAUGAAUGGGGGGGCUUUGGCCGAAGAACCUCUGAUGCCAAAGUUAGAAUUUAGAGAGAUAGAGUGUUCAGAGAAUUUUGAGAUUUUUGCCAAAGUGUUGGAAUGGAUUUUUGGUGAGAAUGGGAUCACUUUUAUAGGGAUAGGAAGUGGCCGGCCUAGCUAGGGUUUUUGGGUUUAAUUUAGGUUUAAUUAGUCAAUUUAUUUGGCUAAUUAAACCCUAAAGAAUAAAUUGGUGGUUACAAAAUUGAUUAUUUGUAUAAAUGGGGUAAUAAAAUGGAGAAAGGUGAAAAAGGUUAGGAAAAGGGAGGUGGCCGGCUUCUUAGUGGUUUUAGGUGUGAGUGGGUGUUUUAAUUGAUAAUUAAGGGAUUCAUUAGGUAAUUAAUCAAUUUUUAGGGAAUAUGAAAGGAAAAUAUUAUUUAGCUAAUUGAUUAGCUAAAUAAUGGAAUACAAAAUAUAUAGAACAAAUUAGGUAUUAGGAAUUACCUUAUAGAAAGGAUUUGAUGAAAUAAGCUUUAAAUUGUUACCUAUUUUGGGCACUUUUGACUUGGUUGAGGAUGAUUGUCUGCCGCUCACGCGUAGGAAUCUCGAUAUGCCUCAAGGGUAUUUUUGUUCUCUUUUACCCAAAAAUCCACGUGUCGCCUUGUGAUUAUUUUGGCUCCACAACAACCACGUCAGCAUUUAACAGACCAAUGGAUGGAAAAUCUAACGGAGGUAUUAUUUUGAAAUAAAAUAACAAGUGAGGUAUGAAAGUGAAAUGUUUUAAAGAUGUUGUAUGGGGUUGUAAUAGACCUCAAACUUGAGGGUCCUAUGUAAUUUACCUAUUUUUAUGUUAAUUAUGAAUAGGUCAAUCAUGUAGAACCAAAUUAAAAGCUAACAUCAAUAACAACUACCAGAGACAAAAGCUCUAAUCAAUGCUUCGGAAACAUAGUCUUGUAUCUCUAGGUGUAAUGAUAUAAUUUGUUGGAAACUUAAAAGAAAAUUGGUGAUUUUGUAUAUAAUCGAUAAAAAGUUAUAAUAGUGACAAUAUAUCAGUAAUAUUUAUGUUAAUUAGGAAUAGGUCAAUCAUGUAUUUAAUACUUACAUGCAUUUAAAAUAAACACCUUAUCAAUGUUUUUUUAACUGUGCUCAGUUUUUCUCCUUCGCUUUGGUUUUGUUCUAUUGGAUUUUUCAACUAUCAUUAAUUGUGAACAUAACUGAUCAUUGAGACACAAACAUCCAAGGGAGAGUACCGUGGAACAAAAUGUGGAUAUCUUUAUACAUUGUAUGGUAGUAAACCAUCAUAAACACCAUAAUAAUGUAGAAACGCUCUUGGGGUACCUUUGGAUGAUAACUCAUGUAUUUGUUGCCCUACGUAAAGAUGGCUAAUGAUAAUGGAAGUCUAAUUUUCUCAUCCCAAUCUCUCCUGUCUCUCUUGUUCUCUUUUCUCUAUAGUUUAUUUCCAACAAGUUGUGUUAUUUUUUUUUUUUAGUAUUGUUAAGCAACCAAUAGAUUUUAAUUAGCAGUCUUUGUUUUUUUCUUUUAUAUUUUUAAUCAAUUUCAGUUGCUUAUCCGUUCUAGCAAAUUGAGCUCUUUUACAGCAAUUUUUUUCUUUAAAUGAAAUUAUUAUUAUUAAAAGAGUGAGAAAAUUCGAAAUUAUUACAACAAUUUAAAAAAAAGAAGUUUCGAAUCAUAAACACAGAGGGAGUUUACAACAUUUUAAUUAAGAAAUUAGGCUUCAGCUCAACUCAUCUUUGCAACGUCGGUUCCACUUCACAUCAACAUGCAAUGUUUCAGAAGGUCACGCGGUUUUGGGGUUGUUGUGUACCAAUAAUAUUAUAUAUAUAUAAAUUAGGAUUGAAGGAUACACGCAUUUUGUAGAGCUUAUUUUGUUAUGUAUUUUAAUGAUUUAAAUGCUUACGUUUUUCUUCACUACAAAUGAGUGAAUUAAUGAUUUUAGAAUUUGUCUAAUUUUUUACAUUGAUUAUUUAUGAAUAUUGAAUUGAAAUAUAGACGAUUCAAAAAUCGUUGAUAUACAUUACAAAAUGAACUCCACAAAAUAAGCGUCAAAAUAUGUAUAUAAAAUGGACAGCGUGAAAGGCUUGGAAAUUGGAAUAGGUUUGAAAAUUGUGCUUUUUGUAGCAAAUUGUAGCAAAGUUUGCUUGGACUUUCACAACCGUAUAAAUUAUGCCGCAGCACUCUCUAUUUUCUCUCUCGCUCUAUAUCGUGGUCCCUCUCUCUCGCCGUCCUCGAUUGCUCGAACUCACUAUCCUUUAUUGCUCGAACUCACCGUCCUCAAUUGCUCGAACCCACUGUCCUUUAUUGCUCGAACUCACUGUCUCCAACUUCCUCUGUUUGGUUCCCGAUGAAGAUGGUAAAACAGUAGGGGCAAGAAAUUAUGACAAUGUUAGAUUUGCAUAUUAAUCUGGUAGGGCUACAAUUCUCCAAUCCACACCCCUUCCAUCUAUGCUAGUGUUUGUACCCAAUAUUAGAUAUCCGGUCUGUGCAAUCGAGAUCGUUGAAUGAGAAAAAUUCUAAGCCGUGGGAUCAAAUAUAAUGAUGUGGAUUAAAUAAGAAAAAUUUAAAUGUUUAUCUUGGUUGAAUUACCAUGAUAAUAUUGUGGAAUUAUCUUCUGCAUAACGGGAUAGCGAGAAAAGUCCAAGGGUGUAGGGAAGUUGUGUGGCUGACUACCGCUUUUUUUUAUGGUGUCAUUAGUAGAGUAAUAUCACACUUAACAUUUAUUUGUACCAUCUCUCUAAUAAAGAUAAAGACCAUCAAUGCAUAAAUAAUGAUACAAAUAUAUAAUAAGAGUAUCAUAUUUGUAACUAGAAUAGGAGAAGAAAGACUUCAAGAUGGGGUCAGCCAAAUAAUUAGCGUCAGGAUAAAAAUAUGAGUAAUGAUAUUUGUAAACAUCGAAAUUUCGGUAAAUAAAUGUUGACCGAUAAAUCAAAGUUUCAACGCUCAUGUAUUACAUAAAUUUUACACGUAGCGUAUGUCUAAACAAAAAAUCGAAAUAAGUUGGAAAAGUCAUCAAACAGGACACAUGUCAACACCUGGCAGAAACGACUUAUUUCAUCUGGAAUAUUAUAUUCAAAAUUAGGCAUUGGAAAAUUCUAUAAAUAGAAGCCAAUUUCAUUCAUUUGAAGGAACCAAAAUCAUUAGGCAAAAUUCUUGAAGCUCUGAAGCUCUGAAACUCCGAAACUCUCAAGCAUCCAGGUUCCCGAAGAAUCAAGAAAGCUCUCUUCGUUCUUCGUUCUUCGUUCAUCGUUCAUCCUAAGAUCAAGCUCCAACGGCCCUUUAGAUCAACAAUCAUCCACUAAUUCAAGAUCAAGCCCCGACGGCCCUUGAAGAAAGUGUUCUUCAUUCUUCGUUCAUCGUUCUUCCAAGAUCAAGCCCCAACGGCCCUUUGGAUUAACAAUCAUCCACCAAUUCAAGAUCAAGCCCCAACGGCCCUUGAAGAAAGUGUUCUUCGUUCUUCGUUCAUCGUUCUUCCAAGAUCAAGCCCCAACGGCCCUUUGGAUUAACAAUCAUCCACCAAUUCAAGAUCAAGCCCCAACGGCCCUUGAAGAAAGUGUUCUUCGUUCUUCGUUCAUCGUUCUUCCAAGAUCAAGCCCCGACGGCCCUUGGAUCAACAAUCCACCAAUUCAAGAUCAAGCCCCAAAGACCCUUGAAGAACUUCUACCAAUUCAAGAUCAAGCCCUGACGGCCCUUGAAGAAAGUGUUCAUUGUUCAUCAUCCGUUCAUCCCGAAGAAUCAAGAAAGCCUUAUUCGUUCUUCGUUCAUCGUUCUUCCAAGAUCAAGCCCCGACGGCCCUUGGGUCAACAUCAUCAACAAAUCCACACAUCCAACCGUUCUUCAAGAUCAAGCCCAAAAGCCCUUGAAGAUCCGUUCAUCACCGUUAUUCAAGAUCAAGCCUUAACGGCCCUUGAAGAAACACUCAUCCUCAAGAUCAAGCCCCAACGGCUCCUUGAAGAUCCGCUCAAAUCCACCUUCAAAGAUCAAGCCCACGGCCCCUUGAAGAAACAUCCAACAGUUCAUCCAAGAUCAAGCCUCGACGGCCCUUGGAUCAACGAAACAUCUACAAAUCAACACCUUACGGAGAUCGAAUCAGAUGAUCAAAUUAGAGAGAGAUUGUAACCCUAAAUCAUCAAAAUACAAAUAUUAUUUUGUGCACGUUGUUCUUAUCUCUUUCGUUUCAGGAAAUUUUCGUGUUCACAAUAUUCUUACCAUCUAAAUAUACUAUAAUUUUAUACCAUCUUAUGUGGCAAUUGAGAUGGACUUCCACAUAAGUUUUAAAAAAAUCUCAUGUCAGCUAAGGUGGAUAUUUACGAUUUUACGAUUUUACUCAAUGAUUUUUAUUAAUAAAAUAAUUAAAAAAUAAUAAUGAAACCUACUUGCUCCCGUUUUCAAGCCUCAUCGCUGGGCCUCCUCCCUCUUCGCUCUCCAAUUUCACCUUCCUUCACCAACGAUCGAUGGUGCUCGACCCCCUUCAUCAUUGCCAACUGGCCGAAUAUCUUGAUGGUGCUCCCAGUGAUUGUUUUGCUCUGCCACCAAAUCAAGUUUGCAAUUUUAAUGGUUUAUGCCUUCUGGCCAAGUGUUGGAUUUGAUAGGUUUUUAAUUCCAGCAACAUUGAACAAAAAUAUGAAAAGGAUUGGAUACGAUAUUUUCCUCUGUUCUACUGCUGAGGAUUUUCCGAAUAGAAGAAGAUUUGGAAGACAACCUCUUUUCUUUUUUCUUCAUGGACUUUUGGUUAGCACCAAAAUCUUUUCCUAAUCCUCUAUAGGAAUGAAAAUUUCAUUCCAUGUUAUAUCCCGAUGUUGUCCAAGGUUUUGGCUUGAAUUUUCAUUGGAAUUAUCAUAUGUUGGAUCAGAUCAGGUGGAGAGAUGAAACGUAUCUAACAAGGAAGUUGAACGGGUAGGGUUUGAGCAAAAAUAAACAGAAAUUCCACCUAGGUUGACACCUAAGCUUCCACAUCAUGUGGUAUACUAAAUGUGGUAUAAUAAGAUGGUAAGAAUAGCAUUAUUGAAUGGGUAAUGUUAAGAGAAAUUUUUAGUUGUGACGGGAACACGGAUGGUACACCAUGCGUUUUUAUGUAAAUGGUGGAAAAUUUUAAUUUUUAAAUUAUUAACCUUUUAGCACACAUAUCCCACCAUUUAUAUGAAAACACGUGAUGUAUCACCUCGUGUGAUAGUCACAUUGAAAAAUCUCUCGUAAUGUUAGGAAAACUAAAUUUAUAAACAAAAGUUACAAAUUAAAUGAUGGGUUACCAAUAAGAAUGAUUACGUUUAUCAAUGCUUAAAUAAUAAAUCAUUCAUCAACUUCCAGUCCUUUAGUUUUUAAAAUUUUGUCUAACAUUACCCUUUCAAAACUCAUGAAAAUAAUUUUCAAUUUUUUUAACUGAAAAGUGAAAGUUACUAAACAAGAUUUCAGUUUUUAGCUUUCAAAAAAAUAAAAACAAAAGCUAAAAAUAAAAUGGUUAUCAAACAUCCCUAGAAGUCAUUCUUAGUGAUAGUAAGGUCAUCUCCAACCGAAAGAUCCAGGGGGCUAGAGGGCCGAAAAUAGUCUGAAAACCAUUUCCAAUCAAAGGCCAUGCCAAAGGGGUCGUGGACCCCAUUAGACAAAAAAGGGCCAAAGGGCCAACUGGCUGGCCCCAGUUCCAACAAUAACUAGAUGACGUCAGUUAACCGUUAUUUUUGAAUUUUUUUUUUAACAAAUUUUAACUUUCUAAGCCAUUAAACAACAUUAAAUUAAGUAAAAAAGAAAAUUCCUAUAACUUCCUAAGUCAUUAAACAAUAUUAAAUUAAGUAACAUGAAACAACAUUAAACAAUAUUAAACAAAAUUAAACAAUAUUAAACAACAUUAAAUAACAUUUAACAACAUAAAAAUUAUACAACAUAAAAAAAAACAUUUAAGAACAUAAAAUUUAAAUGCCUACUUCAUGCUUCUUUUGGCCCAAAGAUGUGCAACAAGAUCCUAAUGUAGGUACUUGUUUGUGGCACGAGAGCGUAUCAUCCUAACCGUUAGAUUUGAUUUUUUUUUGUUUUCGGCCAAAUUUUUUUAAAUUUAAAAAUAAAUUAUGUUUGACCUUUUGGCCCUCGAUUGGAGAUAGUUUUUUUUGUGACAUGACUAUGUUUAGCCCUAUGACCCUUUGGCCCUCAGUUAGAGAUGGUAAGAAAUAUGACCCAACAAUGUUCAUUAAAAUAUUAAUUUCUUGAAGAGCCAGAGGGCUAAAACGAGCCAUCCUUCGGUUGGAGAUGGCCUAAGAAGAGACUAGAGAUAGAGAGAUUCCUAUACUUAGCUGUGAGAGUUUCCUAUAUAUGAUUUUCAUUAACAAGAUUGAACUGAUUACAUAGAGAAGAAGAUCAAGUAUGGUUAUUUUUAUUUGGGAGACUUUGGAUGUGGUCCUUAGUUAUGAAUAUUAUUUGAUUGAAAUCUUGUUGGUUUUUAAUUUUUUAUCAAGAUCCCUGAAAUUAAUGUGAUAAUUUAUUUCUAUGUAAGUUACUAUAUUUUUUUAAUUAGAAAUUAGAAAUUUUAGUUGUUUAUAUAAAUGAGAUUUUAAAUUAAAAAAACCAUAAUUUGUGGGAUUAAAAAUAUUAAAAUAUAAAUAUACUAUUGUGUGUGUGUGUGUGUGUGUGUGUGUAUAAAUAUGGGUACAUUCAUCAAAAUUAACCAAAAAAUUUAUUGUAUCAAAACAUGGGUACAUUCUUCAAAAUCACAAAAAAAGAAAGAUAUUAGGCUUAAUAACAUUAGUAAAUUUCUUCGAUUAAACUUGACAUGGAUACAUUUUAAAAUCAAAGAAAAAAAAUGUACCCAUAUAAGUUUAAAAAUGGAUUAGAAAAAAAAAUUGAAUAGAUUUUAUACAAAAAAAGGGUACGUUUUACAUAUAACAAAUUGGUAUAUUUAAGAAUGAGUACAUUUUAAGAUUAAAAAGUUUUACAUGAAUGGGUUCAUAUAAUUAGCAUGGGUACAUUUAGCAAAAUAAAAAGUACAAAUACAAAAAAAUAUAUGUGUACAAAUACAAAUAAACUUUAAAAAAUAUGGGCACAAAAAGAAAUUAAUAUAUGGGUACAAAUUAAAACCGAAAAGAAAAUUGGUACAAGUUAAAAAAGAAUUACAAAUUAAAAAUGGGUACAAACUAAAACUAAAAAUAUAUGAUAAAAAAUUUAGUCAUAAAUAUAAAUAUACUAAUUGUAACAUUUUUAACAUUAAAUGAAUAUAUUUAGACAUAAAAAAUAUAUUUUAUUAUUGAAAUAAUUAAUGAUGUUAUUAAUACCCAAGGACCUUGAUAAAAAAUUGAAAAGAAAUAGAAUUUUAAUCAAUGGAGUAGCAAAAGAAAAGAUGAGAACCUAAUUUCUCCUUUGUAUUGUGUAGACAUUAUAACUAUACAUUCAUAAUAACAUGAGUAAUGUUAUAUUUAUCACAUUUGUACUCUUUCUCCAAUAAAGAUAGGGUCCAUCAACACAUGUGGGUUCUAUUUGCCCAUCAACACAUGCGAAUCUCAUUUUUAUUAGAAAAAUAGUACAAAUAUGAUAUGGAAAUUAUGAUAAGAUCGCAAUUUUGUAAUAACAUAUAUACUCAACUAUUUAUAUACCAACUCAUCUCCCUUUAGUGUAGUUAAUAUUGUUUGUUCAACCAAAAAAAAAAAAACUGAACUUGUCAUAAUCAUUGAAUCCAUUUACCAUGAACAAACGGCAGUUUACUAAACUUGCCCUCAGAGUAUAUAUAAAAGGUGAAUCACAAUCUAUUGCAUUAAUAUAAGGAAACAAUUUAUAGGGUUUGACGGGUGACUUAAUAUGCUAUAUGGCACAAUGAAAAUUAAGUUCACACUUUAUCCCAAAUAAGGUGUUGCACCUUUAAUUUAUGGAUGCUGGUUUGACGUGUGACCGAAAUAAUCAAAUUGUAGCCAUUAAUCAUUUUACAAGUAAUAAUAUGUGGUUUUAUUGUUUACGAUUCACACAACAAUCUGCUAGGAAGUAGAAAAUGCAGUACUUGUCCCUCUCACAGAAGUCAUGAAUAAUUAUCAAAUUCAAAGAUAAAGAAAAACCACACAAUUUACAAGAGGAAAGAAAAUGAAGGGAUAAAGAAAGUAAGAAAGGAAUACCUCUAUGGGAGGACUCUUAUUUGCUUCAGAUGCCUACAAUAUUCAUCAUAUAAACACUGAUUAAGUAGUCAUCGAAAACCAAAACAAAUGUCGAACAUAGGGUGAAAAACAGAAAGAAUAACCGCAGCUCAUCAUACCAAUAGAGAUAGAACUGCCCGAUGCCCAAGUAUGACUGAAAAAUGGCAAUCCAAACAUGGCGCCUUCUAGCUCAUCAAACUGUCAAAACCUAGGUUCCACCAAAAAGAUACAAGUCACCUAGUUACUUGUAAAAUAAAAAUCUGUUUCAAAAUAGUGGAAAAUAUUAUUAACAUUGUUCAAAGUCCACAUUGUUGUACCUACCAAGAAACAAGAAGGAUUGUAUCUUAUCAUGAAAAAGAACAUAGGUACCUUUUCAAUUGUAAUUGUACAAAAAUGAGAGACCACUUCCGAACUUCUCUUGGAACUUCAAUCAAUUUCUGCCCACUUUUAAAUGCCUUGACAUACUUAAGCCUAUUUCUUUGAGCUUCAGUUUUGGCUUCUGAUGCCUUUAAAUUUCUUAAAGAUUCUUACCAAGUUUUACAAACUCACUUCUAUACAACCAUUUGUCAGUAUACAUACCAUUUUCUUUGAGCUUCAGUCUUUGCAACACCAAAACCCCCCAAAUAGACCCGGAAUUUUGCAAUGUGCAGGGAAUAUACAAAAAAAACCCUCCUAUCCAUCUAAAACGAAAUCAGAACGCAAACCACAAUCAAAAUCCGUAAAAUUAAUUUAGCCAACCCCUAAAUCUAAUAAUUCUAACAAAUAUUAUAGUAUCAAUUGAGAGAGAAUUUGAGAAGAUACCUAGAGAUGAAAGGAAGAGCGUUUCCUCUGAUAGGGGUUCCGUGAAAGCAUCUGUUGACCAGAAAAGAAAAGGCAAAAAACCCCAAAUUACAUAUCAAGCAAUUAUAGAUAGAUCGAACCUUGAAAAUUGAAAUUUCAAACAAGAGAAAGGUUAUAAACUUACAACGAUCUGGGUGUUGGUAACUGGGUUUGGAUUUGGGUUUCUGAUAAGAGAGAGAAUCGUAUGAGGAACCGAUAGAGGAACUGCACCGGCAACAGAGAGCAAUUGAUAUGGUGGAGAACAGACGAGAAUAGCUGCUUGGAUGGUCAAUCCAAGAAGAGAAAAUCUUGCCACAAUCGCGGUACUUGAAAAAAAAAAAAACAAGUUUAAAGGAGGGAAACAAUCGCGCCUUUUUCUAAUAGACUCUGUCGACGAUAUUCUUGACAAAUAGAUGCUUCGUCGGGUGAGCUUAUUUUUCACAACAUUUUAUUUAGGAUUGGGUUCGGUUGGUAAACCGUGUCAAAUUUCUUGUGCCACUUGCCAGCCACAUAUACAUAAUUACCGAAAAUCAGUUACCGUUAGCCAACCGUCUUCUUGCGGUUGCCAAAAAUCGGUUCAGCCAAAAUGAUUGGCUGGUUCGGUUGGUAAAUGGCACAACCGGUGGUUUCCACUUCUUCCUCGCUAUCUUCCAGUUCCAAGGGCUCAAUUUGAUUUUCAGAUUGGGAUGCUUGUUCGGUUGCAUUGUGUGGUUCAUUUUGGGUUAAUCCAUGUUGUGCACUAGUAGUUGAUUGGCUAGACUCCAUUAUCCUAAACAUAAGCAACAAAUAUACAUUCAAAAUAAUAUAUAUGUACGUGUAUAUAUAGUAUCAGUAAUCAUCAUGCUAUCAAUUUUGUUAACAAUAUUUUCUAUAUAUUGAUUUUGGCAUGAAUCAUAUACACAUACAUAUAUUUUUAAAACCCUAAAACUAAGGAGUCAUUUAUUUUCUAAACUCUAAAAUUGAGGAGUCAAGCAUGUAAAAAAAUACUUAAAAUAUCUAAAUAGAAAAAGAAAAAGAAAAAAAAAUAAAUAUAUAUAUAUAUCGGUAGGUAUGGCAUACCGCCGGCAUACAAAAUCAAUUACCAAAGCCAUGCCAUUAAUUGUCGGUUCGGUAAAAUGCCAACCGAUUAUGAAAAAAUGUCAAAACUAUACCAUACCAUUUUGAGCCAACCAGUAUGGUUUGGUCAGUAAAUCGGUUUAUGGCAAAAUUUCUCACCCCUAAUUUUAUUUGUCACCUUAAACCUAUUGGUUUCUAGCCUACAAUUCGGAUAUUUUGUUGGGGAAAGAUUUUUGUACCAAUAAAAUUUUGCUUUGUCGGCAAAAUGACAUUUUCUAGUAGUUAUAAUAUUAGGUAGAUCAAAUUUGUAAACUAUGUGAUGUGUCACUAAUAGGAAAAAAUUUCAGUGUGCUGAAAAUACGGUCUAGAACACCAAGUGUCAUAAUAUAUACUUGGUUGGAAAUCUUUUAUUUUCAAGUUUCCAACUAGUUGUAUUGUAACAGUUGGUGUUCCAAGCUAUUUUCUCCAUGCGCUGGAAAAUCUCUUCACUAAUUAAAAAUAAACAUAUUAAUUAACACUUAAGUAAUAAUCAAAGCAUCAACAACUACGUCAUAGAAUUUACGAAAUAUGAUCUUAAUUAAUGAUCUCCAUUACCCUUUAUCUUAGCGUAUACGUACGCCUUCACAUGUUUAUUUGCUGAUAUGCAGCUUGAGUAAAAAUUUCUUUUUAAGAACAUAUAUGUGAAUAUAAACAUAUAUAUCUAGUGAUCCAUGUUGCGUUAUUUAAAAAUAAACAAAUUAAUUAAUUAAUGAACUGUGUACCUGUCUGUGUAGAGUAAUCCAUAUGCAUGCUUGAAUCCUGAUCACCACGAAACCAUAAUAUAAGCUACUCAAGGCCCGGAAGCUAGGAUUGAAGAGAAAAACACCCAGUCAGAUUAAGCCAAUACAUCAAAGUUAAUACUUCCAAAUGUAAGCUUUAAGAUAGAAAAAUCACUUACUUCCUUGAGCAGUCGAGCUUCUUCAAUGGCAUGAAGCUUUUAGCAUGAGAUUGACUGCAUCACAACUAAAAUUUUCUCUUGGAAACUACAUAAGGAAUAGCAUGUAUACCUAUAACGUUGAGAAAGUACGCCAAUUUUUUCCUUCUGCACAUUCAUGUUUAAAAGUAAUCCUCAAAUGAACUUGCCCACAAUGAAAUGCAAUUUGAGGUAGUCGAGUGUGUUCCAUUUCCAUCCCAUCGGAAUUACUACUAAACUUUGAGAUGGUAGAGGAUUCAUGAAAUUUUUUACUUUUGAAAUAGUCUCCUUAGCAUUUCUCGACUAUAACAAUGAGGAAAUACUUCACCUUGUAUCAAACAAGGGAGACCGAAAAUCAACUACUAAUAGCAUCACAGAGCCAGCAGAAGAUUGAGGAGGCCAUGAAAAGGAAAGAGAAAAUACACUCUUUUUUUGUAAGGACAGAGAUAAUACAUUCAAUAAAGGGUACUGAUGUUUAUAUGCAAAGCUGAUUAGGUUUAAAUAGUCGUAUUUAUUCUGUACAGUGCCAAUAUUACCACCCGUUAGUACACUUUCAAGACACUGUAAUCCAGUGUAUGCACUAUGCAGUACGUAGUACUCCUCAUUUUUUUGGGGAAAUUCAUUAUUGGUCUUCAUAUCUUCUUUAUUUUCCUUGUCCUCAUUGUGCCACGUGUUUAAAUCACUAAUUAUAGGUAAUCUUUCAAUUUAAUUAAAUCUUAUGUAAAAAAAGAUAAUUAAAUAUCAUUUAGUAUUACAAUAUAGUGAUAUUCCUCUUUAGUAUAAAAUUUUUAUAAUUAAAAGCGUUCAGCUUUUUAAUCUUCAUUGGAAUAUUAUCUAUAAAGAAAAAUUAUUCGAAUCAGAGAUCAUUUAUGCAUUCAAAUGUAUAAAAUACAUCGACAGUGUGAGAACCAACUAAUAUAUUUUUGAUGAAGUACAAUUAUUGAAUACAUUUGAACGAUCAAAUGAUAUAUGAUUCAAAAUACAUAUUAAGAUAAUAAAUAUAAAAGAAUUGUUAUUUGCACUUCAAGAAUCUCAUUCUACACUCUAAAUUUUCUAUAUAUUAAAAGAAAAAUAAAUUUGUGAAAAGUGUAGAAUGAGGUUUUUUUAAAUGCUAAUAACACUUCUCUAAAUACAAUUAUGAAAUUAAUUAAGUAAAGAUACAUGACCUCGUGAAUGAUGAAUGUAUUAUUCAAAAAAAUAUUAAAAACAAAUUGAAAAAGGACGCUGUUGUUGCCACCACUUAUGCAAUGAUCGUCGCUGCCAUCACCAACCCCCAACACCCCAUUACAGCUCAUAAAAGCACAUCAUAAGCAAUUUAUGAAAUAAAUUUACUGGAAUACUAAUUUCCCCCUUAGUUUAGGUCACCAAUGUUUAAAUUUAGGGAUCGUGAUAUCCACACACAUUUUUUACUUCUUUCACACUUUUUUUUUCGGUUGUCGGAUCAGAUGAAUUGAAGAAAAUCAAUGAACAGAAAUUAACAAGGGGUGUGUGAGAAGUAAAAAUGAAUGUGUGGAUAACACACCCCUAAAUUUAUCACAACUUUCAUUCCAAAUUUAAUUUUUAUCCGUAGUUUUGUUUGUUCAAAUUUACUUUGACAUUUCCAUUAGUAUUAAAAUCUAAUUUAAAUUUUAGUGUUCAAGCUAGAAAAAGUGUUCCAUUUAAUAUUUAAUCUCAGUUUUUCUCUUUAUUCUUUUAUUGGGAUUUGGUUGCAUCGUAUCUCCAUUUUUCUCGGUGUUGUAUGUUCAUAAGGCCUGUGAAACGUUGGCACGGAGUGAAGGGUACUCACUUUUUGGCCCAAAAUGCAUAAGGCAUGUAGAUAUGUUAAUCAAAUUUUGUAAACUAAAGGAUAUAGAAGUUGAUAAUUAGAUUAUAAUUUAAGAUAAUACUAAGGAGACUAAAUUUGCAAACUAAAUGAUGUGUCACCAAUAAAAAUAAGCACGUUUAUCAACAAUUAAGUAAUAAAUCAAUCAUCAACUUUCAUGUCCUUUAGUUUCCAAGAUUUAAUAUACAAAUUUAGUCUCCCAAGCAUUACUCUAUUACUUAAGUAUUGAUUAACAGACUUAUUUCUUAUGGUGACACAUUAUUUAGUUUACAAUUUUAGUCUACCCAACAUUACUCUUUUGAAAUUGUCUUGUCCACUGAUAUAAUUCUAUUUUUCUUGUGAUCAAAACUUCAAAUGUUAGCAAGUCGCACGUAAAGUCGCUUAUGAGAGAAUGUGCUCACAUUGUAGUUGAAAGAUUAUGUGGCUAGCAACAUUACAAAUUUAAUUUGGUAUAAUUCUAAAAUAUAGAUUGAGGAAAAAAUGAUCACAUUAACUAGAAACUGAAAAGGUUUCAGCACAGUUUGUUCAAGCAAGAAAUUCAAUUUUGAUGCUACCGAUCUUAACAGCCUGAGCGCCGUACCUGGGCACCAAAGUCACCACCACACUCUCAUCAUCUUCAGCACCCAAAUCCUCCAACAGGUCCGUUAACCCCAACCUUAAACAACUCUUGCUCUUUUCCUUCUGCUUAUGUGGCACACUCACAAAACUCCCAGCAAACUCGCUCUUGUCGGGUCCACUCGGUGCCGCAUCCUCAUCGUCCACGUCAUUCACAUACACACAUCAAACUUCACAGCCACAUCUUUGUCAAGCUCAAUCCCCUGAAUCACCAAUAUCUCCUCCUCAUCCUCUUUCUCCUUCUUGCUCCUCUUCUUCGGCUUCGGCCUUGACACCACCGUACUUAUCUUCGUCUCCAAAUUUAUUGGAAAAUCUUUACCCGCCACCACCUUCCCUGAUGACGUCGUCUCAGUGGCCUUCGCCACUCCAGCCGCCUUUGCCUUUCUCGCAAGCUUUGUCCGACGUGGCGUCGGUCUAGACUUGAGCCAUGGAAUCUCAACAUCUUCAUACGUAUACCCUAGCUUUUUAUUAUCAAGAGUGUCCCUCACCGUGACCCUAACAAGCUCAGCAUUCUCGUCAUAAAACAAAAACCCCGUAUCCAACCAAUCCUUAUCGUUAAUAUCGUUAUUUUUAGUCCCUAUACUUUUCCAAAUAUUCCACAUUCGAUCUAUAUUCGAAUGGUGCGAAAAAAAUAUUGGAUCCCUUGCAGCGGAGUAAAAAUUCCCCAUGUCUUCAAAAUUAGGCUGCGUGUUAUCUCCGGUCCAUAAAUGAACCGGACCAUGUGGGGUCGUUUCGAUUGAACCGCCCCCUGGAUCUGGUUCAGUGUCAGCCCUGUAGGGCGAACCAAAGAACAACAGCGGUUUCUUGGAGUUGGAAACCAUCUGCCUAUACAUGAUUUUGAGGUUGGCGUCGAUUUGAGCAUCCUUGGACAUUGUUUCAUCCGUGCCGUUGAAGUCAAGAUCGAUGAGAGUCGGCGGCUGAUGGCUGGCAGCGCGGAGCUCGUCGUAAAGCGGAGAGUCCGGGUUAGCGAACAAGGCAGGGAGUUGCAUGCCAGCUGGCGCGUCCCAGUUCCAAAACGGCAACGCGAACGUCGGAUCGUCUAUGAGUUUGGCCAAGAUUCUUUCGUAGAAGUAUACGUAGUAACGAUGGAAGGGGAAGAAAAGCCAGCAUUGAUGGAUUUGGAGCUCGAGGUUGGGGAAGCCGACUUGGUCGUACGCGCCGUCGCAAUAGGCACAGUGGAGAUCGGCUUGCUGGGUGAAGCUACGCGGAUCGUCGUCCGGGAGGGCUUUCAUGAGCUCGAUGGCUUUUGAAUAUUUUUCGAUGUAGGCUUUAUCCACGGUGUGAGCUGCCGGCCUGACGCGGAGUUUGGUAGGGGAGGGGAAUUUGAAGUCUACGAUUUUUUGGGACGUUGGCGGGCAACAGUUGAUCGGGACUGCUCCACUUGGAAAGUCCGCAGCUCCGCAUUUGGCUAGGUCAGGCGGCAACACUGGCUUUGCAACAGCGAAGGGGUCGCUGCCAAGACCAGCCACUCCGGCUUUGCAACAGCGAAGGGGUCGCUGCCAAGACCAGCCACUCCACCGUAGAGGCUUCCGAGACCUAUAAGAAGAUAGAAUUCAGUUCUUGGCAGUAGAGGACUCUAUUGCAGGGAAAAACUGAUUUGAAUUAGGAAGGCUUAAGUAGUUUUCCAUAAGGAUUUUAAUAGGGAAUCCAUAUUCUAAUAUGAGAAGGAUAUGUGUGUACAUAUAUAUAUAUAUAUAUGGCAAUCUCUUCUCUCACAGGUGUGUGCUCUUUUGGAACUAAGCCCUAUUCUUAGUUUGAGUGAUAAAUACCCUGACAGAGAGAAGAAGAAUUGAUGUGCUUUUCAGGUUGAUCGAGAUCCACCAUGACUGCAUCAAACGGGAGUUCUACAGGUUAGUAUAAUUAGGUUUUAUUUGGAUUGAUGUUUUGUGUCUACUUGGUUGUAGUUUAAGUAACUGAAUCUUGCAGCUAGAUUUUGGUUUACAUGUGGUAUCAGAGCCAUAGAUUCAUGUUCUUAAAUUCAAUCGAUAAAAUUGAUUGAAUCCAAAAUAAAAUUCCGAUCUUCAGACUUCGAAACAGGUUCUGGUAGUUAAAAUUAGGAAAAGAAGAAACGGUGCGUUUUGAUUAAAAUAUGAUGAUUAAUACUUGACCGUUAAGAGCUAAUAAACUAUCUUCUCUUCCGAAUUGGGAAUACAAAUCGACAUCUAUCGAUUUCGAUUUCGGGGUUUGAAAAACUGGGUUAUAUGACAUCUAUCGAUUUCGAUUUCGAGGUUUGAAAAACUGGGUUAUAUGAAUUGUUAUUGAGUAUCCACAAUUUAUAUUAAUUGCUUCCGCUGCUGGGUGUUGAUGCUCAUAGAACAAACGGGUAUGUCUCCUGAACAUUGAAUUGAAAUUUGUUUUUUAAUCAAUCUUAUCUUGAAUUUCAUUAUGUUCUACAGCAUGAUUCGAAUAGUGAGCAUAAAAAUAUGCUUAUUUAUGCUGAUUAGUCCUAUGUUUAUGCGUUUUUCUCUAACCAUCUAUGGAAGGGAGUUCUUCGAUAAGAACCUCUGCAGAUUUCACUUGUUUUAUGCAGAAAGUUUUAUGAAGAACUGUUCAUUUGAUAAAGAUCUGCUAAAACUGUGUUCUUAAAUGGAAAAAUCUUUUAUUCUAUAUGUGCUUAUCAAUUCUUCAUUGUUAAGAUUAUAUAUAUGGAUAAAAGGUUUUGAUGAUAUGAUGUACAAAGGAUUGUGAGAUGAAAUCUGGAACUCUAAACGUUCUUCUGUGAUUCAUUGUGAUUUCAUUGUGCUACAGUGUCUGCAAUAUCAAUGAAGACUCUGAAUUUGGCUAACAUCCCAAUUCUUACUGGUGGGGGAAAUUACAAGAAGUGGAGAAGGGAAAUCAGUUUGCUGUUGACUCUAAACGAGUUUGAUAUAGCAAUCGAGAAUCCCAAACCCGUGGUCAAUGAUCAGAGCAGCACAAGGGCUGAAAAGGCAGAUUUUGAGAGAUGGACAAGGGCUAAUAAGGUAGCAUUGUCCAUCCUUGAGAGUGGCAUGACUGAUACAAUCAGAUGAGGAAUUAAGAAGCACGAUUUGGCUGCUGAUUACCUAAAAGCUAUUGAAAAGAAAUUUCAAGAAUCUGAAAAAGCUGAAGUGAGUCAGUAUAUGUCUUUAUUAACUACUUACAAGAUGGAGGGUACAAGCUCUAUAAGGGAUCACAUAAUGAAGAUGACAUAUGCUGCAGAAAGACUCAAUGCAAUGGAUAUAAACAUAGGUGAAAAGCAGUUAGUAUUCAUGAUUCUUCAAGCACUUCCCAGUAAAUAUAGUCAGUUGAAGAUCUCCUACAAUACUCAAGACAAAAACUGGGAUAUUGAUCAGUUGAUUGCACAGUGUGUGCAAGAAGAAACUCGUCAAAAACAAGAAAGAGGCAAAGAAGUUGAGGACAUCAACUUUGUGCAAACUAUAAAUGACAAAAAGCAGUUCAACAACAGAAGCUUUUCUGGUUCUGGUAAGAGUUCUAAGCCUUUUAAAACUUCUAAUAAGUUCAGUAAUUCUGCUAAAGUAGUUGACUCCCCUAGAAAAUCUAUCAAGUUUAAAGCUAAACCUAAAGAUGUGUCUAAAUUAAAAAUGUUUUUGGUGCAAAACUAAGGGCCAUUUAAAAGUUAACUGUGAAAUUUUCAAAGAUUAUGUAAAGAGCAAAGAAAAGGAACAAGUACUUGUCUGUAUUGAAUCAAAUUUGUGAAGUAUACCUGUUGAUUCUUGGUGGUUUUGAUAUACCGGAUGCUCAGUGCAUAUAACUAAUUCUUUAAAUGGUUUUCAAAAACAAAAGGAAUUUGGAAAUGCUACAUAUAAUGUUUUUGUUGGGGAAGGAACUAAAGUUGCAGUAGAGUCAAUUGGGAUAGUCAAAUUAGUCUUAUGUUCUGGUUAUGUUUUAGAGUUGAAAGAUGUGUGCUAUAUGUGCCUAAGAUGAGAAGAAACUUAAUUUCUGCCCUCUAAAAUUGUAAAAGAUGGUUUUUCUUUUCUUGGUGAUGAUGAGUGCCUCAAAAAUUUUCAAGAAAAACUGUCCUUGUCCUAACACUAUUUUAGGGACUGCUUUUUUGUCUGAUAAUUUAUGGAAUCUAAAUUGCACUGUUAAGGCACUCAAUCACACGAUUUUCAGCAUUAGUACUAAGAGAAUGAUAGGUCAGGAUACUUCAUACAUUUUAUGGCACAAAAGACUAGGACACAUCUCUAAAGAAAGGAUAAUUAAGCUGUAAAAAACUGACUUGAUUCCAAAAUUAGAUCUUUCUACUGCAACUGAAUGUGUUGACUGCCUAAAGGGUAAAAUGACCAAUUUUAGAAAAACAGAUGCCAAAAUGAGCCAGGGGUUACUUGAAAUCAUACACACUGAUAUCUGUGGUCCUUUUCCAGUUAAGACAAUAUGUGGAAACAAGUAUUUCAUUAAUUUCAUAGAUGAUUUUUCAAGGCUGGGAUAUACCUUUCUGAUUAAUGAAAAAGCUGAUGCCCUUAAGUGUUUUAUAAUUUACAAAACUGAGGUUGAAAAACAGUUAGGCAAGGUUAUUAAAAUUGUUAGAUCGGAUAGGGGAGGUGAAUACUUUGGCAGGUACACUGAAUCCGGGCAGCAAAAGGGACCAUUUGCUCUCUAUCUCGAGAAGAAUGGUAUUGUGGCGCAGUACACCACACCUGGAACGCCUCAACAGAAUGGUGUUUUUGAAAGAAGAAACAGGACUCUUAUUGGUAUGGUUAGAAGCAUGAUGUCCAGAUCAAAAUUGCCAGGAUUCUUGUGGGGAGAAGCUUUGAAAACAGCUAAUCAUAUAUUGAAUCGAGUUCCAAGCAAGGCAGUAUCUACCACACCCUAUGAGUUAUGGCAUGGGAGAGUUCCUAGUUUUACUUAUUUCCAUGUUUGGGGUUGUAAAGCAGAAGCUAAGUUAUAUAAUCCUAAUGAAAGAAAGCUGGAUUCAAGGACUCAGUCAUGUUAUUUUAUUGGCUAUCCUGAGAAAUCAAAAGGAUACAGGUUCUAUAUCCCUCAAGGUCACACUCGGAUCCAAGAGACACACAAUGCAGUUUUCCUAGAAGAUGAAGAUGUCUCUCAUUUGUCAAGGGAAAAUUUCAUAUUUGAAGAGAUGCAUUCAGAUGGUGGGGACCAUGUGACAAUGGAUUAUAAUAUCGGUCUCAUUGUUUCCCAAUCAAUCAUCAAUUGCCAUUGAAGAUAUGAGUGAAGAUUUAGGAGUUCCUGAUGACAACUCUGUAGGAGUUGAUUCCACAACAUAAGCUGCAACAAUUCCUUUUGCAGAAGCAUGUGAACCAGUUGCUGUUCCACCUCCAGUUGAAAUCAGAAGGUCACAAAGAGCUCGGAAAACCACUGCAAGCAAUGACUAUGUGUACUUAUAAGAGACUGAGUUCGAUAUUGGUGACAUUUGAUGAUCCUCUUACAUAUACUCAGGCAACUGAAAGUCCUCAAGCAGUUCUUUGGAACAAUGCAAUGAAGGAUGAGUUAGAUUCAAUGUCCAAAAACCAGGUUUGGACAUUGGUGGAAUCCAACUCUGAAAUUAGGCCAAUAGGCUGCAAGUGGGUAUAUAAAACCAAAAGGGAUGCUGCUGGAAGAAUUGAAAGAUAUAAAGCAAGGUUGGUUGCUAAGGGGUUUACUCAAACGGAGGGGAUCGACUAUAAUGAUACUUUCUCUCCAGUUUCCUCCAAAGACUCCAUGCGAGUUAUCAUGUCUUUAGCUGCCUACUUCGAUCUUGAAUUACAUCAAAUGGAUGUAAAAACCGCUUUUCUUAACGGAGACUUACAAGAGGCUAUAUACAUGAAACAACCUGUUGGAUUUGUUGAAAAGGGGAAAGAGAAUUUAGUAUGCAAGCUCAAUAAGUCCAUAUACGGCUUGAAACAAGCAUCAAGGCAAUGGUACCUAAAGUUUGAUCAAAUUGUCUCUGCAUAAGGUUUUGUAGAAAACAAACUGGAUGAUUGUAUAUACAUUAAGUUCUCAGGUUCCGAGUUCAUCUUCUUAGUACUUUAUGUUGAUGCCAUUCUCCUAGCUAGUUCAUGUCCCCAAUUGCUUCAUAGCAUUAAGAGAAUGCUAAGUGAUAACUUUGAGAUGAAAGAUCUUGGAGAAGCACAUUAUGUACUAGGAAUAGAGAUUGUUCGAGAUAGGAAAAUGAGGCUCCUUGGUUUAUCUCAAAAGGGGUACAUUGACAGAGUGUUGGAGAAAUUUCAUAUGGCAAAUUGCAAUUGUGGUCAGGUUCCAGUCAAUAAAGGUGACAAGUUUUCGAAGAUUCAAUGUCCAAGAUCUGAUUUGGAGGUGAAGAAAAUGCAAGCUAAGCCUUAUGCCUCGUUGAUUGGAAGUCUUAUGUAUGCAACUAUCUGUACAAGGCCUGAUAUUGCCUUCAUAGUUGGUAUGCUAAGACGAUUUCAAGCAAAUCCUGAGAAGCACAUUGGGGGUGGCAGCCAAGAAGGUUCUUCGAUACUUGCAGAGAACCAAAACUCACAUGUUAGUAUAAUGGCCGAACUGAUUCUUUGGAGCUCAGGGGGUAUAUACUCGGAUUUAGCUGGAGAUGUGGAUGACAGGAAGUCCACAGGGGUUAUAUCUUCAUACUCAAUGGAGGGGCAGUUUCGUGGAAAAAUGCAAAGCAAACUAUUAUAGCCACAUCAACUAUGGAAGCUGAGUUUGUAGCCUGUUUUGAAGGCAUGAAACAGGCAGCAUGGUUGAAGAAUUUUUUGACAGAUUUAAAGAUUGUGAAUUCGGUUCAGAAACCAGUAACAAUGUUCUGUGAUAAACAACUCGGCUGUGUUUUUUGCUAAGAAUAAUAAAAGGACUUCAGCAUCUAGAUUUGGAUGGACGAAGUUUCUUAAGGUCAGAGAACAAGUCAAGAAAGGAGUUAUUGAAGUACAGCACAUUAGCACUACUAUGAUGAUUGCUGAUCCCUUGACUAAGGCACUGCCAAUUGGAGAAUUCAAGAAACAUGUUUCUUCAAUAGGAGUACUAGAAGGUUUUGAUCAGUGGGAGUAAUCACGUGUGUGUUAAAGGCUUGGGAUUGCAGAAGCAGAAGUAUAUAUGUGUUUCAAGAACUGUAUGUGCAAUUCUGACAAGCUGAACUAAGGAUGCUUUAUGUUUUAACUUGCUUUAGUUAGUUUGUUAAGGUUGUUUGUGUUUUAAUAAGUGUCCUUGUCUGCUACUCAAUACUUUGGCUUUCAGGUGUUGAGGUACGGAUACUGGACUGAGUUAGAAUUUAGUUUCAUUAGUAACUUUGAAAGAACAGUUUGUCUGUUUUUUAAGUUUGUGGUUAAUGAUGUUAUAUAGUCAAUUACUAUGUUGCUUUUCUGUGAAGAUUAAUGUGUGUUGUGAUCUUUUGAAAAGUGGGAGCAUAAUGUUUGACGGUUUAUGUUAGUCAUGAGUCAUAUUUACAAAUUGAAUAUAUGUGAGCCUUGAAUUAAUACUACAAUUUGGUUGUGGUCUGAGAUUCUUGGUUUCUAUAUUUUGAGAUGUAAUGGGACAGUGGUCAUGAUGGUUAAAUCUUAGAUGAGGUUAUGUGAUCACUUCUUAUGAUUGGUGACGGCAAGGUUUGAUCUUUGUCUCAUGUUCAAGUGGGAGAAUGUAAGAAUGUGAACAUGAGAUAAGAUGAUCGGAUAUUAGUUGUUUGAGUCCAAUCCGAAUAAGAAAGCCUCUAAGAAGAUGGAAUUCAGUUCUUGGCAGUAGAGGACUCUAUUGCAGGGAAAAACUGAUUUGAAUUAGGAAGGCUUAAGUAGUUUUCCAUAAGGAUUUUAAUAGGGAAUCCAUAUUCUAAUAUGAGAAGGAUAUGUGUGUACAUAUAUAUAUAUAUAUGGCAAUCUCUUCUCUCACAGGUGUGUGCUCUUUUGGAACUAAGCCCUAUUCUUAGUUUGAGUGAUAAAUACCCUGACAGAGAGAAGAAGAAUUGUUGUGCUUUUCAGGUUGAUCGAGAUCCACCAUGACUGCAUCAAACGGGAGUUCUACAGGUUAGUAUAAUUAGGUUUAUUUGGAUUGAUGUUUUGUGUCUACUUGGUUGUAGUUUAAGUAACUGAAUCUUGCAGCUAGAUUUUGGUUUACAUAUUUUUCGAUGUAGGCUUUAUCCACGGUGUGAGCUGCCGGCCUGACGCGGAGUUUGGUAGGGGAGGGGAAUUUGAAGUCUACGAUUUUUUGGGACGUUGGCGGGCAACAGUUGGUCGGGACUGCUCCACUUGGAAAGUCCGCAGCUCCGCAUUUGGCUAGGUCAGGCGGCAACACUGGCUUUGCAACAGCGAAGGGGUCGCUGCCAAGACCAACCACUCCGGCUUUGCAACAGCGAAGGGGUCGCUGCCAAGACCAGCCACUCCACCGUAGAGGCUUCCGAGACCUAUAAGUACAUUUCUUCUGUCUAGGUUUACUAGAGAAGGGUUUUCAUGGUCGUGAUCGUUGGAGCUAGUGGAAGGGUUUUUGUUUUGGUCACUACUAUUAUUUGUGGCUUUGCACGAGACAGCUUGUAAAUUGGAAUGCCUAGGGUUUCCAAAUGAGGAUAUUCGGUGAUACUUUUGGGAGAAAGGGGAGAGAGAAGUUGUGGGGAUGAUACUUGUGGCGGAGGUGACGAGUGGAGCUGACAUAGAAGCCAUGGUACUUGACUCUGAAUAAUACGUUGUAUUGGCUUUGCUUUUAUAAUGUGUUCUAGGUUUUACGUUUCUUUGCACGGGUGGCAGGCCGUACACACGUGGUCGGUCCUUAAGGGUUUGACGAGGAAUACUACGCAGUCAUUUAGUACAUGACAACCAUACACUAUAGCACGUGGCAUGUAUUUAGAGAUCGAGAGAGAAUUGGGUAAGGUUCACGAGGGAUUGUAGUUUCAGAAGGUGAAUUGGUUUUGGUCUUCUUGUGUACCAAUAAUUUUUACUUAGUCAUUUAGUGCAGGACAACCAUGCACUAUAGCACGUGGCAUGUAUUCAGAGAUCGAGAGAGAAUUGGUUGGGUAAGGUUCACGAGGGAUUGUAGUUUCAGAAGUUCAAGCGGUUUUGGGCUUGUUGUGUACGGCUGUGGGUCUGCUGUCACGGACUCUCUGUCUCAUUUGUGUCUUAUUUUUUAUUUUUUGACACGUUUUAACGUCAAAUCAUUAUAGCAAUGUUAUGCAAUUGGGAGCUAAAUGACCGAUGCUCUUAUUUUUUAGUUUGCUUUUUUUCCAGAUCUGAUCAAAUCAUGAUAGCAAUGUUAUGCAAUUUUCAAGAGGGAGAGAUGCACCUGGGAGAGAAACGGUACGGUGACUUCUAAAUCACCGUCCAACAGAACAAUUCUCAGUAGAGACUACUAGAGAGAGAUGCACCUCACCAAUGAAAAAUUUAACUGCAAAAAUUCUGGGUAUCGGGAGUUGUGGGGUGGGUCUUGGCAGUUUUCUUAUUUCUUUGAAUUUUUUAUAAUUUAUUUUAUAAAAGUAACAGUGUUUUGUGGGGGUUAAAUUGUAAAACACGUGUCAUCAAACUAAAUAAAGAGACACCAAAGAGACAUGGAAUUCGGGACAACAGACCCACAGCCGUUGUGUACGGAGGCAGACUCUCUGCUCUCCUACUUUCUGUGUCCUCCUGUUUUGUGUAGUCACGAUUAAAUCACGUCAAUAUUUUAUAUUAUUAUUUUAUAGAUAUAAUAAGACAAAAAAGAAUAGUAAUUUAAAAUAUUAACGUGACUUAACUGUGACCACACGAAUAGGAAGGCAUGAGAAGUGGGAAGGCAAAGAAUAUGCCUCCGUUGUGUACCAAUAAUAUUAUAUAUAUAUAUAUAUAUAUAUAUAUAAUUAGGAUUGAAGGAUGUAGAGCUUAUUUUGUUAUGUAUUCUAACAAUUUAAGUGCUUAUCUUUUAGGUUUUCUCUUAAACAGCAUGCCUAUAAAAAAUCACCAAAAUUCAAACCAUAUGACCAUUAGAUCCAUAGUCAUUUUAGUGUUAAAUGAACUUCACAAAAUAAGUCUCAAAAUAUGUAUAAAAAAUGGACAGCGUGAAUGGUUUGGAAAUUGGAAUAGGUUUGGAAAUUGUGCUUUUUGUAGCAAAUUGCAGCAAAGUUUGCUUGGACUUUCACAACCGUAUAAAUUAAACUGUUCGCUUUGUUGGGAAAAACAAGUUUGCCGCUGGUCUUGGGUUCCAAGAUCGGCCAAUUUGACGGCACACUUUUUGGCGUUGAGAAGCAGUACGGAGAUGUGCAGAUUAACUUGGAUUGAUACUCCUCCAUCUUCGUUGGUUCGUGUAUUGAACAAAGAUGGCCUUCCUUGCCCUCCUUAAUAUUUUUUGUUCUUCCUGCAGUGGAGGCGGUGACGCCUUGCUCUUGGUGCAGCGUCUAGUGUUCUGUACCCUCCUCUUCUGCAUAUGUUUGUAUUUCCCCUCGUUGCCCCUUCUAAGUGGGCUUCCUAUUGUUUUGGCUUCGGCCCUGGUUAUGAAAUAUUUCCAAUCUUACCCAAAAAAAAAAAAAAAAAGAAGAAGAAGAAGAAGUCAAGCACGGUGGGAGACUGGUCAUAGUUUCUAGAUUGAUGCUCUAAUUCUAAUGUUAUACAACGCGUACGCUAAAAUAUUUUUAUCAAAAUAUUAGUUUUAGUGUUAUCAAAACAAUAAUGUUAUUCUUACCAUGUUUUUGUAUCACAAUUAUAUACCACCUUAGAUGGCAUAUGAUGUAGAUAGCCACAUCAUUUAAAUUAAUAAGCAUUUAAUUUCAAAUGUUAAUCAAUAAUUAAUAAAAUGAUUGUUAAUUAAAUGAUGAUUAUGGUAUACAAGGAGUCUCCUUCUUCCUUCCCCUUUCCAUUCUGCUUUUUCUUCCUACCACUUUCUGUUUUUUUUUUCAUGCCAGUUUUUGUAUUGAUUUCUAUUGAUUUCCAUGAUUAUGGUCAAUCUUUAUAGAAUUUACUCGUAUACCACAACCACCAUUGAUUUCUAUCUCUAGACUCAUGCCCCGUAGCCCUAAUCCUCAUUCCCCUUCAAGUAUUUCUGUCUCCAAUCUUCUUUGGUACUCCAUGGUUGUUCAUCUCGUGAUUUUUUUUUAUUAUUUCAUUAAGUAACGCCUAUUAGCUUUCAUGCGAAUUAGGAGUCAAAAUCAAAUUUGUCUAUCGGAUUAGGGUUCAUGCCCAAUUAAGUUACUAACGCAAGAGAGAUUUUGAAGUCUACAAUUUUCCUUAUUUAAGUGUUUUAAUUAAUAAGAAAAUUGAAAUUAAACGAUUUAGCUUGUCCAACUCAUCUGCCACCUAAGAUGGUAAAUAAAUGUGGUAAGAAUAGCAUUACUCUUAUCGAAAUUACAAAAAAAAAAAAAAAAAAAAAAAAAAGCUGAUUCAAUAUUUAGUUAUUAAAAAAAAUAUAAAAAAAGUGAUCAAGUAACUAUCCAAUACCCAUGUAUUGGGUGCUUUGUUUGAAAAUUUUCAAAAUGAUAUUGGGCUCGUUUGGAUAUGUUUUUAAAAUGACUGAAAGCGUUUUUAGAGAAAAUAUUUUUUUGAUUCCAAAAGCACUUAAAGUGUUUUCUGCAAAAAGCACUUAAAGUGCUUUCUGCAAAAAGCACCAGUUAUGUGCUUCUUCCUAGAAGCACUUUAAGUGUUUUUCAAGCAUUUACUUGCUUUUUUACUAAGGAUUGGUUCCAAAAACAUUUUCACAAAAAGUGUUUUCAGUCAUUUUAAAAGUACAUUCAAACGAGCUCAUUGUUUUUCCUAUUUUAAUCAAGUGCGUCGUCCCCUGUUGAGAAUGAAUCUCAUAUUAUGGGGAGAGGGGUCUUGCAUGGAUGAGAGGAGGGACCUUGCAUGAGCUUAUAAGUAAGUUGGGUUACUCUCUAUAUUGCCAAGAGAAAUUUUAUUUGGACCUACUUUUCCUCUCUCUAAACCCAACUUUAAUAUUUUGUUACCUAAACUCUCUAGUUUACCCUCAUAAAUUAUAAACAUAAAUAAACUGGAAAAAGAAAAACUCAUCAAACCUAUUUCCCAACUGUUCUGGCGUCUCUUCCCUGUAUUUGUUGGGUCUAUCUCCCUCCCGACUGUUUUUUUUCCCUGAUAUUCUCUGUGUGUUCCCCCACCUCUCCCACACCCACCGAUUCUUUGUGGUGGCUAUUCCACCCAACGUCCAGUGAAUCUUUCCAUUUUUCUUCUAUUGCGCGUGAUAGGGCCUUGCUGUUAAUAGGCAAAACUAAGCGGCAUCGUCGACUCUGUAAGCGACUUGUUGCAGAAGUCCAAAAUGGAGUCAAAAGGAUUUUGUAUUGGGUCGGGUUGUUGAAGGCGAUGGCUGAUUUAGCAAUCUCGCCUAACUACUUCUAUAUGCAGGAGAAGGAAGAGGGAGGAAGGUCUAAAGUGGUGGUUGAGUGGUGGCGAUGUAUGUGGGUUCUAUCUCGGUUGAAUGGGUGUAGAAAGAUAUUUAAUUUUCAGUUUCUUAUUUUAUUUUGUAUAAGGGAUAAUAUCGGAAUUACAUAAAAAGUUUUUUUUAUAGCUGGGUGUAGAAAUAGUAUUGUUGGGUCUAAAUAAAAUUACCCUAUUGCCAAACAUAGUAUUGUUGGGUCUAAAUAAAAUUACCCUAUUGCCAAUUAGCUUUGUUUGAAAAUUUUCAAAAUGAUAUUGUUUUUACCAUUGAACCCUUGUUAUAUACAGUGAUGGCUAAUUUGUCAAGUUCUACGAAGUUGGGAUACCCAGCGUUUUAGCAUAUAACAUAACUUAGUAUUACAAGCAUAAUUAAUUAAAAUAAAGGAAAAUGAAGAGGAUAGCUUAGUAUUACAAGCAUAAUUAAUUAAAAUAAAGGCAAAAGUAACAGCCUGUCCCUAAAAAUGACGAUUUUAUAAUCUUAACACGUGAGUUUAUGAAGAUGCCCUUCGAGGCAAAGUGUUGACUUGUGUUGACUACCGCAUCGUGUCAUGUGAGACUCAUCUUCUUGGCGUAUUCUCGUUUUACUUGUCACUACGGACGCAUGGGCGCAAACGGGACAUGAUUUGGAGCUAUAACGAAUGAGUUAUUAACAUUUAAAGUUAAGGACAUUUUAGUAAAUUAAUUAAUUUCAGAUUAUGUUGAGGGGAAAAUCUGGAGUGCCGGUGGGUGGCCCAGAUUAAAGGAAAUGAAGAAUGGAUGGUGGAGGUGUAAAGGAAAGAAGAUAAAAGAAAAAUGAGAGGAAGUGUGUGACUAAUAGGGAGAUGAGAGAGUUAGGAUGGCCCAAUCAGAAACAAACGAAAGGAGGAAAAAGGAGAGAAGAGGGGAGCGGGGGAUCCCUUCGACCCGGUUCCAUUUUCCGACCCGACCCGAUCCUUUUCAUCUUCUUUGAUGGUUUUUCGUCGGUUUUUUCCGACGAACCACGUUAUCUAACCCCUUGGAAAAUGUUCCACAACCUUCCCUCAACUAUUACAAUCCAAAAUUGUAGAAAUUUAGCCAUGAAAGUAUGAAAACCACACCGGUGGGUGCGGGAAACCCUUGUCGUCGAUUCUCCCAUUAUUGCAACGAUUUUCACCAAUUACCACCACCUACAACAUCCUCUUGAGGUCUGGAAUAAAGCCCAAACAAGUUUUGCACUACUACAAUAUUAGCUUUAGAUGGCAGAUGAUGGUGGCGGAUUUAGAAAAAUAUUGUCGGAUAAAUUAUAUCUGACACAUUAUUUAAUUAGUGGUGAAUAUAAGAAAAAUCAUGUCGGUUAUAACCGACAUAAAUUCGUGGCAGAUACUAGCAGAUAUUAAAAAACUCAUGUCGGUUAUAACCGACAUAAAUUCCUAGCGAAUAAUUACUGACAGAUAUUAUAAAACUUCUGUCGGUUAUAACCGACAAUAUUUUUGAAUUGGGGGAAUUUAAAAUUUUGGGAGGGAAUUUAAAAUUUUGGGAGGGAAUUUAAAAUUUUGGAGGAAAUUUUGGGGGGAUUUUUACCCAUAUUAAUUCAUGGCGGAUAAUUACUGACGAAUAUUAUAAAGCUCAUGUCGGUUAUAACCAACAAUAAUGAAAAUGUUUAUGUCGAUUUUUAUUAAAAAAAUGUUUCUGUCAGUUUUAACCGACAUUAAUGAAAAUAUUCCACAGUAAAACCCCUACUUCUUCUCCUUGUGCUGGUGCCUUCUCCCUUCCCCCUUCUUUCCCCCUUUUCUCUUCUCCUCAUUUCCUUUUCCUUUGUAUUUUUGAUUUUGACAAGGUCUCUCCUUUAUUUGAUUCUUUGUUGUUCAUCUCUCACAAAUGUAGAGAGAGUAAAGGAGAUGCUUAGAGCGCUUUCUUUGUUCCUUUUUUUUUUCUUUUCAUUUUUUCCCUUUUCAAACUCCGACUAUGUCUUACAUGGCCGGUCCCAAGCCCGGAUAAAGGAGGAGGGGGAGGGCGUCAGGUAGUCGACAGCCGGCACUCCAUGAUCACGUCGAAUCCUUAUGAAAAUGAAUCCAGAACAAAAUCGCGCUAAAGCUAGGGCGCCACCCGUAAGUGGCGCGCUGUGUGGCCCGAGCACAGUGAUAAGUGAGCAAGGGUCGCUGUAUCUCCAUCGGCACUCGGAUGCAGUGUUAAAUGAGCAAGGGGGCCAUAGAAACUUCUUUUCGAACGACUCCACUCAAAGUUGUUUGGGAGCAUAUGCUCCUAUCAACUUUACCCGGGACACACAAAAGAAGUACUUUGAUCCUAUUAGACGGGGGAGGGUGAAGAAGCUAGGACAGAAGGGUAGAGUUCAAGAGAGCAAAAUGCGUUUAGGAACGUGGAAUAUAGGAACCUUAACGGGAAAAUCUAUGGAAGUAGUGGAAGUUAUGGUGAGGAGAAGGAUAAAUAUUAUGUGCCUACAAGAAACUAAGUGGGUUGGUAGUAAGGCAAAGGAUCUAGAAAACUCAGGGUUUAAACUUUGGUAUUCGGGCACAAAUAGAACGAGAAACGGUGUUGGCAUCAUCGUGGACAAGACCUUGGUACAAGAUGUUGUAGAUGUCAAGAGUGUAGGAGAUAGAAUCAUGGCAAUCAAGAUUGUAAUAGGACAAGAACUUAUCAAUGUGAUUAAUGCGUACGCACCUCAAGUAGGGUUGGAUACGAGUUCGAAGGAGAAAUUUUGGGAAGAUCUUGGAGACUUGGUGCAAGGAAUUGCUCAGACGGAGAAGUUAUUUAUAGGAGGAGAUUUAAAUGGACACGUGGGCAGGGAGACAGGCAACUAUGGAGGUUUUCAUGGUGGCCAUGGUUUUGGGGAGAGAAACGAGGAUGGGGAAGCUAUCUUGGAUUUUACAAUGGCAUAUGAUCUCUUCUUAGCCAACACCUUCUUUAAGAAGAGAGAAGAACAUGUGAUCACCUACAAGAGUGGGUCGUCAAAAACACAAAUAGAUUUUCUUCUAAUGAGGAAAGGGGAUCGUAUAACUUGUAAGGAUUGCAAAGUUAUACCAGGAGAGAGCGUGGCUAAUCAACAUCGCUUGUUGGUGAUGGAUGUACAUAUCAAAAGAGUAAGACAAAAGAACAAGACUUGGAAGUGCCCAAGGACUAGAUGGUGGAAUCUAAAAGAAGAAAAACAAGUCAUUUUCAAAGAGAAGGUAAUCACCCAAUGUGUGUGGGAUAGAGAGGGGGAAGCUAGCCAAAUGUGGGAUUUCAUGGCUAGUUGUAUCCGAAAAGUAGCAAAAGAGGUAUUAGGAGAGUCUAAGGGCUUUGCCCCACACUAAAAGGAAUCUUGGUGGUGGAAUGAGGAGGUACAAACAAAGGUGAAGGCUAAGAAGGAAUGUUGUAAAGCCUUAUACAAGGAGAGGACCGAUGAAAAUGGUGAAAGGUAUAGAAAAAAAGCGAAGCAAGAGGCGAAGAAAGCUGUCAGAGAAGCUAAGUUAGCGGCUUACGACGAUAUGUAUAAACGACUAGAUACCAAAGAAGGAGAGUUGGAUAUCUAUAAACUAUCUAGAGCAAAGGAAAAGAAGACAAGGGACCUAAACCAAGUGAGGUGCAUCAAGGAUGAGGAUGGAAAGGUUCUUGCUACAGAGAACGCGGUUAAAGACAGAUGGAGAGGUUAUUUUCAUAAUCUUUUCAAUGAAGGACAUGAAAUGAGUGCUUCUUUAGGGGAGUUGAGUAACUCAGAAGAGUGUAGAAACUACUCUUUUUAUCGUCGAAUCCGGAAGGAAGAAGUGGUUGUAGCUUUGAAGAAGAUGAAGCAUAAAAAAGCAAUAGGCCCAGACAAUAUACCAAUCGAAGUGUGGAAACUUUUGGGAGAGACAGGUAUAACAUGGCUCACUGACCUUUUCAAUAGGAUUUUGAAAACGAAAAAGAUGCCAAAUGAGUGGCGAACGAGCACUUUGGUGCCUAUCUACAAGAAUAAGGGCGACGUACAAAAUUGCAUGAACUAUAGGGGUAUUAAGCUAAUGAGUCAUACAAUGAAGCUCUGGGAGAGAGUCAUUGAGCAUAGAUUGAGGCAAGAGACACGGGUUUCGGACAACCAAUUCGGGUUCAUGCCAGGGCGCUCAACCAUGGAGGCAAUCUAUCUCUUACGAAGAUUGAUGGAAAGAUAUAGAGAUGGGAAAAAUGAUUUACACAUGGUCUUUAUAGAUUUGGAAAAAGCGUAUGAUAGGGUCCCAAGAGACAUUCUUUGGAGGAUUUUAAAGAAGAAAGGAGUACGAGUAGCAUAUAUCCAAGCUAUAAAGGACAUGUAUGAAGAAGCAAAGACUGCCGUAAGAACUCAUGAAGGACAAACCGAAAGCUUUCCCAUAACUGUAGGAUUACAUCAAGGCUCAUCCUUAAGUCCUUACCUUUUUGCGUUGGUAAUGGAUGAGUUAACAGGACAUAUUCAAGAUGAUAUUCCUUGGUGUAUGCUUUUCGCAGACGAUAUAGUGUUGAUAGAUGAAACUCAGGAAGGGGUAAAUGCAAAGCUUAACCUUUGGAGAGAAGUGUUGGAAUCUAAAGGUCUUCGCCUAAGCCGAUCAAAGACAGAAUAUAUGGAGUGCAAGUUCAGUGCAAAUGGAGGCCAAAACGAGUUAGGGGUGAGGAUCGGAGAUCAAGAAAUACCAAAGAGUGACCGUUUUCGUUACCUAGGAUCUAUCUUGCAAAAGAACGGAGAAUUAGAUGGAGAUCUCAACCAUAGAAUACAAGCUGGAUGGAUGAAGUGGAAGAGUGCAUCUGACGUGUUGUGUGACCGUCGUAUGCCACUGAAGCUCAAAGGAAAAUUUUAUAGGACGGCAAUAAGGUCGGCGAUGAUUCAACUUGGCGGGUUCGAGCAAAUAGGCGUUGGGCCAUAUUAGACACAGAACCUGCACACUGAACACUGAGAGCUAGCGAAUCCUUAACAGCUAACUCAUCAGACCGUUUGGAAAGUAGUCUGUUAUCUUUGGGAGUGAGAAGGUUCCUGGCCACCACCGCAGCGGUCAUAUCAUUCUUCAUCACGGAAUCCCCAACGGUAAGAGGACCAGUAGGGGAGACAAAGGAUGGGCGCCAUAUGUUGUCUGGAGAAGGCGGGGCUGCCUCUUCAACAAGGUUCAAGUCAAAAAACGACGGUCGGAGGGCCAGACAUUUUCAAAGGUGUUGAAGAGAGAAGAGGUCGGACACAAAUCAAGAUCUUAGAAGUGCAAGAAUGAAGCUUCUACUGGUGGAGAUUCAAGUGUGCUUUGGAACUUAAUGCCAGCCCCUAUAAAAAUCUGCACUCGACGGAGCUUCAGAAAUCGAAGAGGCGUUUGCUUUCUCAAAAGCUGGGCUGCUUAGAGAUCACGAGGGUUGAUCUCAGGAAUCGAAGAGGCGUUUGCUUUCUCAAAAGUUGGGCUGCUCAAAGACCACGAAGGCCGAUCUCAGAAAUCGAAGAGGCGCUCACUUUCUCAAAAACUGGGCUCCCCAGAGACCACGAGGGCCGAUCUCAAAAAUCGAAGAGGCACCUACUUUUCCAGCCUUGUCAGCACCUGUCACACGCACACUCAGCUUUGCGGAAAUUAUGGGCAUUCUGUCGAAGACUUCUGGGGAAGUAGAAAACACAUGAAUCUUACUGUUCAAUCACCCACUUCCCACACGCAAUAAUAGCUCAUGGGUACCACAGAUAACUUUGCCAAAGUUCUCUGCCAAAGUUGAGCACGUGAAGCUUGCAGCUCCCACUACAUCGCUCUGACCAAGAAGGGUAAAAAGAAUAGCAAAGAAACAGCACUAACAAAGUUUAGACCCAUAAAUUUUGAAGGUCUAGCUACCAUAUUAUUACCCACAAGGGUAAAGGAACAGUACCACUGCUGGAUAAUUGGAAAGUCCCUAUGUGUCAACCUCUGUGCUUCGUGGCAAGGUAGACUAGCAAACAUGCCCAACCUUUACUCACAUUCGAGAAAACACUCCCAAUAAGAUUGCUUGCUCCAAAAUCGAAGAGGCACCGUCCUCCGAAUCUCGAGAGCCAGACUCCCAACAUGACUACUUUCUUAAAAAUCGAAGAGAGGGUAAAGGAACAGUACCAUUGCUGGAUAAUUGGAAAGUCCAUGUGUGUCAACCUCUGUGCUUCGUGGCAAGGUAGACUAGCAAACAUGCCCAACCUUUACUCACAUUCGAGAAAACACUCCCAACAAGAUUGCUUGCUCCAAAAUCGAAGAGGCACCGCCCUCCGAAUCUCGAGAGCCAGACUCCCAACAUGAUUACUUUCUCAAAAAUCGAAAGAGACACUGCUCCCCGAAUCUUCGAGAGCCAGACCCCCAGCAUGAUUGCUUUCUCAAAAAUCGAUGAGGCAUCGUUCUCCGAAUCAAUCGAAGAGGCGCUCGCUUUCUCAAAAGCUGGGCUGCUCAGAGACCACGAGGGCCGAUCUCAGAAAUCGAAGAGGCACUUACUUUUCUAGCCUUGUCAGCACCUGUCACACGCACACUCAGCUUUGCAGAAAUUAUGGGCAUUCUGUCGAAGACUUCUGGUGAAGUAGAAAGCACAUUAAUCCUACUGUUCAAUCACCCACUUCCCACACGCAACAAUAGCUCAUGGGUACCACAGAUAACUUUGCCAAAGUUCUCUGCCAAAGUUGAGCACGUGAAGCUUGCAGCUCCCACUACAUCGCUCUGACCAAGAAAGGUAAAAGAAUAGCAAAGAAACAGCACUAACAAAGUUUAGACACAUAAAUUUUGAAGGUCUAGCUACCAUAUUAUUACCCACAAGGGUAAAGGAACAGUACCACUGCUGGAUAAUUGGAAAGUCCCUGUGUGUCAACCUAUGUGCUUCGUGGCAAGGUAGACUAGCAAACAUGCCCAACCUUUACUCACAUUCGAGAAAACACUCCCAACAAGAUUGCUUGCUCCAAAAUCGAAGAGGCACUGUCCUCCGAAUCUCGAGAGCCAGACUCCCAACAUGACUACUUUCUCAAAAGCGAAGAGAGGGUAAAGGAACAGUACCAUUGCUGGAUAAUUGGAAAGUCCCUGUGUGUCAACCUUUGUGCUUCAUGGCAAGGUAGACUAGCAAACAUGCCCAACCUUUACUCACAUUCGAGACAACACUCCCAACAGGAUUGCUUGCUCCAAAAUCAAGAGGCACCGCCCUCCGAAUCUCGAGAGCCAAACUCCCAACAUGAUUACUUCCUCAAAAAUCGAAGAGACACUGCUCUCCGAAUCUCGAGAGCCAGACCCCCAGCAUGAUUGCUUUCUCAAAAAUCGAAAAGGCAUCGUUCUCCGAAUCUCGAGAGCCAGAUACCACAGACCACUUUUUCAAAGUGCUCUGACAGAGUUAAAACAUGUGAAACUGGCAGCUCCCACUACCGUGCUAUGACCAAGCAGGGUAAAGGAAUAGCAUUACUACUUGUUGUUAGGGAGACUCCUAUAUAUGUCGACCUCCAUCCCCAACGGACAGGCAGACCUGCAAAAAUGCUCAACCCUUCAUCAUAUCUGAGUGGGCACUCCCAACGAAGCCUUUCGAAAUAUUCAGCUUUCUUUCCCCCCGAUAAUACCUCUGCAAACAAGCUAUACUAGAGCAAGAAUAUCUCAUAUCAUCAGGGUUAAAAGCAAGAGUAUCCCAUAUCAUGCUUUUUCCCUGUCUUUUCCUUUGGCCUUGUUUUUACCUGCAAGACAAGGAGAAAGAGAGCAAUCAGUCAGCACUUGGAAUCAAGCUUCCAACCAGGAAAUGACUGCCUGGAACCCCUUACUUGGCAUUGCUCUCGAGUACUCAUCUUCAACAUCUUAUGUUUCCAGGGAAGAUUCUGCAUCUGCUUGAGGAACAGAUAGGGCAAGUGCGAAGGAUACAAGGAAGCAUGCGGAGACAAGCGUAACAGCACACGUGCCGAUACAUCCAUUACUCUGUCAAAAGCAAAAGUAUCCCAUAUCAGCAGGGUGGAACGUACUCUAGAUUUGAUGGACUUGUUUUGACCCUCAAAUUCUUCAGUCGGCCUUAUAUUCUGGAGGAAACCAGAAAACCCUCCAGCUCAGUUCAAGAAUAAGCCUGUGGAAAGUUACUUCUUCAAAAGCAAAAGUAUCUCAUAUCAUCUCUUCUCAUUUUUCUUCUCUCUUUAUCCUUCAUGCUGCUGCAAGAUGGGGAGAAGGUGAACAAUCAGUCGGAGCUCUGAUUGCUUACCUUGUCUGUCACCUCUUUCAGCAGACCCCCUAGCUCGGCGACUUGGGGGACUCCUACUAAAUGGUUUGUAUCGCGCUUGACCAAGCCUGAAACUACAAGUAAGCUUCAAGUGAAAUUGAUACAUUACCUUGUGCAUCUCCACCAGUUAAAGAUACCACCCCUGGAUGGAGGAAGAGUACUUCCAGAGAAGAUGCCACAUCUACCUAUGAGACAGAUAAGGCAAGUCAAGACGACACCACACUCCGAUACUUAGAAGUUUCGUGAUUAUGAGAUCAUUCUCCCACAAUAUUUCCUAAUGUCAUUUGUACUAAAUCAUUCACUUGUACUCACUAAAGGAGAGCUUGAACCUAUGUACUUGUGUAAACCCUUCACAAUUAAUGAGAACUCUUCUAUUCCGUGGACGUAGCCAAUCUGGGUGAACCACGUACAUCUUGUGUUUGCUUUCCUAUCUCUAUCCAUUUAUAUACUUAUCCACACUAAUGACCGGAGCAAUCUAGCGAAGAUCACAAAAAGCGACCGUUUUCGCUACCUAGGAUCUAUCUUGCAAGAGAACGGAGAAUUAGAUGGAGAUCUCAACCAUAGAAUACGAGCUGGAUGGAUGAAGUGUAAGAGUGCAUCCGGCGUGUUGUGUGACUAUCGUAGGCCACUGAAGCUCAAAGGAAAAUUUUAUAGGACGGCAAUAAGGCCAGCGAUGUUGUAUGGCACAGAAUGUUGGGCGGUGAAGCAUCAACACGUACACAAAAUGGGUGUAGCGGAGAUGAGGAUGCUUCGUGGGAUGUGUGGGCACACGAGAAAGGAUAAGAUUGGGAAUGAGGAUAUCCGAGGUAAAGUAGGAGUAGCCGAAAUUGUAGGAAAGAUGAGAGAAAAUCGGCUCCGGUGAUUUGGACAUGUGCAAAGAAGGCCGACUGACGCUCCGAUUCGAAGAUGUGACUACGGGACAGAGGUUCAGGGCCGAAGGGGUAGAGGAAGACCUAGGAAAACUUUGGAAGAGACUCUAAGAAAAGACUUAGAGUACUUGGAUCUAACGGAGGACAUGACACAAAACCGAGCGCAAUGGCGUUCUAGGAUUCAUAUAGCCGACCCCACUUAGUGGGAAAAGGCUUUGUUGUUGUUGUUGUUGUUGUAUUUUUUCCCUUUUCAAAAUCGAAAUGUUCUAAAUUAUUUCACUAAUCCUUGCUAGUUUGAACUGCAGGAGUCUGUCUCUGGAUUUGAAAGAUUAUCUGGACUUACAGUUUUGAAGAAUUGGGAUUCUAGUGUUACACAUAUUAUUGCAUCGACAGAUGAAAAUGAAGCAUGCAGAAGAACCCUUAAAAUUUUGAUGGGUAUCUUGGAGGGGAAGUGGAUUCUGAGUGUGGAGUGAGUUUUACUGUUUUCGUUUUAAUUGUUCUUCCUCAAGUGCUUGGACUUUACAAUUGUAAUGAGUACAGAAGCCGAAAUGAGAUAUUGAUAUACAUGUUCACAUUGCUGAUAAUUCGUUAUCCGUCUGUUUGUGUAGGAAUUAAUGCUUGCACAUAAGUAAUGAAACUAGUUAAUGAGGAGCCUUAUGAAAUCAACGUUGACAUUUAUGGAAUCAGGGAUGGUCCUCGACUUGGUAGACUAAGGCUGCAGAACAAGGUUAGCUUUUCCUCGAGUUUAACUAUCAUCACGAAAACUUUAGAUUUUCAUGGAUUCACCAUAGGCAUUGUUAAUCUUGUUCAGUCCAUAAAUAGGUUACACACUUAUCUUAACAAAGGUGAGACCUUCUCAAUUCCUCAUCGAGAUGAAUCAAGAGCAUAAUUGUAGCAGUGAUCAAGAGCAAUUUUUUUAUGUUUCUUCCAAAUUGUUGAGAUGAAUCAUCUGUGUUUUGUUCUAAUAAUCUUACAAAUUUGUUGAGCAAUUUUUGUAAAGUCAGAAUCUUUGGUUUCGGUUGUGAGGUAUCUGAUUUGGGUAUAUGUGUUUUGCAGGGCACGGUGGUUGUGGCGGAGGAAGAUUAGGAUUGACGACAGAGCUCUGGCCAUGAACUAUCAGCUCUGUCUUUCUCUCUCUAACUAUGAAUUGAAUACAAAAGUCUGUGUUGAUAUGGAAAAUGUAGCUCAAAAUUAUUACACAAAUGGCAAAAAAAAAAAGUUCGAGUGUGGAGUUUCACUUACUGAUACAGGGCUUUUGAAACAGGGUUGUCUAGACUGUAGAAGAAAUCCAUGGCUUUUGGAAGAGGGGAUGUUCCAAAUCUAUCUUUUCUCCCUCUCUAAUGUUCUUCGAGGGGUUCUUGUGAUGCAAAAAGUGGUUUAUAUAUAUUUUUUAUUAUUAAUAAAUUUUCUGUCGGUUUUAUCAGACAAUAAUUCUUUUAUUUAUUCUUAUUAAUAAUUUCUCUGUCGGUUAUAUCUGACACAAUUUCUGUCGAUUUUAGAGUAUUUUCUAUCGAAAAUUUCAUUUCCUGACGCAUCAAUUAUGUCGCUUAUUAUAUCCGCCACUGCACUCAUUUCAUGUCGGAUUUUGCUUAAUUUCCAACAGUAUUAUACAUUUCUUGUCGGUUUUUAAACCGACACUAAUGGGUACUUUUGUAGUAAUGUUGGGGCGUCGGAGUUCGUUUAAGGUCGAAUUGAGCACACCCAAAUUCAAGGGUUCCGUACGGUUCAUGGUAAUUUGAGGUAUUUCUCAGCCAAAUUGUCCUUAGUCACAGAUAUGAAAGUUGCUCCACUCGUUGAGAUCUUCAUUUAUGUCAAAUUUGAGAAUUUUUAGAAAUAAUUGGAUUUUCCAGCGAAUCGGGGCGGCGGACCACCACCGGACAGCGCAUGGCUAGUGGGCCCCCAAUGUCAUUUUACGUUAAAUUGGUAUCUUGAUUUUAGGUUUGAUGUCUAUAUGUUAUGACUUGAUAUGUGAACCUAGUUUAAUUAAGGUGCGUUAAUUGGUAAAAAUAUGAAACGACGAUCCGACCGUGGGAUCGUCACCAAUCUUUAUUAUGUUAUAGUACAUUAUAUUUGAGAAUCAUAGGGACUGACGGAUAGGAAAUCCGAUAUACGGAUCUUCCUGAAAUGGAAUUGUAAGUUCGAAGAAUAAACGUUAACCGCCACUUUGUUUUGACUAUUGGUGAAGAUCCAACCGUUGGAUCAUAAUGAAAUUUUAGGAUGAUGUUUUAGAAGCAUAAUGUGGAUCUUUGGAAGUUAUUGAUUGGAAAUCCGAGGAGCGAAUCUUCCGGAUUGAAUUACGUAAGGUUGUGGACCCUACCGUCGAUCGUUGACUGACGAUCGACUUUUGGUCAAUGGGGCUUAAAUCACUCUAAAAUGUUUUUAGGGAUGUGUUUUACGUAAAUUACAUUAUCUAUGGAUAAGAAUUCUGAGAUGUGGUUUGAUAAUUGUCCUGGGCGCCGAUCGUUAGGAACGCUUCGAUGGUUGUGCUAGGAAAUUGUAGCAUAGACUCCAGGUGAGUGAAUCUUUUCCUUCUUAUAUAUAUAUAUAUAUAUAUAUGAUUGACAAUUCCACAAACGUUUAUAAAUUGAUUAUUGCAUAUAACUACUGUAAAUACUUUGAAGUACUUAUGCGAACUACGAAUGGCUUGAUCCCUAUUUAGGGUACGUAUGCAGUCUAACAAGACAUUAAAUGCAGUCAUACAAUAAUUGAGAUUAAACAAUUGAGACAAAGCCUUGUAUGGGGAACUGGGCAAGGUGAACGAAUUUGGUAAAAAUGUGAGAUUUAACCUUCUGAAUUGGUGAUUAAAUGUUGGUCAUAAAUCAAUGUGUAAAGAAUCAAGAAUUUGAAGUAAGGAAACGUAAGUAAUGAUAAUUAAUUAAACUAGUGUCUAGUUGGGCUUGUCACCUAUAAUUAUCCCCAAAAAUGAAUAAUUCGGGAGUAGGGCGUUAUAGCUUCUGCAUUUUUAUGCCACAUUAUAUAUAUAUAUAUAUGUGUGUGUGUGUGUGUGUGUGUGUGUGUGUGUAUAAUUGGAAAUGCUAUAACGUGGUUGAGUAUCAGAUUUCAUCAUGGUUUAUCUAUAUGUAUAUUACCUGCACACAAUUAUUAUGAACACUUUGAAGUGCAAAGGUGAACGCAAGACACCCAGGAAAGUUCAGGUGAGUUUAUGGUAUUAGUUGAAAUGAUGGGGUUAUGGUAACUACAUGUAUGUUUAGGUUGCAAUGAUAGGCAACUCCGACACUGUCGUACAAGUUGCCCAUGAAUUGUAUAUGUUACAAUAGAUAGAGUUAGAGGUCAUAAACCUGCACCCCGGUGUUAGUGCUCCCACCCGUGGCUAGGGCACAGUCUUUCACGAGAUGUUCACCUCUCGCAUCUUACGCUCACCUUGGAUCCAAGGUAGGUGCACAGUCAUGUCAUAAAGACCACUAUAGGUGGUUCCGACUAGUAGAUGACCCGUGAUUAUUCGCACAGUCUUCACGUGAUUGUAGCACUUGAGCGUAUUUAUUUACACCCAGUCCUGUCGUACAGACCACUUUAGGUGGUUCCGACUCGUAUGCAGGUAUACUUAUUGAGCUAUGGAUAAGUCGUACAGGUCACUAAAGGUGACUCCAACUUAUGAGCUAGCAUAUGUGAUGAAAUAUGUGAUGAGCUAGCAUAUGUAAUGAGAUAAGUGAUGAGCUAGCAUAUGUGAUGAGAUAUGUGAUGAGUUAGCAUACGUUAUGAGAUAUGUGAUGAGUGAUAUAAUCAUAAUUGCAUACAUUUUCAUGCCCUUUUAGUUUAGAUUUUUGUUAUCCUUUUGAGUGAAUUUAGUUUGUUUCACUUAGUUUUAUGUUUUUCUUAGAUUUGAAGUGUGAAGAUGAAGAAAGAAGAAAAAAGAGCAUUUUUAGCGAUUGAAAUGAGUUUGGCAUGCUGGAAGCAGAGGCUAUUUGUGCGGAUCAGCCAACUUUACGGAUUAAACUGUACUUCCUUAGAAUGCCAGCUGUUGAGUCUUAUACCAUUGGAAAGAUAUGAAAGUUAGCUUUCAGAGGAAUUUUACGAUUCGUGAUUCCGAGUUUCCUAGAAGACGUUAUAGUGGUUUUUCUACCAGAUGUCUGCCAGCAAGGUUUUACGCGGGAUUUGCAAAGAGAUUCCAGAUUUACAAAGUUUAAUUAAAGGAAACAAGCAGAGAAAAAAGAAGAGGAAGCUUUUAGAAAAGUUCAGGACUAUUCUAAACGGUGCAUAGUUAAUAUAUUUAAUAGUUUAGUGUGCCACAUCAUCAAUAAACUAAUCUAAGUCAGAAGAGAAAUUCAAGAGUCCCAUUCAAGUAAGUAUUCCAGCAGUUUUAUUCAGGAAUAAAGGAGGGCAGACCGUCGGACUUUAGGAGCGGACAGAGAGAGUUUUUGGGUUUUCGAAGGUGCAGAGAAGAGGUCGCAGCAAGGAGUGAAACAGAGUCGCCGAUCAUCUGGGCAAUCCAUCACCAUCGUGUGGAAGUAUUUUAUGUUUUUCAGAUUUUUAAUUAUGUUUUCAGAUUUUAUGAGUAACUAAACUCUUUUUCUAAGGUUAGGAUGAUGCCCUAGCAUGGAUGUUUAUGGUUUGUAAUGUUAUUCAUUGGAUUUCCAGUUUCUUUUAGAUGAAUGCUUAAUCACUGUUUGAAUUGUUACUGUUUGUUUGAGUUCUUUGAUUGAUCACCUUAGGACUUUGCAUCUAGUAAGAUUGGAAGAUGAAUUUGAGACUGAACUAACAAUAUAAUUCAAUUAGCUUCUUGUGGUUAAGUGUGGUAAAUUACAUUAUUGCUUGAAAAAGAAUAAUGGUUUGUUUGGGUCCCUUGUUUUCUAGAGGGUAAAGAGUCCUACUUGUUAAAUUUAUGCCUUAACUAGGAUAGACUGCUUGUUAGGAUAUACGACCUCUGCCUAAACUAGGAGAGAAUCAUUCACAUAAGGAAAACUAUGGUCUAAUAUGCCUGACAAGGACUUAGAUACGGGAAUUAUCAUCUAAAGAAUUGAAAGAUCCAUUGAAUGCAUUGAAACCUAAACUAGAUUGCUUGUGGUUGAUUCCGAAUCCCUAGAUUUUCAUCACUUGCCUUAAAACACAACCGUUUCUUUUCUUUAAUUUCAGUUUUUACUUAAGGUUCUGUUUUUGUUCAUUUAUAAAAUCAUCACAACAAAUUUUUUACAUCUUUGAUUGACUUAUUAAUUAAGAUCGAGUCUAGUUCGUUGUUUGGGUUUGUGUGUCUUUAAUAUAAUUAGAUUUGGUUUAGUUUAUCAAAUUGGAGAUUGAAUUAGAAUCCUCGUGGGAACGAUACUUGGACUUGCAAAACGUUAUAUUACGACUAUCUUGUGCACUUGUAAGUUUACACCAAGUUUUUGGCGCCGUUGCCGGGGACUCUAAUUGAGUCCCCCAAUUUGAUAUCAUAUUCCAUAUCUAAUAAGUAGUUUAUUGUAGAUUAUUCAAUUUGAUUUUGUUUUGUUCUCUAGUUUCGAGUAAGAGUCAUAACUAUUAAGAUAAGUAAAAGUAAUUUUCGUCACUGUUUUAUUUCAGUUUUGUAUCACUGUUUCGACACAGUUUUGGACUAAACUAUUCGAUUUUUUACCAGGAAUAUUGUGUAUCGUUGGAAAGCCCCAGAAGUCUAGUUUUCAACCCAAAAAACAGAUCAAUGAUUGGAUUUUUGAGCUGCAAGAAAUGUACAAAAUACUGAGCAGUGGUCAAACAAGGAGCACAGUCUGGUCGUAUAUGCAAGGUAGACGUUCGUUGCAAUUUGAGUUGAUUCAUAUAGACCAAGAACUUGUGCGUACUUUAAGAGAACAGUGGAGGCAGCGAGUGUGUCAAGAACCAGCCAUGGAGGAAGUAGUUAAUAAUGGUGGAAAUAAUCCUCCACCAUUGCUACCACCACAACCAAGGCUCAUGCGUGAUUAUACAAAGCCAACGGAGUACAACGCACCGUCAUGCAUUGUUUUGGCUCCAAUUGCGCAGCGAUUUGAGAUUCGUCCACAAAUCUUUCAGUUGCUGCCUAUAUUUCUUGGGAAGGAGGAAGAAAAUCCAUACCAUCAUAUCAAGGCGUUUUUCAAGCUAUGUUCCACAUUCACAUUCACCAAUGUUACUGAAGAGCAAAUUCGACUUCGGUUAUUCCCAUUCUCUUUGAGGGAUAAAGCAAGCAGUUGGUUGGAUUCUCUUCCCGAAGCAUCUAUCGACACAUGGACAAAAUUAUCGAAGAAGUUUUUGUCCAAGUUCUUCCCCGCUCGAAGAACCAAUGCUCUGAUCAAUGAAAUCAUGAGCUUUCGACAACAAGAAGGUGAACAGUUUCAUGAAAGUUGGGAGCGCUAUAAGGACUUGUUUCUUCAAUGUCCUCAUCAUGGUUUCAACACUUGGCAAAAGGUUCAUUAUUUUUACAAAGGUUUGAACUCUCAAUGUAGGAGUUUGGUUGAUUCAACGGUUGGUGGAACCUUGAUAGACAAAACUCCAGAAGAUGCCAUACAUGCCUUUGAAACUAUAUGUGAAAAUUCUGAGCAUUGGGAUUUUCCUACAAAAGAUUUGAGAGUUCCAACUGCAUCGUCAACAAAAAAAGGAGGCAUUUAUGAAGUUAAUACAAGGACGGGCUUAGAGGCACAAGUGGCAGCCCUCACCAAGCUUCUCACACCACUUGUAAGCAAGAUAGCCACGCAGCCAUGUACUUUAUGUGCGAGCAUCGCCCAUGACAUGGAAAAUUGUCCAACAAAUGCUAAUCUAGAAGGCAUCCAAGAGGUCAAUGCAUUUAGUGGGAGGCCCCGGAAUGAUCCAUAUUCUAAUAAUUAUAACCCGGGAUGGAGAGAACAUCCAAAUUUUUCUUAGAGAGAUUCACAAAAUAGCAUGGGAUCAUUCACUUCAACAAAGCAAUAUCAGCAACCUUAUCAAGCUCCUCCAAUUCAACAAAAAGACUCGUCUAUCAAGGAUAUGUUAUCUCAACUCUUAAAGAAAACUGAUCGGUAUGAACAUGAAGUUGUGUCGCUUAGACAAAGUCAGACGGUGUUGGAAAAGGCUCGAUCUAAUUUUGAGACUCAGUUGGGACAGAUAGCUACUACUUUGAACAAGCUGGAGUGAGCACAAGGGCAAUUUCCAAGCCAAACUGAAACAAAUCCUAGGAAUCAAAAGCAUGUUCAAGCUGUCACCACUUUGAGGAGUGGAAAGACGAUUGGUAAUAAUGUGGAAAGUUCAAAAAUUAAUAAGGAAGAAGAUGAAGGGGUCAGCACAUAUCGGGCAGCAGCUUGACAAGACAAGCUAAAAAAGAGAAGUAUAUGGGAGAUAUUUUAGAGCAAUUUAGAAAGGUGCAGAUUAAUAUUCCUUUUCUCGAUGCCAUCAAACAAAUUCAAUCAUAUGCGAAGUUUUUGAAGGAACUUUGUACUAACAAGAGACGGUAUGAAGAACAUGAGGAGGUGAAGUUAUCAGACACGGUUAGUGCGGUUCUUCAAAGAAAAUUGCCACCAAAACUUCAAGAUCCUGGUAGCUUUACAGUCCCAUGUGUCAUUGGAGAAAGAAAAUUCGAAAAAGCUUUGCUUGACUUGGGAGCCAGUGUGAAUUUGAUGCCCUAUUCUGCUUAUAAACACCUCAAAUUAGGCGAACUAAAGCACAUAUCCAUUUCUCUACAAUGCACUGAUCGUUCUGUGAAAUAUCCAAGAGGGAUUGUUGAAAAUGUACUUGUGUGUGUUGAUCAAUUUAUUCUUCCUGCUGACUUCAUCAUUUUGGACAUGGAAGAAGCCGAAAUUCCUGGUCGUGACUUGCCUCUCAUUCUUGGCAGACCUUUCAUGGCUACUGCAGGUACGAAGAUUGAUGUUAAAUCGGGAUUAUUAACUAUGACUGUGCAAGGUAUUACUGUAGAAUUUCAGGUCUUCGAAGCAUUGAAGAAGCCCAUGGAUCUUUAUGACUGCUUUCGUGUUGAGGUAGUGGAUCCAAUUAUAAAAAAAAACAUUCAUUGAAUCAAGCAUCUCAGAUCCUCUGGAAGUUUGUAUCUCUCAACAUGGGAUGAGUUUUGAAAAGGCUACCAUCAUUGAAGCAGAACGAGAUCUCAAUGCCGUAACGUCCUACUCUCUUAGAUGCCAGCCCAAAUUUGAAGCGUUGCCACUCACAAGCCAAAAUUGUACCAUCCAUUAUACAACCUCCAAAGCUUGAAUUGAAGCCUCUUCCAGAGACUUUAAAGUAUGCAUAUUUGGUGAUUCAGAGACUCUUCCUGUGAUUAUAGCUGCUGAUCUUAACCAAACAGAAGAGGAAAAGUUGAUGCAAAUGUUGAGGGAGCAUAAAACAGCAUUGGGAUGGAGUAUUGCAGACAUAAAAGGAAUUAGUCCUCAAUUUGCAUGCAUCGGAUAUAUCUUGAGGACAAGUCAAAGCCUUCUAGAGAGGCACAGCGACGUCUAAAUCCACAUAUGCAAGAAGUGGUUCGGGCAGAAGUUCUUAAAUUACUGAAUGUCGGCAUUAUUUAUCCUAUAUCUAACAGCAAAUGGGUAAGUCCACUGCAGGUUGUACCACAGAGAUCUGGAAUUACAGUUGUCAAGAAUGAAAAUAAUGAGCUUAUACCCCAGAGGACUGUCACGGGUUGGAGAAUGUGUACAGAUUACAGAAAGAUCAAUAAUUCAACUCGAAAAUAUCAUUUUCCACUCCCUUUCCUUGAUCUCAUGCUUGAGAGACUUGCAGGCCAUAGUUAUUAUUGUUUUCUUGAUGGCUAUUCCAGAUAUAAUCAAAUUCCCAUAGCUCCGGAAGAUCAAGAAAAGACUACUUUCACAUGUCCAUUUGGAACUUUUGCCUAUCGACGAAUGCCUUUUGGGUUAUGUAAUGCUCCCGCAACAUUCCAAAGAUGCAUGAUGAGCAUUUUCUCAAACUUGGUGGAAAGGUGUAUCGAAGUGUUCGUGGAUGAUUUUUCCGUGUUUGGGUCAUCGUUUGAUCAAUGUCUUCAUCAUCUUUCAUUGGUGCUCUAACGGUGUCAAGAAACCAACUUGAUUUUAAAUUGGGAAAAAUGUCAGUUUAUGGUGAAAAGUGGUAUUGUUCUUGGUCAUGUAAUUUUAGCUGACGGAAUUGAAGUUGAUAAAGCUAAGGUGGAGCUGAUUUCGAAGCUUCCUCCUCCCACUUCUGUAAAAGAAGUUCGAUCCUUUCUCGAGCAUCCAAGUUUUUAUCGCCGAUUUAUUAAAGAUUUCUCGAAAAUCACCAAGCCACUUUGUGAUCUGCUUGCUAAAGAUUCUGUGUUUAAUUUAAAUGGUGAGUGCUUACAAGCUUUUGAGACCCUCAAGAAAGAAUUAACACAAGCCCCAAUCAUAAAAGCUCCAGAGUGGUCUCUUCCUUUUGAAAUCAUGUGUGACGCCUCUGAGUAUGCAAUAGGUGUUGUGUUAGGGCAGCGAGUUAACAAACUUCCUCAUGUUAUAUUUUAUGCUAGCCGAAUUCUCACUUAACAACUUUCAUAUCCCUUAGUUUCCAAAAUUUAAUAUACAAAUUUAGUCUCCCAAGCAUUGCUAUAUUACUUAAGUAUUGAUUAAUAGACUUAUUUCUUAUGGUGACACAUUAUUUAGUUUACAAAUUUAGUCUAUCUAACAUUACUCUUUUGACAUUGUCUUGUCCACUGAUAUAAUUCUAUUUUUCUUGUGAUCAAAACUUCAAAUGUUAGCAAGUCGCACGUAAAGUCGCUUCUGAGAGAAUGUGCUCACAUUGUAGUUGAAAGAUUAUGUGGCUAGCAACAUUACAAAUUUAAUUUGGUAUAAUUUUAAAAUAUAGAUUGAGGAAAAAAAGGAUCACAUUAACUAGAAACUGAAAAGGUUUCGGCGCAAUAUGUUCAAGCAAGAAACUCAAUUUUGAUGCUACCGAUCUUAACAGCCUGAGCGCCGUACCUGGGCACUAAAGUCACCACCACACUCUCAUCAUCUUCAGCACCCAAAUCCUCCAACAGGUCCGUUAACCCCAACCUUAAACAACUCUUGCUCUUUUCCUUCUGCUUAUGUGGCACACUCACAAAACUCCCAGCAAACUCGCUCUUGUCGGGUCCACUCGGUGCCGCAUCCUCAUCAUCCACGUCAUUCACAUACACAUCAAACUUCACAGCCACAUCUUUGUCAAGCUCAAUCCCCCGAAUCACCAAUAUCUCCUCCUCAUCCUCUUUCUCCUUCUUGCUCCUCUUCUUCGGCUUCGGCCUUGACACCACCGUAGUUAUCUUCGUCUCCAAAUUUAUUGGAAAAUCUUUACCCGCCACCACCU